UUUUAGGGAAAAUUUAUGAAACCAUGGUGUCGUAGGGACGGUAACUACUUUUUUCUUCUUCAAAAUGAUAAUUCAUUGGUAGUGUUCAAAACGUUGGUGCAGCCUGGUCACUUGUUAAUGUUAUUUUGCGUUGAGCACUGGGUGCUUACUUUUCAAGACAUAAUGGGGGAAGAGUUAGUCAACUAUAUCUUGUUGAUGAUCUUUUCAAUCUGGGUCUAUGACCUGCUUUAUAGGCUAGCAUUUCCUCCUUGUGGUUCUUGUCAAUUGUCGACGUGACCCGGUCUUUCUUGUCAUGAGCAUAUUUUUUUGUUCAAGACAUCUUUUCUGUUAGGAUUCUGCUUAGCGCUGGGUACAUGAUUUUCAGGAAAUAGUGAGUAAACAGUUAGUCAACAGUAUGUUGUUGGUGAUCUUUUCAGUAUGGGGAUAUGACCUGCUUUCAUAGGGUACCGCGGCCCCCAUUUGGUUCUUGCCAAGAGUCAACUAGAGGACUUGAAAAUUUCUUACCAGCGCGCACAUGAGUGUCGUCUUAUUUCCAAUUCAUCUUUUCUGUUCCUUAGGCGGCAGAACCUGACUCGCCCCGCUAUUGUUUGUUUGUUUGUUUCAGGUGAAGAGAUCGAUGUGCCGGAUCAAGCACGUGCUGACGGAGCGGGCCAUUGCGGACCCUGACCCGAGGAGGACUGCGGAGAUGAAGCGGAUGAUCAACGCCAUGUGACCGAUCCACGCCGCGCCACGCUACUACUGUCCGUAAGCAGCAGCCGUAGCAGAAUUAGCAUCUAUCUAGUGGAAAGAACGAAUUUGCUCGCUUUCCCUUCUUGUGUUGUAUGCCUCCCCCCGUGAGAUGCAUAAGACCAGCAAUCCUUGAGAAUCGCCCCCGACAGUUCCCCAGAUGAACGUCAAUGGACUUGUGUUGGAAUAAUCGCAACCGUCUUUUUCUUUGUGUGUGUGUGUGUGUGUGUGUGUGUGUGUGGCAAAGUACCAUCCGGCUGUUUGUUUGCACAAUGUGUUAUGGAUGUCCAUUGGUUUCAUUUCUGGCUCUGCGUAGCCAGAGCUUCGUUUUCAGUCGGCCAUUCAUUCAUUUAGUCGUGCAAUGUUUUUUUUUAUCAUGUGAAUGCAGGACAGGAAAUGUGUCCUUGUGUCUUGUAAACAAUACGUACAUGAGCAAUCCUUCCGGCACCAGCCGCACGGGCAUAUCUCCAUCACUAUCACGCACUACAAAAAUACAAAUCCCCAGCCACCAUUCUCCCUGGAACGCUCCAUCAACAUUUGUUUUUAAUUGAUCGCCAUCUGGUUUAAGUUAACCCGCCGACUCACCCGAUGAUUGGAAAGGGGCCUCACUUCUGCAAAUUCUGCAGCGAAUCCAGCGCCCACGACCUCGCUUGAGCAGCACUUGUCAGUAUUGGGCAAAUCGUCAACAUUUUUCAAUUUCGUGGACACUUCUACGAAUUUUUGACAUUUUCUAAAAUCAAGAGCAUUUUUUGAAUUCAUGAACAUUUUAUACUAUUUGCAUUUUUUAAAACAAUUUUCUUGAAUCGGCGAACAAUUCUAGAAUGGACGAACAUUGUUUUGGAAAUUGGUGGAACAGUUUUUGAAAUUUAUGAACAUUUUUUUGAUUUAACGAACAUUUUUUAAUUUCAUGAUCAUUUUUUGAAUCAGCGAAUAUUUUACGAAUGAGUACACUAUUUUGUAAGUCACGAACAAUUUUUGAAUUUUUAGGAUAUUCUUCUGUUCAUGAACAUUCUUUGAAUUGGCAAAAUUUUGUUCAAUUUCAUUAAAAUUUCUUUAAUACAUGAAUUUUAUAAAACCCAUGAACAUUUUCGGAUUUCCCAAAAAAUUGUUUUCAAAAUUUCGAACUUUUUGAAUAAGCAACGUUUUUACAUAAAACACGAACAUUUUGUGAAUCAACAAACAUUGUAUGGUUUAUUAAAUAUUUUAUUCAAAAUUCUCAUUUUUUAAUUUUUGAAAAUUUUUAAAGUCCAAAAUUAUUUAAAGUAUAAAAAUAAUAAUAAAAAAAUUUAAAAACAGGCCGCAUGGACAUGUGCCGGCCCAAAUGGGCGCGCUGCGUCUUCUCCUAGUGCGCAGGCGCACUAUAGGAGGUCCCUACUGCAUGGGCCGACCCAGGCGAGGGAUUCCCUUUGUGAGGCGUUUUUUUAUCACUUAUAGGUGGCGUUGGUGGGUAAUAUUUUACAAUUUUGGGGGCCAUUUCCAUGACGUAUUUCAAGAAGCAAUAGCCCCUUUAUUAUUAAUUAGGUAUAGAUAAUGGGGCCAGUCCAUGCUCCAUCGUAUACCUGCUCGUGAUGUGGCCGACAGCACCGGGGGUCACUGCCGCGUCUGUCCUCUGAUGAUGCACGUAUCUUGUGGAACACUCCUAAGUAUCAAGCGUGAGGUUCCCAUGAAUUACUCCUUCCGUAAUAUAAGAUGUUAUCUCAUUCAAUAUGUGAGUAUAUUGGAUGUAGUAACGUCUUAUAUUAUGGGACAGAGGGAGUAGUUACUAGUUAGUAGUGGUGCCACUUUGUUGNNNNNNNNNNNNNNNNNNNNNNNNNNNNNNNNNNNNNNNNNNNNNNNNNNNNNNNNNNNNNNNNNNNNNNNNNNNNNNNNNNNNNNNNNNNNNNNNNNNNNNNNNNNNNNNNNNNNNNNNNNNNNNNNNNNNNNNNNNNNNNNNNNNNNNNNNNNNNNNNNNNNNNNNNNNNNNNNNNNNNNNNNNNNNNNNNNNNNNNNNNNNNNNNNNNNNNNNNNNNNNNNNNNNNNNNNNNNNNNNNNNNNNNNNNNNNNNNNNNNNNNNNNNNNNNNNNNNNNNNNNNNNNNNNNNNNNNNNNNNNNNNNNNNNNNNNNNNNNNNNNNNNNNNNNNNNNNNNNNNNNNNNNNNNNNNNNNNNNNNNNNNNNNNNNNNNNNNNNNNNNNNNNNNNNNNNNNNNNNNNNNNNNNNNNNNNNNNNNNNNNNNNNNNNNNNNNNNNNNNNNNNNNNNNNNNNNNNNNNNNNNACAUGUUUAUCAUGACGUUGGCUUGCAGAACAGCUGCACUGCAACCACGCACGAGGUUCUCGUGAAUUACUAUAUGUAUGUAUGUAUGUAUCGCUUGGUGUUUUGUUUAGUUGUGGCAGAGCUCCUUGUUGGUUGUCCUCGGUGCUCGUAGACACCUAUGCAAUCGCUGUAGGUUGCUCUAUCUCUUCUUUUAAGUUUUUUUUCUGAUCGAAAGGGGUCCCCCCGCCCCUUUUGAUUAAAAACGAGGCAAAAAAGAAACACAUAAUGACUAUUCACAACGCUGGGGCUAAACCGAAGUACCUGAGCUAGUAAGUUCUCAGACCGACCGACAUCAUGAGCAUAAGGAAAUUCAUACAGGAGCUAACUAUCACAUAAGCAUCAACAUCAGCUGGAAUGGGACCUCAGAUAGAUGCCAUGUUGAUCAAUUCUGGUGUUCACUUUAUUCUUCAUCUCGAGGUAAUCCUCUUCUCCGAUCUAGCAGAAGCAUGUGUUCCUUAAUCAAUUUUGAUUGAGUGUCCGAGCAGAGAAUCUUCCAUUGAUGAAGCGACACACUUGCUUUUCCAGAAGAAUCCAUAUAUCUUUCCACACUACUCCUUGAAAACACAAAUCAUUUCGCAGUGUCCAUAAGCUCCAGAUGGAUGCAAUACAUGCCAUACCAAUCAAGUUAUUACUUCAAUUCCACAGAUCAGGUAAUUCAGAUAUACUAGUAGGGGAAAUAAACUGAAAAACUUCAGCAAUGACUCUCCACAAUUUUUUUAUGAGUUAUAUAUGCACAUGUCCGCUUAAUUAUACAUGCAAACGUGUGCGCAUGCAGUUUUCACUGGAUCUUGUUAAUCAUUGAAGUUGACAAGGGAAAAGUUCAAGUACUGGACUCACUACUUAAAAAAGCUGCUAACUACGAAAUCGUGAGGGGGAUGGUCAACAGGUAAUUUCAAUCAUUAUCCAACUAUAUGUUGGCCUCUUUUUAGGUCAUCAUUUCCUGAUACCAACUAAUUAAUAACUCCUUUAUGCCAGUUUCAAAAAAAAAUAACUCCUUUCUUCAUUUUAUUUGCCGGCGGGCAGGGCUUGACAAAAGUUCAUCAAACAGGUUGAAGGCCCACGGAAAAAAGAGCUGAAAUUGAUCCGACCCAAGGCAAUUAAUUAAGUAGCUAGUACCAGCUAGCUACCAUGCAUAUCUUUAAUUCUAAUUUUAAUACCAUUAAUUAUCAUGCUUGACCAAUUAUUAUUUGAUUGAAUUCUAUUCUCGUAAAGGCCCUGAAGCAGGUGCAUGGGACUGAUUUAUGUGUAUUUUAUGUUUGCGAGAACAUUCACAUGAUGACUACCGAAAGGACCAGAACUGAUAGAGACCAAUGGGUACGUUUGCCAGAACACUAUUCAUAAUUUUUACAUCAUUACCUAAUAUAUAUACACACAACUAAUAAUACAUGUAUACUUUGAUCUAUUCUUUAAAGAUGAAGGAGAUGCAGGAUCAGGUCCUACCGGAUGCUCGCGUACGAGCACUUCAAAAGGAAAUAGCGGGAUUUUUGCUCGACCAGGUUAUAGAUCCCAAAGGAGAAUUCCAUUACCCGCUACCGCUAUAAUGCCUCCAUGUAAUGAUCUGCAAAUUGUAGGAGAAAUUGUAUAUACCAAAUUGUAUAUAUACAUGUGUAUGUGUGAAUGGUGGUGCAAGACAUNNNNNNNNNNNNNNNNNNNNNNNNNNNNNNNNNNNNNNNNNNNNNNNNNNNNNNNNNNNNNNNNNNNNNNNNNNNNNNNNNNNNNNNNNNNNNNNNNNNNNNNNNNNNNNNNNNNNNNNNNNNNNNNNNNNNNNNNNNNNNNNNNNNNNNNNNNNNNNNNNNNNNNNNNNNNNNNNNNNNNNNNNNNNNNNNNNNNNNNNNNNNNNNNNNNNNNNNNNNNNNNNNNNCGGUUCUAUGAGAAAUUCUAUUUAUAUAUAUGCAUAACGUGUACAAUAUGUAGUAUCGUAAAAUACCAGCAAAUGAAAAAAAUUAAAUGGAAAAAAUUAAAGGAAAAAUAAAUCAUAAAACCAAAACCCCUAAACCUUUUAGUACCGGUUGGUGUUACCAACCGGUACUAAAGGUCCCCCAACCCCCGGCGCUGGCUCGUGCCACUGAAGGAAAUAUGCCCUAGAUGCAAUAAUAAGUUAUUAUUUAUUUCCUUAUAUCAUGAUAAAUAUUUAUUAUUCAUGCUAGAAUUGUAUUAACCGAAAACAUAAUACUUAUGUGAAUACAUAGACAAACAAAGUGUCACUAGUAUGCCUCUACUUGACUAGCUCGUUGAUCAAAGAUGGUUAUGUUUCCUAGCCAUUGACAUGAGUUGUCAUUUGAUUAAUGGGAUCACAUCAUUAGGAGAAUGAUGUGAUUGACUUGACCCAUUCCGUUAGCUUAGCACACGAUCGUUUAGUAUUCUGCUAAUGCUUUCUUCAUGACUUAUACAUGUUCCUAUGACUAUGAGAUUAUGCAACUCCCGUUUACCGGAGGAACACUUUGUGUACUACCAAACGUCACAACGUAACUGGGUGAUUAUAAAGGUGCUCUACAGGUGUCUCCAAAGGUACUUGUUGGGUUGGCGUAUUUCGAGAUUAAGAUUUGUCACUCCGAUUGUCGGAGAGGUAUCUUUGGGCCCAUUCGGUAAUGCACAUCACUAUAAGCCUUGCAAGCAUUGCAACUAAUGAGUUAGUUGCGGGAUGAUGUAUUGUAGAACGAGUAAAGAGACUUACCGGUAACGAGAUUGAACUAGGUAUUGAGAUACCGACGAUCGAAUCUCGGGCAAGUAACAUACCGAUGACAAAGGGAACAACGUAUGUUGUUAUGCGGUCUGACCAAUAAAGAUCUUCGUAGAAUAUGUAGGAGCCAAUAUGAGCAUCCAGGUUCCGCUAUUGGUGAUUGACCAGAGACGUGUCUCGGUCAUGUCUACAUAGUUCUCGAACCCGUAGGGUCCGCACACUUAAAGUUUCGAUGACAGUUAUAUUAUGAGUUUAUGAGUUUUGAUGUACCAAAGGUUGUUCGGAGUCCCGGAUGUGAUCACGGACAUGACGAGGAGUCUCAAAAUGGUAGAGACAUGAAGAUUGAUAUAUUGGAAGCCUAUAUUUGGAUAUCGGAAGUGUUCCAGGUGAAAUCGGGAUUUUACCGGAGUACCGAGGGGUUACCGGAACCCCCCGGGGGGUUAAUCGGCCACAGUGGGCCUUAGUGGAGAAGAGGAGAGGCGGCCAGGGCAAGGGCCGCGUGCCCCUCCCCCCUAGUCCGAAUAGGACAAGGAGAAGGGGGCGCCGCCCCCCCUUUCCUUCUCCUCCACUUCUUUCCCCCCUUCUCCUAUUCCAACAAGGAAGGGAGGGAGUCCUACUCCCGGUGGGAGUAGGACUCCUCCUGGCGCGCCUCCUCCUGGCCGGCCGCACCUCCCCCUUGCUCCUUUAUAUACGGGGGCAGGGGGGCACCCUAGAAACACAGCAAUUGAUCGUUUGAUCUUUUAGCCGUGUGCGGUGCCCGCUCCACCAUAGUCCACCUCGAUAAUACUGUAGCAGUGCUUAGGCGAAGCCCUGCGUCGGUAGAACAUCAUCAUCGUCACCACACCGUCGUGCUGACGAAACUCUCCCUCAGCACUCGUCUGGAUCGGAGUUCGAGGGACGUCAUCGGGCUGAACGUGUGCUGAACUCGGAGGUGCCGUGCGUUCGGUACUUGAUCAGUCGGAUCGUGAAGACGUACGACUACAUCAACCGCGUUGUGCUAACGCUUACGCUUUCGGUUUACGAGGGUCAAGGGUACGUGGACACACUCUUCCCUCUCGUUGCUAUGCAUCACCAUGAUCCUUUGUGUGCGUAGGAUUUUUUUUGAAAUUACUACGUUCCCCAACAUCCACGUGGUGACCCUUUAGUGGCUGUUCAUGUUGAACCAGGACUAAAGGGGGGGGGGGGGGGCUUUAGUCCCCACCCUUCAGUGCUGGUUAUAGAACCGACACUAAGGGGCCUCACGAACCGGUGCUAAAGCCCAAUUCUGCACUAAUGGGGGUAAACUGCUCAGUUAGGAGGCCAAACUUAUUUUACUAAGGACAUGCAUCAAGUAUUCCCAUGUAUUUGAUGCUUAUCAUUAGGUUCCCUAAAUGGGAUAUUAAUGCCAUUACUUCUCAGAUGGCUCACUUUCUUUGCGAAAACAGUGGCAAUAAUCAUAGAUACCACUUGAAAAAUAUGGUGUUGGUGUCUCAGAGAAAAGCUUUUUGGGGAUUGGAUCUGCCUAAUUUGAGAGAUUUUUUUUCUUUAUUAGCUUCUUGGGCCAAAAUAUAUUUCGUGGAAAUAGAAUAGUAGAUUCUUGUGGAUCAUAAAUAUAGCACUUUUAAUACCAACAUUGUUUGGUGCAAACAGGGUGUUGGUUCUCCAUUUGGAAGGAAUUUACAAGGGCAGGCUUUUCCUAUUGUUAGACCUUGGUAAUGGAAAUGGCAUUAGUUUUUGGCAUGACAUUUCGGCUUGUGAUACUACUUUGAAAACUUAGUUUUGGGAAAUUUUUGAGAACUAUCAAUAACAUAAUGUUGCGAAAUGUAGUAGAAAGUAUUGUUUCGUCCUACGAAUCAUACUCCCAAGAUAAGUAUGAAGAUUCAAGUUAGAUUGGAUCUGAUAUUUACAAACAAGAGUGCGACGAAAGAUGUGCUCGCGUAGAUCGUUGGUGUAGACUCCCAUAGUUAUGAUUUACAACCUCCCAACCAUGAUAAUUUCCCACCUCGAACAAAUAUCAAAAGCAUGAUAUCUCUGUCAGUAUCAAGUGUCAACGCAUACAAAAUUUACAGUUCAAUAGAGAUUCAUCUUCCAAAGCUAAGCUAUGCCAAAGAAAUAGAGAUAGGGUGGAGUAGCCUUUCGACGGUCAAGCAAUUUCCAUGGAGAGAGAGAGAGAGAGAGAGAGAGAGAGAGAGAGAGAGAGAGUGGGAGCCCUAGAGCCACAUUGGAUGCAAUCUAGGGGCUGCCCCUCACAUAUAUAUAGGAGCGUGGGAGGUGGGGCUGCAUUGGAGGAGGAGGCACCUCCUCAUUGGGCCGGCGAACCAAGAGGUGGGUGCCCUACCAAAGCCUAGCCGCCCAAGUGGCUUUGCCCCUAGGCAAAAAGGGGCACCCACUAUUUGGGCCUUUUAGGGCCAUGUGCCCCCCCCCACUUGGGCUUGCCAAGUUGACAAACCCAUGACACCAUAUAUAUUUAUCUGGGAGGUCCCAGAACACUUUGAAACCCUCCUUGAUUUUCCGGUGAUUUUUUAGUCUUCCUGGACUUUCCCGGUUUUCCAAAACUUCUCCAGUUUUCUGUGAAACACUUUAGUUUUGCUCCGAAACAUUUUUUGUUCUUCGUCGAAAGAUUUUUAUCUGCUCGAAACUUUCUCGGUGAAUUGCUCAAGAAGUUAACACUUAUAGUACUAACAAAGUAGUGAACCUUAAGCAGAUGACCCUGCAGGUUUCGUAAAGUGCAGAAAUGACCUGGAACUCCAUCGGUAAAUGAUCAAUAGCGAAACCUUGGACAUCCAUAUUGACCCCUACACUUGUAUGAAUUAUUAUUCGACUGAACUUUAGUUUCCCGUACAAAAUUCCUUUUCUUCGUUAUACUUUACAAAACUUGAUGCGAGGCUUAUCGGUAUCCAUGUGAAGCAAGUCUUGAUCAUUAAACCAAGUAAUCCUUGUUACCAAUUUUAUUUCUUUUCUUUUCUUGUUUCCGUAUUCUAGCGUCCCCGUGAUCAUAUCAUGUUGUAUCUAGAUAGACGAUGAUUGAUAUCAUAAUACAGAGAGGUCACGGAGAAUCUCUCUCCAUCGCCAAAGGAGCAAAUCUCAAUCUUUAGCUAUCGAGUCAUUGAGAUACUUUUUUGAUGCACCCCAAAGUUGCCGUUAUGAUCACCCUGUUACGGGUAAUGUUGCACGAACCCCAAAGUCUCUGUCCGACACGAAGGUACAUUGAUAUUAUCAUGGUCUAAGUAAGUGAGUAUACGUAAACAUUUGCAUGAUUAUACUUAUAAAAAUAUGACGAUGUGAUCGAGAAGUAUAUCAUUAAGUUGGGUAUGUCAACACCAUUGUUCCACCAACAAUGUGUUUACAUUAUUCCCGACAUCCAUUCUUACUUUGACAAUGCGCAUGAUCAGGAAAACAUGAUCGUCAACAAUACAUGGUAUAGUUUUAAAACUGAGACUAGGGAUCUAGUUGGUGUUUAUUAUUUUACACAUGCUAAUGAGUUUUUCCUCUGAAUCUCAUUUUUGUGCCAGGACCAUUGCAACUAUAGCAUAGAAAGAUAAACAGUAAUUAUGAACAUGGAAAUAAAUAAUAAUGUUAUUAUUGCCUUUAGGGCAUAUUUCCUUCACAUAAUUGCUCUAUCUCACAUGUUUGGGCUUACGGUGAAACUUUUUGUUCCCAAUUUUAACGCCGACCAACUUAUAUGGCUGGUGGAAGCAUCCAGAACAUAUACCACCAAAUCCUUCUAGAUAUGAUUAAUUUUGGUGGGGUUUUUGCCCCUUUUUGGAAGUGGUUCUGGAAGAUUCCUAUUCCUCCCAAUUUUCAUGUUUGAAUUGCCUGUUGCUAAUGACCAGUUUUCGAAUAGAGAUAAAUUAGGUAAGAUACAUAAUAUAUAUUGAGGACUUAACCUCUUUAUUUUGUGGUGAGAUGGAGAAUGUUCACCACUUGGCUUUUUAUAUAUACAAAUAUCUAUGUAUGAUUUUUCAAUUUUUCAACCCAAACAAAAACUAUAGUUUUUUAGUGAAAAAAUAAUUUUGAAAUUUUGACAACCAUGUUCAAAAAGUGACAUAUUUAUGAUACAGAGGGAGUAGUGCUGAUGAUAAGGUAGAUAGCAAGGAAAAAGGCAAGUCUGAAUUCAGCAUGGUCAUCACAGAACAAAAUAGACACUGCAGGUUUAAACAUGCACAACAAAUGUUUAACAAAGCCAAAAUGUACCGAUUGAAGGUGCAAGUUGGGUUGCAUACAUAAGUUUUGAUGCCUCAAAAAAUUCUGCAACUGCAAGCAAGUUGUAUCAUUCUUUUGGAGGACAAUUUCAGUGAUCGAUAUUUCCUCGUGUCUCGUAUAAUGUAUACACCUAAAAUCAGAAAUUCCGAUCAGAAUCUGGGCUGCAAGUUUCUAGGUGAUGUGUUAUGGUAUAUGUAUACUUCAAUUUUUAAUAUGUAUGCAAAAUAAUAGACCUCUUAUAUGUCAUAUUGAUCUGCAGGUUGUAGGUAGUGAAAUAAUCACAGAGAUCUUGCAGAAAAGCCAACUUGAGUUACACAUGAUUAAACCUCUAGCUCAGAAACUGUUCGGAAAAGAAAUGGUAAAGGAUUGACAUACAGGUGAGGGGCUCCACUUCAGCUUGGGCCAGGCCAAUGUGUCGAGUCUAGUUUUGUUUUUUGAGAACAGCGCCGAGUCAAGCUACCAGGCUACAUACGAGCUAAUGGAGUUUCCGGCCUCACCCUACGGGAUGGACUCGUGUACUGCCCAGCUUGCUACCCACUGGACAAUGCAAAAUAUCAUGAUCUGCUGCAUAAACGAGCAGACAGUAACAAUGUAUGAUCCGUCUGACAGAACUAGAAAAAAAUAAUCAGAAAACAAACUUAGUAAAGAGAAACCGGUUGGAAGUUAAUCUCGUGCAAAAAGAUCUAGUUGCAUCGGUGUUGAAUGCAUCUCAUGCACCACGAGCUUAUCGACGAUGAGAGUGGAGCCGGUAGCAUUGUUGAAAACGUACAGCCCAGCCGCCUCAUAGAUGGCCUCAGUCGGGUACACUCGGGACGUCGCCGUCAAUCUCCCGCCCAUAACGAAGCUCUCCACAAUGGAAUGAUCCACAAGAAUCCUAGCGGAUAAGGCCUCUCCGUUGAGCACCGGAACAGUGCUGCCCACCACACGCUUUACAACAUUCCUGGCCAGCGAUGACUGCGACUCGUCAUGGCAGAAGUGGGUCCGGAGGUCCCCGUCAAGGCUCCUAGACAUGUAGAAGUACAUUGCCAUUUGUUCACUGUGACCGUUGGUGAGGAGGAGGCCGAAGGGGCCGAGCGCACCCCGGUUGGUGGCACCACCGCUAGUGCUGCAGUUGUAGCCGAUGUCGGCCUCGUUGUGGGCUGCGAUGUCAGAAGUGUUGAGGCAGAAGGAGGCCUCUAUGUCGAGCUGAGCGGCUUGCCGGAGAUGCAGGGGGAAGAUGGAGCCAGUGCCGAUGGUGAUGCCACUGAGGUCAGUUGUAUUAUGAUGGAGGGUCUCAAUCUCCUCCACCGGCCAUUGGAGGAGGUUCGUCCGGGUCUUCUCGUCCAGCGCCACCGUCCUCGGAAUCGCCUACAUCAUACACCAUUAAUUAGAGAGUUCAUUUUAAUUCAAGCUAGGUAAUUCCGGUGAUCAUGAUGGCACUUUGAUAUCAAGAACCACAACCUUUUCUUCUAGCUAAUAAGAUGUUUCUGUUCGUCAGAUGAUCUCUUGCCUGCUCAUGGAUUCAGCAGGCAACUUAAAAGGUUCUCUUAUGUGCGAAAAAGUACAAGCUGGCUUAUAACACAAACGUGAUGGAAAUGCUCAAUCUCAACCUUUUUGAGUUAGAUUCGAUCUUCUCAGAGAGCCUAAUAGUGAAAUGAGUCGGAGAAAAAGCAUAGCCAAAAUAUUUUUGAAGUCACAAAUACAAAUAAUUACUACAUGUGUUCACUAUUAUACGAUGUUUUGGAUAUUUUAAUAUAUGCUAAAUAUGGACCAAAAUGAGUGAAUAAACACAGUAAAACAUGUCUAUAUACAUCCGAAUCAGGAAAUUUUUGAACAUCUUAUAAUAAUGAACGGAGCGAGAAUCUAUCUAUCAAACAUGCAUAAUGAAUUAAUGCAAGAUAACUAUGNNNNNNNNNNNNNNNNNNNNNNNNNNNNNNNNNNNNNNNNNNNNNNNNNNNNNNNNNNNNNNNNNNNNNNNNNNNNNNNNNNNNNNNNNNNNNNNNNNNNNNNNNNNNNNNNNNNNNNNNNNNNNNNNNNNNNNNNNNNNNNNNNNNNNNNNNNNNNNNNNNNNNNNNNNNNNNNNNNNNNNNNNNNNNNNNNNNNNNNNNNNNNNNNNNNNNNNNNNNNNNNNNNNNNNNNNNNNNNNNNNNNNNNNNNNNNNNNNNNNNNNNNNNNNNNNNNNNNNNNNNNNNNNNNNNNNNNNNNNNNNNNNNNNNNNNNNNNNNNNNNNNNNNNNNNNNNNNNNNNNNNNNNNNNNNNNNNNNNNNNNNNNNNNNNNNNNNNNNNNNNNNNNNNNNNNNNNNNNNNNNNNNNNNNNNNNNNNNNNNNNNNNNNUAUGUAUGUAUGUAUCGAGCAUGCAUAAAUAGCGAAUGGAACUGAUGAUAGAUGCUAAACACGUGGUAAAACAGAUCAAAUAUAUGUACAAUAAAGAUACCUGGAGGUUUGCCCAUCCCUUGGCGAGGUCGGUCCGGUUGGAUUCUGUCUCACCAACAUACGCCCACAUCACACGUCGCCGCUUUGCCGGAUCAUAGAAUGUCGUGGACGCAAAUAACUUUCCCCAAUUGUACGUCAGUCCGAUUCCCACAUCUGCUUCUAGGUCCAGCGGUGUCCAUGUGUUGGUCACUGCGUCAUACUUUCCCAAUGCGUAGUAGUCAUGUCGUUCAUCGUCCAUGCUCGCCUUCAGGACGUACAACUCUUCCUGCAGUGAUGAGUUGCUAUUGCCCCCAACAGGGUAGAAGUCGACGCACUCCCACAUGCCGGUGCCCUCGACGCGGUGGACCGGACGCGGGAUGAGCUCGAACUUGACGAAGUCUUUUGUCUUGUACAUGAGGGCGAUGCCAGCAUGCCCGUUGUUGUCCUUGGACCCGAUCAUGGUGCGCCAUGUGUUGUCGGACUUGUCAAACCAUGCGGUCAUGGGGUCACGGAAGUCCUUUUUGUAUGUCCCGGGGGGCGGGAAGAGGACCGGGUUGGCGGGGUGCUUGAUCCAGGUGCGGAGGAGAGGGUCAUGAGGGUCUGCAGGUUCGGCAACGCACUGUACCUGGGCGAGCGUGUCGGUGUUCCCUGUGUAGAGCAGGACGACCUUGCCGUCGGGAAGUAUGGUGGCGGAGCCCGUCAAAACGCCGUCAAUGUCGUACCAUCGGUCAGGCACCAUGGCGAGGGGUAGGUGGUGCCAGUGGACCAUGUCUCGCGACACGGCGUGGCCCCACGAGAUGUUUCCCCACGUGACACCCUCCGGGUUGUACUGGUAAAAGAAGUGGUACCAUCCACGGUAGUACAUUGGAGCUGCAUGUUAUUCGUGUUUCAAUUAAUCAGUACUCCUAGUUCCUUGCCAAUGGAUAGACAUUAGACAUAGAGAGAGACGACAGCUGGUCAGGAUUAAAAGUGAUGAGGAUCCUACUCACUCACCGUUUGGAUCUGCAUGCAUACAUGCGUGCAUGUCGCCGGAGCACGUAAGCAAAAGGUGGUCAGUUUCUUUCUCCGCCAAGCAAACAAACAAAACGACAGCAAAAAAGGCAGCUAGCAAUUGCCAGUCAGUUUCUUCCUCCAAACAUAGAGCAAGGCGAGGAGAAAGAACACAGGAGGAUUUGCAUCUAAAAAUUCCAUCAUCGGAAGUAAUGGAUUCCAUACCGUUCAUGUAGUUCUUCUCCGGCUGGAAAUGGUAACCGGUGCGCUGCCACUGCAGCAUGGCGUUGCUCCACGGGAAGCCAUCGGCCUCAUCGCCGAUUUCCCCCACCGUCUUCUCCGACGACGGCACGGCCGCCUCCUCCCGCCUGGCUCUCCGGAGACGGAGCACCGGGCUAACCACGUCGCCCAGAUCCCCCACCCUGGCCCCUGGGAGGAGCGAGUGGGUGACGACGAACACCACCAUGGCCGCGGCGCCCAGCACGGCAACGCACUCGCGCCACUUCAUGCCGCCGCCGCUCCGCUGCUGCAUCGACGCGUACGAGUACAGGACGGGCGGCGUGCCGGCGCGUGACUUCAUCGCGACGGCCGCGGCUAGAAAACUGAAGAGGAAAGCUUUCGACCGGGGUCUUUCUUGAGUCUUAGAGAGCGCAAUUUAUAGCUGCGCCGAGGCCAGGGAAAGUUAGUACUAAAUCACUAAUUUAGACUCAUCUUUACACUAACAUCCAUAUAUGUGGGCGUUUGCCUCUCGUCUAUAUGCAUGGAUCAACGCCCAUUUGUAUUUGCAUGAAUCUUGGUAUGUUUUGUUAGAUUUUUUAAUGCUACAUAAGACUAGGUUGGUGUGUGGGCAUACGUCCGGUCGCCCACACGUUCGUUUCACUACGUGAAGGGGCUGAUAUGUGGGCGUUUAGCAGUUCGCCCACACGUCGGUUUUCAUGUACGCAGAGGGGCUGGUGUGUGGGUGUUUAUCAGUUCGCCCACACGUCCGUCUUCUCUCCCAUACCCAAAGCUGUCAGUUGCCAUGUGUUUUGCAGGGUACAUGACAACUGCCCUAGUGUGCUUGUAAGCAGAUGACAACUCUCUCUUUACCCGAACAUUUUAUUUUUGCCGUGUCUUUUUUAGUGUUAUAUGGCAACUGCCUAGUGUUAGUAGGUGGCAACUCCUAAAGAUACCACCUUCGUCCACACGCCCGUCUCCUCUCACACACCAAGUUGUCAGUUGCCAUAGGCGUGUUUGGUUUGUCGGCUCGCACCUGCAUCGCACCACACAUGCAUAAUCUGGCCUGUUUGGUGUCCUGUGUGGCCUCCUCAGCCUGGCCCAACUGAUGCAAACAGAGGCCCGUCAGCCAGGCUGAGAGGAAUGCAGGAAUCGGACGUUCCUGCGAUGCAGCCUCGUGCCUGCACCCGCGCUUCCACUUAAAACGAACCGGUACACGGAUAGGCCCUGAUAUUUACCAGAAUUACUUCAAAAGUGCCACCGCAACUCUCUUUCAUCUCCUCUCAGAUCAGAUCGAGGACCCAAACCAAUCGCUGCCGCCGCCGUCGGGAGCUCCUUCUUGUGCCACCGGUCAGGACUACCUCGUCCGCAACUGGUCAGAGCUCCCUCGUCCUCGACCCCGCCACCCUAGCUCCCUCUUUCGCCAUCGCUCCGAGCUCCAUAGUCCGUUGCGACUCUGCCGCUGGAGUUCCAUGCCCCUCGCCCGCCGGCGCCUGGAUGCAUCUACUUGGCAAGACCUGCUUCGGAAGGGGAGGCGCGCCUACAACGGCUCGGCCGGACUGUCCGUGGUCGCGGCGGCGUCAUGGCCUCAUGGGGAGCUGGUGGUGUAGGAGCUGGCCGAUUUCUCAUACAAGCUUCCAAACGCCAUCUCACAUUGACCUGUCCCUCAACAUGCACACAACCAAACAUACAUCUCAACCCAUUUUUCCAUCAGCUUAGCCAGACUAGACUCACCGAGGAUGGUGGAUGCGAUGCAUCGUGAGGCUAUGCAUGAAACCAAACACGCCCCAUGUGUUUUGCAGGGUACAUGACAACUGCCCUAGUGUGCUUUUAAGCAGAUGACAACUCUCUCUUUACCCGAAUAUGUUAUUUUGCCAUGUCUUUUUGUAGUGCUACAUGGCAACUGCCUAGUGUUAGUAGGUAGCAACUCCUAAAGUUUUCAAAUCAUGGCAAUUGUUGUAGACCAGACCAUACAUGACAACAUCUGCAGUUGUCCAAAAAUGGCAUCUGGCACUUGACCUGAGAUGGCAACUGCAGUUGAGCAACCAUGGCAACUGUAGUUGUCAGACAUGGCAACUGUAGCUCAGCAACAUGGCAACUGCAGUUAAACGAACAUGAAAAAAGAUUCGGACCAUGACAACUGCGGGGACGUGUGGUGACUGUCACGUGGGGCGUGUGGCUCGCAGGUGGGGAGGGACGACGGCCGAGAGAGGUCGUGCAGGCCGUGGGGUCGCUCACCCGGACGUGUGGGCGAACGUGACGAACACCGGACGUGCGGGCUGUGGCGGGGUGUGUCCGGACGCGCGGGUGCGGACGAGCCUGUGUCGAUGCCACACGGGGCGUGCGGCACAUGCCUCCUAAAUGCCACACGUGUGAUGGAUAUCGGCGUCCAUAUUGCGAAUGAAUUUAGACUCAUCUUAAUCCAAAAGAUAUAUACGUGCCCUAUUAAUUAAUUUAGACACGUGCAUACAACAAACUUUAGUGAGUACCGUGAUGUCAAAAAAAAAAGACUAUAGUGAGUACCAAUUUUAGGCAUAACAUUCAAUGCUCCAAAUUAACAGUGCAGACAGAUCCAAACAAAAUACAGUUGAGGAGAGCAGGCACAACCAAAAUACAGUUAAAGGAAACAAUACAGAGUACUAGCCUCGCCGGCCAGGACGAACGAGUGGUUUCGGCCUCGCCGAUCAAGGUAAAAGGGUAACAGUCCUUAUCAUAAGUGUCAGGAAUAAGAUGCAUCAACCGUUAAAUAGACUAGACAUGUCAUGACGUGGUGUGGUUACAUUGUUCAUACGCACUUAGGUCAAACUGACUUACGAAGAUAGUGUGUGCAUCUUCAGUCUGAAUAAAUAAAACGAUAUUCGUAUUCAAAGUCUACAAGUUUGAGUACAACAUGCGUAAAAGGUCACUUAUUUCUGAUAUGAAGGGCUCGAUGAUGGUAUGAUAAAUGGCAAUUAGUCAAAAGUUACCUCAACAGGGUCAUCACACAGUAAAAUAGACACUAUAGAUUGAAGACCUUUUGCAAAACCAAAACCUACGGAUCGAAAGCUGCAAGUUGAUCUGCAUACAAAACUUACCUUGUGGUAAAAGGGAUCCGCCAUACCCACAAUUUUUUAGAUGAACAGGGAGGCCUCUCCCCGGUUCCAUCUAGAAUGAAACCAUCUGAAUACAGCCCACUUGUGUCUGAGGGUUCCUUAUUAGAAGCACACAUGCGCGCAAUAGCUAAGCUGAUGCUAAACGGUAGAAAAGGAAAAACAUGGGAAGAUCAAGUUAUUACCCUCGAGCAGUCCAAUGAUCUGCCAGGGAGUGAUACAGAGACAUGAGGGCCAGGGUACAGCGAGCACCCGCCCCUUAUCAUAGCGCGAUCAUAUCUUCACGCCUUCUGAACUUGAAUGGCGGCACCAGUGCAGCUUGGGGUGACCAGCAGAUGGCGAGGGUGGACACCGGGCUGGUCAUGGCGACCUUGUCAUUUGUCUCGCUUCGUGACAGGAGAUUGGAAGCAUCCUUUUUCUUCUGAGAUCCCGAGGUUACUCCAGCCAGAAUCAACUUCAAAUCUUGUGGCCUUCAUCUUCAGCCACUCAAGAUCCUCAAGGGUUGUUGGAGAAGUUUUGUCAGGGCACUCAUGAACGCCUCAAUCUUUGGUUUGCCGGCCUCUGGGGUCAAAAUCAUCCAGAAUUUGAGCAUUUCGAGGAUCAAACUCCACACAUGGAUAAUAGAGGUCCAACUGGCGUUGUUAAAAAACAUAGAUUUACUAUAUUUCCGCAAACACCAUAGGAUAGCAGAGCUAAUAAUGUUCACAGCCAAGUUCUUUUUGUUAGAAACCCAAAAUCGAGCAACAGACUCAAAGUUUGCGCCUAUCUCCAUUUGGAAAUGAUGGCUAACAAAGGACCAUACAUUCCUGGCAACUACACAAUCAAAGAAUAAAUGGUGAUUUGACUCAUUAUCAGCACAGAACACACAAUCUAGGGAUUUGAUUAUGUGCCUUUUCCUCAGGUAAUCCCUGGUCAUCAGCUUAUUUUGGGAAAACAACCAGAGAAACACAUGAAUCUUGGGGGGCACUGCCAGUUUCCACACAGCUGGCAGAAACAAAGGCUGCACACCCCUAAAAUUGAUCACAUGAUAUAAAGAACUAGAAGAAUAAACCCCUUUUGUUUUCUAGUUGCCAGAUGAGGGCAUCUGGGUCAUUUCUGAAGGUGAUCCCCCCAGCAAUCUCUACAAUUUGGUACCAUUGCUCCAUGAGCCUGUAAUCAAUGUUUCUCCUAAAUGUAAGUUUAAGGACCUCACCAUCCCAUACCUCACUAAUACUUUUAGGAGAUAAACGCAUCAUUGGUCAUUGAACUCUUGUGAGAUGAGUACAUUGAUCAUUCCUCACUCAAAAUGUGAUGAACCGGUAACAACACUCACUUUUAUGAGCAAACUGGUCACUCUGCCGUUUCCAGCCGUAACGGGCGCUAAGGUGGCAUGCUGACUCAGCGUUGGGCCGACGCCCGUGGCACAUGCGCAUAUCAGAGGGCGGGAUAUUGCUACUUCUUGAGGUUGCGUUGCUUUUUCCCUUGAAGAGGAAAGGGUGAUGCAGCAAAGUAGAGAUAAGUAUUUCCCUCAAUUGAGAACCAAGGUAUCAAUACAGUAGGAGAAGAACGCGCAAAUCACCAAUUAAUACCUACACAAACAAUCAAACACUUGCACCCAACGCUAUAAAGGGGUUAUCAAUCCCUUCGCGGUUACUUGCAAAAGUAAGAUCUGAUAGAGAUAGAUAAAUAAAAGUAAAAUAUUUUGGGUUUUUGAUUUAUAGAACUGAAAGUAAAAGAUUGCAAAAUAGUAGAUCAGAAAGUUAUAUGAUAGAAAAUAGACCCGGGGGGCAUAGGUUUCACUAGAGGCUUCUCUAAUGAUAGCAAAUAAUACGGUGGGUGAACAAAUUACUGCCGAGCAAUUGAUAGAAAAGCGCAAAGUUAUGACGAUAUCCAAGGCAAUGAUUAUGUAAUAUAGGCAUCACAUCCGUGUCAAGUAGACCGACACCUGCGUGCAUCUAGAGUAUUAAGUUCAUAAAGAACAGAGUAACGCCUUAAGUAAGAUGACAUGAUGUAGAUGAAUAAACUCAAGCAAUAUGAUGAAAACCCCAUCUUUUUAUCCUUGAUGGCAACAAUACAAUAUGUGCCUCGCUACCCCUACUUUGUCACUGGGUGAGGACACCGCAAGAUUGAUCCCAAAGCCAAGCACUUCUCCCAUUGCAAGAAAAACCAAUCUAGUUGGCCAAACCAAACCGAUAAUUCGAAGAGAAUUACAAGGAUAUCAAAUCAUGCAUAUAAGAAUUCAGAGAAGAUUCAAAUAAUAUCCAUAGAUAAGCUGAUCAUAAAUCCACAAUUCAUAGGAUCUCGACAAACACACCACAAAAUAAGAUUACAUCAGAUAGAUCUCCAAGAACAUCGAGGAGAACAUGGUAUUGAGAAUCAAAGAGAGAGAAGAAGCCAUCUAGCUACUAGCUAUGGACCCGUAGGUCUGUGGUAAACUACUCACGCUACAUCGGAAGGGCAAUAGAGUUGAUGUAGAUGCCCUCCAUGAUCGAAUCCCCCUCCGGCAGGAUGCUGGAAAAGGCCUCAAGAUGGGACCUCACGGGGUAUAGAAGGUUGCAGCGGCAGAAAAGUGUUUUCGUGGAUGCUUCUGAGGGUUUUGGAAUAUUUCUGAAUUUAUAGGACAAAGAAGUAGGCCAGUGGAGUCAUGGGGGGAGGGGCACAAGGCAGGGGGACGCGCACACCCCCCUAGGGCGCGCCCUCCACCCUUGUCGCCGCCUCGUGGCUCUUAUGACUUGGAUCUCAAGUCCCCUGGGUGUCUUCUGGUCCAAGAAAAAUCAUCCUAAAGUUUCAUUCCGUUUGGACUCUAUUUAAUAUUUCUUUUCUGCAAAACUCAAAAACAAGGAAAAAACUGGCACUGGGCUCUACAUUAAUAAGUUAGUCCCGAAAAUAAUAUAAAAUAACAUAUUAAUGCAUAUAAAACAUCCAAAACAGAUAAUAUAACAAUAAAAAAUUAUAGAUACGUUGGAGACGUAUCAUGCAUCCCCAAGCUUAAUUCCUGCUCAUCCUCGAGUAGGUAAAUGAUAAAAAUAGAAUUUUUGAUGUGGAAUGCUACCUAACAUAUUUAUCAAUGUAAUUCUUAUUUAUUGUGGCAUGAAUGUUCAGAUCCAUAAGAUUCAAAACAAAAGUUUAUCAAUAUCAAAACAAUAAUACUUCAAUCAUACUAAAAAGCAAAUUAUGAAGCUUCAAAAAUAACAUGGCUAAAGAAAGUUAUCCCUACAAAAUCAUAUAGUCUAGUUAUGCUCCCUCUUCUAAACACAAAGUAUAAAUCAUGCCCAUAUCGGUGUCAGCCAAGCAAUUGUUUCAUAGUUUGUAACGUGAUUCAGCUUUUUCAACUCUUCACGCAAUACAUGAGCGUGAGCCAUGGACAUAGCACUAUGGAUGGAAUAGAAGGUGGUAUUGGACAAAAGGAGGGAGAAAGUCUCACGUCAACUAGGCAAAUUAAUGGACUAUGGAGAUGUCCAUCAAUUGAUGUCAAUGUGAGUGAGUAGGUAUUGCCAUGUAACGGAUGCACUAGAGCUAUAAGUGUAUGAAAGCUCAAAAGAAAAAUAACUGGGUAUGCAUCCAACUUGCUUGCUCAUGAAGACCUAGGGCAAUUUGAGGAAGCCCAUCGUCGGAAUACACAAGCCAAGUUAUAUAAUGAAAAAUUCCCACUAGUAUAUGAAAGUGACAACAUAGGAAACUCUUUAUCAUGAAGAUCAUGGUGCUACUUUGAAGCACAAGUAUGGAAAAUUUGGCUCUUGUUGCGAUGACAUCGAUCCAAUGGCGAUGGGUGCAUGAUCAGAUGGUACUUCUAUUUAUAUAUACUAGCAUAUAUGCCUGUGCAUUGCAAAGGGAGAGAUAUUUUUUUGUGAGAAGCAUCGGGAAAGAUAAUUGAUGUGUCCAUAAAAACGGUCUCAACGGCGGUGGGGCAACAGAGCGAGGAGAUGCGGUGUUCUUGCGGGUCAUGUUUGCCCGGCGAAAUCUGGAUAGUGGUGGGGUUGGUCUGACUGGCGGCCACCAUCCAACUUGUGCCUUUUUUUCUCCAGGUCUGCCUCUGUGUCGAGGUUGUGGUUGCCUCCUCACUUUGUGGCUACACGGCGACCUUCGGGGCAAAGUUGCUUCAACCAAUCUCUCCUACGAUGGUGUAACCGGAUGGGUUACUAAUUGCAGUAAAUCCCGUUUCAUUGGCAUAAUCAUCACAUAACCAUGUAGUCCUUAUUUUACCAUGGUGUAUUCUCUUUAAUUAUUUUAGCACUCACUUGCCCAUAAUUACUUUUAAUUAUAGCCAACCAAUAUAUUCUCUUUUAUUGUCAAAUAGCACGUGGAACGCACAACAGCUCACGUCUGGGCUAGGCCACUGGUAGGCACCAAAACGACCUAUGUUGGUAAGGCGCGAAAAAAAGAAUGAGUUGAAGGAUCAAACUGUUGGGGAACGUAGUAAUUUCAAAAAAAUUCCUACGCACACGCAAGAUCAUGGUGAUGCAUAGCAACGAGAGGGGAGAGUGUGUCCACGUACCCUCGUAGACCGAAAGCGGAAGCGUUAGCACAACGCGGUUGAUGUAGUCGUACGUCUUCACGAUCCGACCGAUCAAGUAUCGAACGCGCGGCACCUCCGAGUUCAGCACAUGUUCAACUCGAUGACGUCCCUCGAACUCUGAUCCAGCCGAGCUUUGAGGGAGAGUUCCGCCAGCACGACGGCGUGGUGACGAUGAUGAUGUUCUACCGACGUAGGGCUUCGCCUAAGCACCUCUACGAUAUGACCGAGGUGGAUUAUGGUGGAGGGGGGCACCGCACACGGCUAAGAGAUCCAAGGGAUCAAUUGUUGUGUCUAUGGGGUGCUCCCCUACCCCCGUAUAUAAAUGAGCAAGGGAGAGGCCGGCCCUAGAGGGGGCGCGCCAAAUGUGGGGAGUCCUACAGGUUCAAGAACUAUGUAGACAUGACCGAGACACGUCUCCGGUCAAUAACCAAUAGCGGAACCUGGAUGCUCAUAUUGGCUCCUACAUAUUCUACGAAGAUCUUUAUCGAUCAGACCGCAUAACAACAUACGUUGUUCCCUUUGUCAUCGGUAUGUUACUUGCCCGAGAUUCGAUCGUCGGUAUCUCAAUACCUAGUUCAAUCUCGUUACCGGCAAGUCUCUUUACUCGUUUCGUAAUACAUCAUCCUGCAACUAACUAAUUAGUUGCAAUGCUUGCAAGGCUUAUAGUGAUGUGCAUUACCGAGUGGGCCCAGAGAUACCUCUCCGACAAUCGGAGUGACAAAUCCUAAUCUCGAAAUAUGCCAACCCAACAAGUACCUUCGGAGACACCUGUAGAGCACCUUUAUAAUCACCCAGUUACGUUGUGACGUUUGGUAGCACACAAAGUGUUCCUCCGGUAAACGGGAGUUGCAUAAUUCAUAGUCAUAGGAACAUGUAUAAGUCAUGAAGAAAGCAAUAGUAACAUACUAAACGAUCAAUUGCUAAGCUAACGGAAUGGGUCAAGUCAAUCACAUCAUUCUCCUAAUGAUGUGAUCCCGUUAAUCAAAUGACAACUCUUUGUCCAUGGCUAGGAAAUAUAACCAUCUUUGAUCAACGAGCUAGUCAAGUAGAGGCAUACUAGUGACACUCUGUUUGUCUAUGUAUUCACACAUGUAUCAUGUUUCCGGUUAAUACAAUUCUAGCAUGAAUAAUAAACAUUUAUCAUGAUAUAAGGAAAUAAAUAAUAACUUUAUUAUUGCCUCUAGGGCAUAUUUCGUUCAGUCUGCCACUUGCACUAGAGUCAAUAAUCUAGUUCACAUCGCCAUGUGAUUUAACAACAAUAGUUCACAUCGUCAUGUGACCAACACCCAAAGGGUUUACUAGAGUCAAUAAUCUAGUUCACAUCGUUAUGUGAUUAACACCCGAAGAGUACUAUGGUGUGAUCAUGUUUUGCUUGUGAGAGAAGUUUAGUCAACGGGUCUGCCACAUUCAGAUCCGCAUGUAUUUUGCAAAUUUCUAUGUCAACAAUGCUCUACACAGAGCUACUCUAGCUAAUUGCUCCCACUUUCAAUAUGCAUCCAGAUUGAGACUUAGAGUCAUCCGGAUCAGUGUCAAAACUUGCAUCGACGUAACCCUUUACGACGAACCUUUUGUCACCUCCAUAAUCGAGAAACAUAUUCUUAUUCCACUAAGGAUAAUUUUGACCGCUGUCCAGUGAUCUACUCCUAGAUCACUAUUGUACUCCCUUGCUUAACUCAGUGUACAAUAGAUCUGGUACACAGCAUGGCAUACUUUAUAGAACCUAUGGCUGAGGCAUAGGGAAUGACUUUCAUUCUCUUUCUAUCUUCUGCCGUGGUCGGUCUUUGAGUCUUACUCAAUUUCACACCUUAAAAUACAGGCAAGAACUCCUUCUUUGACUGUUCCAUUUUGAACUACUUCAAAAUCUUUGUCAAGGUAUGUACUCAUUGAAAAAUCUUAUCAAGCGUUUUGAUCUAUCUAUAUAGAUCUUGAUGCUCAAUGUGUAAGCAACUUCACCGAGGUCUUUAUUUAAAAAAAACUCCUUUCAAAUACUCCUUUAUGCUUUCCAGAAAAUUCUACAUUAUUUCCGAUCAACAAUAUGUCAUUCACAUAUACUUAUCAGAAAUGCUGUAGUGCUCCCACUCACUUUCUUGUAAAUACAGUCUUCACCGCAAGUCUGUAUAAAACUAUAUGCUUUGAUCAACUCAUCAAAGUGUAUAUUCCAACUCCGAGAUGCUUGCACCAGUCCAUAGAUGGAUUGCUGGAGCUUGCAUAUUCUGUUAACACCUUUAGGAUUGACAAAACCUUCUGGUUGCAUCAUAUACAACUCUUCUUUAAUAAAUCCAUUAAGGAAUGCAGUUUUGUUUAUCGAUUUGCCAGAUUUCAUAAAAUGCGGCAAUUGCUAACAUGAUUCGGACAGACUUAAGCAUAGACACGAGUGAGAAACUCUCAUCGUAGUCAACACCUUGAAUUUGUCGAAAACCUUUUGCGACAAUUCUCUCUUUGUAGAUAGUAACACUACUAUCAGCGUCCGUCUUCCUCUUGAAGAUCCAUUUAUUUUCUAUGGCUUACCGAUCAUCGGGCAAGUCAAUGAUACGUCUCCAAUGUAUCUAUAAUUUUUGAUUGCUCCAUGCUAUAUUAUCUACUGUUUUAGACUAUAUUGGGCUUUAUUUUCCACUUUUAUAUUAUUUUUGGGACUAACCUAUUAACCAGAGGCCCAACCCAGAAUUGUUGUGUUUUUCCUAUUUCAGUGUUUCGAAGAAACGGAAUAUCAAACGGAGUCCAAACGGAAUAAUCCUUUCUGGAACGUGAUUUUCUUCCCGAAUAUGACCCAGGAGACUUGGACCCUACGCCAAGGAAGCUUCAAGGUGGGCACGAGGUAGGGGGGCGCGCCCUACACCCUCAGGAGCGCCCCCACUCUCGUGGGCCCACCAAAGCUCCACCGACGUACUUCUUCCUCCUAUAUAUACCCACGUACCCCCAAACGAACAUAUACGGAGCCAAAAACCUAAUUCCACCGCCGCAACUUUCUGUAUCCACAAGAUCCCAUCUUGGGGCCUGUUCCGGAGCUCCGCCGGAGAGGACCAUCAUCAUGGAGGGCUUAUCAUCAUAGCCUCUCCGAUGAAGUGUAAGUAGUUUACCUCAGACCUUCGGGUCCAUAGUUAUUAGCUAGAUGGCUUCUUCUCUCUUUUUGGAUCUCAAUACAAUGUUCUCCCCCUCUCUUGUGGAGAUCUAUUCGAUGUAAUCUUCUUCUUUUUGCGGUGUGUUUGUUGAGACCGAUGAAUUGUGGGUUUAUGAUCAAGUCUAUCUAUGAAUAAUAUUUGAUUCUUUUCUGAAUUCUUUUAUGUAUAAUUGGUUAUCUUUACAAGUCUCUUCGAAUUAUCCGUUUGGUUUGGCCAACUAGAUUGGUAGUUCUUGCCAUGGGAGAAGUGCUUAGCUUUGGGUUCGAUCUUGCGGUGUCCUUUCCCAGUGACAGAAGGAGCAGCAAGGCACGUAUUUUAUCGCUGCCAUCGAGGGUAACAAGAUGGGUUUAUUUCAUAUUGCAUGAAUUUAUCUCUCUACAUCAUGUCAUCUUGCUUAAAGCGUUACUCUGUUUUUAACUUAAUACUCUAGAUGCAUGCUGGAUAGCGGUCAAUGAGUGGAGUAAUAGUAUUAGAUGCAGAAUCGUUUCGAUCUACUUGUCACGGACGUGAUGCCUAUAUACAUGAUCAUGCCUAGAUAUUCUCAUAACUAUGCUCAAUUCUGUCAAUUGCUCAACAGUAAUUUGUUCACCCGCCGUAGAAUACUUAUGCUCUUGAGAGAAGCCACUAGUGAAACCUAUGGCCCCCGGGUCUAUUCUCAUCAUAUCAAUCUCCAUCACUUUAAUCUUGCUUUGCUUUUUACUUUGUCUUUUACUUUUUACUUUGCAUCUUUAUACCAAAAAUACCAAAAAUAUUAUCUCUAUGAGAUCUCACUCUCGUAAGUGACCGUGAAGGGAUUGGCAACCCCUAAUCGCGUUGGUUGCGAGUAGCUAUCGUUUUGUGCAGGUACGAGGGACUUGAGUGUGGCCUCCUACUGGAUUGAUACCUUGGUUCUCAAAAACUGAGGGAAAUACUUACGCUACUCUGCUGCAUCAUCCUCUCCUCUUCGGUGAAAUCCAAUGCAAGCUCAAGAGGUAGCAAGAAGAAUUUCUGGCGCCGUUGCCGGGGAGUCUACGCAAAAAGUCAACAUACCAAGUACCCAUCACAAUCCCUAUCUCUCGCAUUACAUUAGUUGCCAUUUGCCUCUCGUUUUCCUCUCCCCCACUUCACCCUUGCCGUUUUAUUCGCCCUCUCUUUCUCCUUCUCCUUCUCCUUCUCCUUCUCCAUCUCCGUUUGCCUUUUUCUCGCUUGCCUUUUGUUUGCUCGUGUGUUGGAUUUCUUGUUUGUCGCGAUGGCUCAAGAUACUACCAAAUUGUGUGACUUCACCAAUAGCAACAAUAAUGAUUUGCUUAGCACUCCGAUUGCUCCUCUUGCCAAUACUGAAUCUUGUGAAAUCAAUACUGCUUUGUUGAAUCUUGUUAUGAAAGAUGAAUUCGCCGGCCUUCCUAGUGAAGAUGCCGCUACUCAUCUGAAUAGCUCCGUUGAUUUAUGUGAUAUGCAAAAGAAAAAAGAUGUCGAUAAUGAUGUCGUUAAAUUGAAGCUAUUUCCUUUUUCGCUUAGAGAUCGUGCUAAAGCUUGGUUUUCAUCUUUGCCUAAAAAUAGUAUUGAUUCUUGGAACAAGUGCAAAGAUGCUUUUAUCUCUAAGUAUUUUCCUCCCGUUAAGAUCAUCUCUCUUAGAAAUGAUAUUAUGAAUUUUAAGCAACUUGAUCAUGAACAUGUUGCACAAGCUUGGGAGAAUGAAAUUAAUGAUACGUAAUUGCCCUACUCAUGGUUUGAAUUUGUGGAUGAUUAUACAAAAAAUUUAUGCCGGAUUGAAUUUUGCUUCUAGAAAUCUUUUAGAUUCGGCCGCGGGAGGCACUUUUAUGGAAAUCACUUUAGGAGAUGCUACUAAACUCCUAGAUAAUAUUAUGGUUAAUUAUUCUCAAUGGCAUACUGGAAGAUCUUCUAAUAAAAAAGUGCAUGCGAUAGAAGAAAUCAAUGUUUUGAGUGGAAAGAUGGAUGAACUUACGAAAUUAUUUGUUACUAAGAGUGUUUCUUCUGAUCCUAAUGAUAUGCCUUUGUCUACUUUGAUUGAGAAUAACAAUGAAUCUAUGGAUGUGAAUUUUGUUGGUAGGAAUAAUUUUGGUAACAACGCGUAUAGAGGGAAUUUUAAUCCUAGGCCAUAUCCUAGUAAUCCUUCUAAUAAUUAUGGAAAUUCCUACAACAACUCUUAUGGAAAUUAUAAUAAGAUGCCCUCUGAAUUUGAGAAUAGUGUUAAAGAGUUUAUGAAUUCACAAAAGAAUUUUAAUGCUUUGCUUGAAGAGAAAUUGCUUAAAGUUGAUGAUUUGGCUAGGAAUGUUGAUAGAAUUUCUCUUGAGGUUGAUUCUUUAAAGCUUAGAUCUAUUCCUCCUAAGCAUGAUAUCAAUGAGUCUCUCAAAGCCAUGAGAAUUUCCAUUGAUGAGUGCAAGGAAAGAACCGCUAGGAUGCGUGCUUCCAAAGAUGCCUUUAUUAAAGCGUGUUCUUCCAAUUCUUAUGAAAAUCAAGAUGAAGAUCUAAAAGUUAUUGAUGUGUCCCCUAUCAAAUCUUUGUUUUGCAAUAUGAAUCUUGAUGAAACUGAAUAUGAUCUUCCUUUACCUAGAAGGCAUUCUAAAUUUUUUGAGUAUUUAGAUCUUUAUGAUGAAAUUGAUGAAAGUGGAUUUGAAGGAAAUAAAAAUCUAGAUGUUGCUGAACCCACUAUAUUGGAUUUCAAGGAAUUUAAUUAUGAAAUUUGCUCUUUGAUUGAUUGUAUUUCCUUGUUGCAAUCCGUGCUAAAUUCUCCACAUGCUUAUAGUCAAAAGAAAGCCUUCACCGAACAUAUUGUUGAUGCCUUGAUGCAAUCUUAUGAAAUCCCUAGAAAACUCUAUGAUGAGUGGGAACCAACUACUAAAAUUAAAAUUAAAGAUCAUGAGUUUUAUGCUUUGUGUGAUUUGGGUGCUAGUGUCUCCACCAUCCCCAAAACUUUGUGUGAUUUGCUAGAUUUCCGCGAUCUUGAUGAUUGCUCUUUAAACUUACAUCUCACGGAUUCUACUAUUAAGAAACCUAUGGGAAGGAUUAAUGAUGUUCUUAUUGUUGCAAAUAGGAAUUAUGUGCCCGUAGAUUAAAUUGUUCUUGAUAUAGAUUGCAAUCCUUCUUGCCCUAUUAUUCUUGGUAGACCUUUCCUUAGAACGGUUGGUGCGAUUAUUGAUAUGAAGGAAGGGAAUAUUAGAUUCCCAUUUCCAUUAAAAAGGGAUGGAACACUUUACAAGAAAGAAAAUAAAAUUGCCAUAUGAAACUAUCAUGAGAGCCGCUUAUGGAUUGCCUUCCAAAGAUGGCAAUGCCUAGAUCUAUCCUCGCUUUUAUGCCUAGCUAGGGGCGUUAAACGAUAGCGCUUGUUGGGAGGCAACCCAAUUUUAUUUUUAGUUUUUUGUGUUUUUCUUUUGUUAGGGAAUAAAUAACCCAUCUACCUUCUGUUUGGAUGUGGUUUUGUGUUUUAAUUAGUGUUUGUGCCAAGCUAGACCUAUUGGAUCUUCUUGGAUGAUAGUUAUUUGAUCUUGCUGUAAUUUCCAGAAACUUUGCAUUCAGUGCCAGAAUUGUUAAAAAUCAUCAGAACGUGAUAAAAUACUGAUUCCAAUUGAUGCUGAUCAAUAAACAAAUUUUCUAGGUCGUCUAAUUUUGGUAGAUUUUUUGGAGUUCCAGAAGUUUGCGUUAGUUACAGAUUACUACAGACUGUUCUGAUUUUGACAGAUUCUGUUUUUCGUGUGUUGUUUGCUUAUUUUGAUGAAUCUAUGGUUAGUAAAAUAGUUUAUAAUCCAUAGAGAAGUUGGAAUACAGUAGUUUUAACACCAAUAUAAAUAAAGAAUAAGUUAAUUACAGUACCUUGAAGUGGUCUUUUGUUUUCUUUCUCUAACAGAGCUCACGAGAUUUCUAUUGAGUUUUGUGUUGUGAAGUUUUCAAGUUUUGGGUGAAUUCUUUUGAUGGAUUAUGGAACAAGGAGUGGCAAGAGCCUAAGCUUGGGGAUGACCAUGGCACUCCCAAGAUAAUCCAAGGACACCAAAAUGUCAAAGCUUGGGGAUGCCCCGGAAGGCAUCCCCUCUUUCGUCCACUUCCAUCGGUAAUUUACUUGGAGCUAUAUUUUUAUUCACCAACAUGAUAUGUGGUUUGCUUGGAGCGUCUCGUAUUAUUUAUGUCUUUGUUUGUUAGUGUGCCACAAUCAUCCUUUCUGUACACACCUUUUGAGAGAGCCAUACAUGAAUUGGAAUUUGAUAGAAUACUCUAUGUGCUUCACUUAUAUCUUUUGAGCUAUGUAGUUUUGCUCUAUGUGCUUCACUUAUAUCUUUUGAGCGUUAUAAUUUUGCUUUAUGUGCUUCAUUUAGAUCUUUUAGAGCACGGUGGUAGUUUGUUUUAAAGAAACUAUUGAUCUCUCAUGCUUCACUUAAAUUAUUUUCAGAGUCUUAAUAGCAUGGUAAUUUGCUUAACAAUAAUAUGCUUGGUAUUCAAGAUUUGUGAAACUUUCUUUUGAGUGCGUUGAAUACUAAAAGAAGAUUGAAGCAUGAUAAUUGUUUCGAGAUACGGAGGUGAUAAUAUUAGAGUCAUGCUAGUUUAGUAGUUGUGAAUUUAAAGAAUACUUGUGUUAAAGUUUGUGAUUCCCAUAGCAUGCACGUAUGGUGAACCGUUAUGUGAUGAAGUCGGAGCAUGAUUUAUUUAUUGAUUGUCUUCCUUAUGAGUGGCGGUCGGGGACGAGUGAUGGUCUUUUCCUACCAAUCUAUCCCCCUACGAGCAUGCGCACAAUACUUUGCUUUGAUAACUUCUAGAUUUUUGCAAUAAGUAUAUGAGUUCUUUAUGACUAAUGUUGAGUCCAUGGAUUAUACACACGUUUUCCCAUCCUCCCACCAUUGCUAGCCUCUCUAAUACCGCGCACCUUUCGCCGGUAUCAUACACCCACCAUAUACCUUCCUCAAAACAGCCACCAUACCUACCUAUCAUGGCAUUUCCAUAGCCAUUCUGAGAUAUAUUGUCAUGCAACUUUCCACCGUUCCGUUUAUCAUGACACGCUCCAUUAUUGUCAUAUUGCUAGCAUGAUCAUGUAGUUGACAUCGUAUUUGUGGCAAAGCCACCGUUCAUAAUUAUCUCAUACAUGUCACUCUUGAUUCAUUGCAUAUCCCGGUUCACUGCCGGAGGCAUUCAUAUAGAGUCAUAUUUGUUCUAAGUAUCGAGUUGUAAGAAAAAUAAAAGUGUGAUGAUCAUCAUUUUUUAGAGCAUUGUCCCAAGUGAGGAAAGAAUGAUGGAGACUAUGAUUCCCCCAUAAGUCGGGAUGAGACUCCGGACGAAAAAUAAAAAAAUAAUAAGAAAAGAGGCCAUGAAAAAAAGGAAAAGGCCCAAAUAAAAAAAAUGAGAGAAAAAGAGAGAAGGGACAAUGUUACUAUCCUUUUACCACACUUGUGCUUCAAAGUAGCACCAUGAUCUUCAUGAUAGAGAGUCUCUUGUUAUGUCACUUUCAUAUACUAGUGAGAAUUUUUCAUUAUAGAACUUGGCUUGUAUAUUCCAAUGAUGGGCUUCCUCAAAAUUGCCCUAGGUCUUCGUGAGCAAGCAAGUUGGAUGCACACCCACUUAGUUUCUUUUGAUGAGCUUUCAUAUACUUAUAGCUCUAGUGCAUCCGUUGCAUGGCAAUCCCUACUCACUCACAUCGAUAUCUAUUGAUGGGCAUCUCCAUAGCCCGUUGAUACGCCUAGUUGAUGUGAGACUAUCUUCCCCUCUUUUUGGUCUUCUCCACAACCACCGUUCUAUUCCACCUAUAGUGCUAUAUCCAUGGCUCACGCUCAUGUAUUGCGUGAAGAUUGAAAAAGUUUUGAAAAAGUUAGAGUAUGAAACAAUUGCUUGGCUUGUCAUCGGGGUUGUGCAUGAUUUAAAUACUUUAUGUGGUGAAGAUAGAGCAUAGCCAGACUAUAUGAUUUUAUAGGGAUAACUUUCUUUGGCCAUGUUAUUUUGAGAAGACAUAAUUGCUUUAUUAGUAUGCUUGAAGUAUUAUUAUUCUUUAUGUCAAUAUGAACUUUUGUCUUGAAUCUUUAUAAUCAGAAUAUUCACACCACAAUUAAGAAAUUUUGCAUUGAAAUUAUGCCAAGUAGCACUCCGCAUCAAAAAUUCUCUUUUUAUCAUUUACCUACUCGAGGACGAGCAGGAAUUAAGCUUGGGGAUGCCUGAUACGUCUCCAACGUAUCUAUAAUUUUUUAUUGCUCCAUGCUAUAUUAUCUACUGUUUUGGACUAUAUUGGGCUUUAUUUUCCACUUUUACAUUAUUUUUGGGACUAACCUAUUAACAGGAGGCCCAGCCCAGAAUUGCUGUUUUUUUGCCUAUUUCAGUGUUUCGAAGAAACGGAAUAUCAAACGGAGUCCAAACGGAAUAAUCCUUUCUGGAACGUGAUUUUCUUCCCGAAUAUGACCCAGGAGACUUGGACCCUACGCCAAGGAAGCUUCGAGGUGGGCACGAGGUGGGGGCGCGCCCUACACCCCCAGGAGCGCCCCCACCCUCGUGGGCCCACCGAAGCUCCACCGAUGUACUUCUUCCUCCUAUAUAUACCCACGUACCCCCAAAUGAACAGAUACGGAGCCAAAAACCUAAUUCCACUGCCGCAACUUUCUGUAUCCACGAGAUCCCAUCUUGGGGCUUGUUCCGGAGCUCCACCGGAGAGGGCCGUCAUCACGGAGGGCUUCUACAUCAUCAUAGCCUCUCCGAUGAAGUGCGAGUAGUUUACCUCAGACCUUUGGGUCCAUAGUUAUUAGCUAGAUGGCUUCUUCUCUCUUUUUGGAUCUCAAUACAAUGUUCUCCCCCUCUCUUGUGGAGAUCUAUUCGAUGUAAUCUUCUUCUUUUUGCGGUAUGUUUGUUGAGACCGAUGAAUUGUGGGUUUAUGAUCAAGUCUAUCUAUGAAUAAUAUUUGAUUCUUUUCUGAAUUCUUUUAUGUAUGAUUGGUUAUCUUUGCAAGUCUCUUCGAAUUAUCCGUUUGGUUUGGCCAACUAGAUUGGUAGUUCUUGCCAUGGGAGAAGUGCUUAGCUUUGGGUUCGAUCUUGCGGUGUCCUUUCCUAGUGAUAGAAGGGGCAGCAAGGCACGUAUUGUAUCGUUGCCAUCGAGGAUAACAAGAUGGGGUUUAUUUCAUAUUGCAUGAAUUUAUCUCUCUACAUCAUGUCAUCUUGCUUAAAGCGUUACUCUGUUUUUAACUUAAUACUCUAGAUGCAUGCUAGAUAGCGGUCGAUGAGUGGAGUAAUAGUAGUAGAUGCAGAAUCAUUUCGAUCUACUUGCCACGGACGUGAUGCCUAUAUACAUGAUCAUGCCUAGAUAUUCUCAUAACUAUGCUCAAUUCUGUCAAUUGCUCAACAGUAAUUUGUUCACCCACUGUAGAAUACUUAUGCUCUUGAGAGAAGCCACUAGUGAAACCUAUGGCCCCCGGGUCUAUUCUCAUCAUAUCAAUCUCCAUCACUUUAAUCUUGCUUUGCUUUUUAAUUUGUCUUUUACUUUUUACUUUGCAUCUUUAUACCAAAAAUACCAAAAAUAUUAUCUCUAUCGGAUCUCACUCUCGUAAGUGACCGUGAAGGGAUUGACAACCCCUAAUCGCGUUGGUUGCGAGUAGCUAUCAUUUUGUGCAGGUACGAGGGACUUGAGCAUGGCCUCCUACUGCAUUGAUACCUAGGUUCUCAAAAACUGAGGGAAAUACUUACGCUACUCUGCUGCAUCAUCCUCUCCUCUUCGGGGAAAUCCAACGCAAGCUCAAGAGGUAGCAGUCAACCAAAGUCCACACUUUGUUCUCAUACAUGGAUCCCAUCUCAGAUUUCAUGGCCUCAAGCCAUUUUUUUGCGGAAUCUGGGCUCAUCAUCGCUUCCUCAUAGUUCGUAGGUUCGUCAUGGUCAAGUAACAUGACCUCCAGAACAGGAUUACCGUACCACUCUAGUGCGGAUCUCACUCUGGUUGACCUAUGAGGUUCGGUAGUAACUUGAUCUGAAGUUACAUGAUCAUCAUCAUUAGCUUCCUCACAAAUUGGUGUAGGAGUCACAUGAACAAAUUUCUGUGAUGAACUACUUUCCAAUAAGGGAGUAGGUACAGUUACCUCAUCAAGUUCUACUUUUCCCCCACUCACUUCUUUCGCGAGAAACUCCUUCUCUAGAAAGGAUCCAUUCUUGGAAACGAAUAUCUUGCCUUCGGAUCUGUGAUAGAAGGUGUACCCAACAUUUUCUUUUGGGUAUCCUAUGAAGACACACUUCUCCGAUUUGGGUCCGAGCUUAUCAGUUUGAAACUUCUUCACAUAAGCAUCGCCGCCCCAAACUUUAAGAAACGAUAGCUUAGGUUUCUUGCUAAACCAUAGUUCAUACCGUGUCAUCUCAACAGAUUUAGAUGGUGCCCUUUUUAAUGUGAAUGCAGCUGUCUCUAAUGCAUAACCCCAAAACUAUAUGGUACAUCGGUAAGAAGCAUCAUAGAUUGCACUAUAUCCAAUAAAGUACGGUUAUGACGUUUGGACACACCAUUAUGCUGUGGUGUUCCAGGUGGCACAAAUUUGUGAAACUAUUGCACAUUGUUUUAAUUGAAGACCAAACUCGUAACUCAAAUAUUUGUCUCCAUGAUCAGAUCGUAGAAACUUUAUUUUCUUGUCACGAUGAUUUUCCACUUCACUCUGAAAUUCUUUGAACUUUUCAAAUGUUUCAGACUUAUGUUUCAUUAAGUAGAUAUAUCCAUAUCUGCUCAAAUCAUCUAUGAAGGUCAGAAAAUAACGAUACCCGCCGCGAGCCUCAACACUCAUCGGACCGCAUACAUCAGUAUGUAUUAUUUCCAAUAAGUCAGUUGCUCGCUCCAUUGUUCCGGAGAACAGAGUCUUAGUUAUCUUGCCCAUGAGGCAUGAUUCGCAAGCAUCAAGUGAUUCAUAAUCAAGUGAUUCCAAAUGCCCAUCAGCAUGGAGUUUCUUCAUGCGCUUUACACCAAUAGGACCUAAACGGCAGUGCCACAAAUAAGUUGCACUAUCAUUAUUAACUUUGCAACUUUUGGCUUCAAUAUAAUGAAUAUGUGUAUCACUACAAUCGAGAUCCAACAGAACAACAAUUAUUCUCCAAUUUAAAUGAAUAACCGUAUUGCAAUAAACAUGAUCAAAUCAUAUUCAUGCUCAACACAAAGACCAUAGAAGGUUUAUUUAGGUUCAACACUAAUCCCAAAAGUAUAGGGAGUGUGCGAUGAUGAUCAUAUCAUCUUGGAACUGCUUCCAACACACAUCGUCACUUCACUCUUAACUAGUUUCUGUUCAUUCUGCAACUCCCGUUUCGAGUUACUACUCUUAGCAACUGAACUAGUAUCAAAUACCGAGGGGUUGCUAUAAACACUAGUAAAGUACACAUCAAUAACAUGUAUAUCCAAUAUACCUUUGUUUACUUUGCCAUCCUUCUUAUCCGCCAAAUACUUGGGGCAGUUCCGCUUCCAGUGACCAGUCCCUUUGCAGUAGAAGCACUCAGUCUUAGGCUUAGGUCCAGACUUAGGAUUCUUCACUUGAGCAGCAACUUGCUUUCCGUUCUUUUUGAAGUUCCCCUUCUUCCCUUUGCCCUUUUCUUGAAACUGGUGGUCUUGUCAACCAUCAACGCUUGAUGCUUUUCUUGAUUUCUACCUUCAUCGAUUUCAGCAUCAUGAAGAGCUUGGGAAUCGUUUCCGUUAUCCCUUGCAUAUUAUAGUUCAUCACGAAGUUCUAGCAACUUGGUGAUGGUGACUAGAGAAGUCUGUCAAUCACUAUCUUAUCUGGAAGAUUAACUCCCACUUGAUUCAAGUGAUUGUAGUACUCAGACAAUCUGAGCAUAUGCUCACUGGUUGAGCUAUUCUCCUCCAUCUUUGUAGGCAAAGUAAUGUCAGAGGUCUCAUACCUCUUGACACGGGUAUGAGUAUGAAAUACCAAUUUCAACUCUUGGAACAUCUUAUAUGCUCUGUGACAUUCAAAACAUUUUUGAAGUUCCGGUUCUAAGCCGUAAAGCAUGGUGCACUAAACUAUCAAGUAGUCAUCAUACCGAGCUUUUGUCCAAACGUUCAAAACAUCUGCAUCUGCUCCUGCAAUAGUUCUGUCACCUAGCGGUGCAUCAAGGACAUAAUUCUUCUGUGCAACAAUGAGGAUAAACCUCAGAUCACGGACCAAGUCCACAUCAUUGCUACUAUCAUCUUUCAACAUAUUUUUCUCUAGGAACAUAUCAAAAUAAAUGGGGAGCAACAUCGCGAGCUAUUGAUCUACAACAUAAAUAUGCUAAUACUACCAGGACUAAGUUCAUGAUAAAUUAAAGUUCAAUUAAUCAUAUUACUUAAGAACUCCCACUUAGAUAGGCAUCCCUCUAAUCAUCUAAGUGAUCACGUGAUCCAUAUCAACUAAACCAUAACCGAUCAUCACGUGAAAUGGAGUAGUUUUCUAUGGUGACCAUCAUUAUGUUGAUCAUAUCUACUAUACGAUUCACGCUCGACCUUUCGGUCUCAGUGUUCUGAGGCCAUAUCUGCAUAUGCUAGGCUCGUCAAGUUUAACCUGAGUAUUCUGCAUGUGCAAAACUGGCUUGUGAUGACCCACAAGUAUAGGGGAUCUAUCGUAGUCCUUUCGAUAAGCAAGAGUGUCGAACCCAACGAGGAGCAGAAGGAAAUGAUAAAGCGGUUUUCAGCAAGGUAUUCUCUGCAAGUACUGAAAUAAGUGGUAACAGAUAUUUUUGUGACAAGAUAAAUUGUAACGAGCAACAAGUAACAAAAGUAAAUAAAGUGCAGCAAGGUGGCCCAAUCCUUUUUGCAGAAAAGGACAAGCCGGAACAAACUCUUAUAAUAGGAAAAGCGCUCCCGAGGACACAUGGGAAUAUCGUCAAGCUAGUUUUCAUCACGUUCAUAUGAUUCAUGUUGGAUACUUUGAUAAUUUGAUAUGUGGGUGGACCGGUGCUUGGGUGCUGUUCUUACUUGAACAAGCAUCCCACUUAUGAUUAACCUCUAUUGCAAGCAUCCGCAACUACAACAAAAGUAUUAAGGUAAACCUAACCAUAGCAUGAAACAUAUGGAUCCAAAUCAGCCCCUUACGAAGCAACGCAUAAACUAGGGUUUAAGCUUCUUUCACUCUAGCAACCCAUCAUCUACUUAUUACUUCCCAAUGCCUUCCUCUAGGCCCAAAUAAUGGUGAAGUGUUAUGUAGUCGACGUUCACAUAACACCACUAGAGGCUAGACAACAUACAUCUUAUCAAAAUAUCAAACGAAUACCAAAUUCACAUGACUACUAAUAGCAAGACUUCUCCCUUGUCCUCAGGAACAAACGUAAUUACUCACAAAGCAUAUUCAUGUUCAUAAUCAGAGGGGUAAUAAUAUGCAUAUAGGAUCUGAACAUAUGAUCUUCCACCAAAUAAACCAACUAGCAUCAACUACAAGGAAUAAUCAACACUACUAGCAACCUACUAGCACCAAUCCCGGACUUUGAGACAAGAAUUGGACACAAGAGAUGAACUAGGGUUUGGAGAUGAGAUGGUGCUGGUGAAGAUGUUGAUGGAGAUUGCCCUCUCCCGAUGAGAGGAACGUUGGUGAUGACGAUGGUGAUGAUUUCCCCCUCCCGGAGGGAAGUAUCCCUGGCAGAACAGCUCUGCCGGAGCUCUAGAUUGGUUCCGCCUCGUGGCGGCGGAGUCUCGUCCUGAAAGGUUCCCUCUGAUUUUUUUCUCAUCAAAAGACUUCAUAUAGCAGAAGAUGGAUGUCGGAGACCCACCAGGGGGCCCACGAGGUAGGGGGGCGUGCCCUAGGAGGGGGGCGCGCCCCCCACCCUCGUGAGCAGGGUGUGGGCCCCCUGGCCUUCAUCUUUGGCGAGGAUUUUUCUUUAUUUAUUUUAAGAUAUUCCGUGGAGUUUCAGGAGUUUUGGAGUUGCGCAGAAUAGGUCUCUAAUAUUUGCUCCUUUUCCAGCCUAGAAUUCCAGCGGCCGCAUUCUCCCUCGUCAUGUAAACCUUGUAAAAUAAGAGAGAAUAGCCAUAAAUAUUGUGACAUAACAUGAAAUAACAGCCCAUAAUGCAAUAAAUAUCGAUAUAAAAGCAUGAUGCAAAAUGGACGUAUCAACUCCCCCAAGCUUAGACCUCGCUUGUCCUCAAGCGAAAAGCCGAUAACAAUAAAUAUGUCCUCAUGUUUAGAGGUAGAGGCGUCGAUAAAAAAUAAAAUACGGACAUGAAGGCAUCAUGAUUAUUCUCACAACAGCAACAUAUAUAGAUUUUGUCAUAUGAUUACUUAUGUUCAAGUGAUGAUCUAUUCACAAUGCAAAAGUAUGAAUCAUAAACCUUAUCGGGCUCCAACAAACUAUAAUCUCAGUCAUUGAAGCAAUUGCAAUUUAUCAUAACAUCGGAAAGAGUCUAUGACAGAGCUUAAAAGCAAGUCCACAUACUCAACUAUCAUCUAGUCAUUCAUAAUUGCUAACACUCACGCAAUACUUGUCGUUACGGAGUUUUAAUCGGACACAGAGAAAGAUAGGGGCUUAUAGUUUUGCCCCACAACCUUUUACCUCAAGGGUAAUGUCAACAGUAAUAAUUCAUGCUCCCCUACAUCCAAUUAGAUAUAUAUAUCAUGUUCUUCCCAACAUGCUAGGCUUGCCAAAAGGAUAAAAUGAAAAAGGAAAGGUGAAGAUCACCAAGACUCUUGCAUAAGGUAGAAGAUAAUAAAAGAUAGGCCCUUCGCAGAGGGAAGCAGAGGUUGCCAUGCGCUUUUAUGGUUGGAUGCACAAAAUCUCAAUGCGAAAGAAUGUCACUUUAUAUUGCCCCUUGUGAUAUGAACCUUUAUUAUGCAGUCCGUCGCUUUUAUUACUUCCACAUCACAAGAUCGUAUAAAGCUUAUUCCUCCCACACCAAUCAAUCAUACAUAUUUAGAGCAAUUUUUAUUGCUUUGCACCGAUGACAACUUACUUGAAGGAUCUUACUCAAUCCAUAUGUAGAUAUAGUGGACUCUCAUGGCAAAACUAGUUUAAGGGUAUUUGGAAGCACAAGUAGUAUUUCUACUUGGUGCUGAGAAUUUGGCUAGCAUGAGGGGGAAAGGCAAGCUCAACAAGUUAGAGGAUCCAUGACAACAUACUUUAUCUCAGAUAUAAGAAAGACAUAACUCAUUACAUUAUCUUCCUUGUCCAACAUCAACCCUUUAGCAUGUCAUAUUUUAAUGAGUGCUCCCAAUCAUAAAAGAUGUCAAUGAUAAUAUAUCUAUAUGUGAAACCUCUCUUUCCUUAUUACUUCCUAUUAAUUGCAACGAUGACCAAAGCUAUGUCUGCCAACUCCCAACAACUUUUAAUCAUCAUACUCUUUCUAUGUGAAGUCAUUACUCUCAAUAUGAUCAAUAUGAACUCCUUGUUUCUUUUUAUUCUUUUUCUUCUUUUCUAUUAUUCACCCAAGAUCAUGGCAAAAUAAUCAAGCCCUUGACUCAACACUAAUCUUUAUUAUAUAUAGCUCACGGACUCGAUUACAAAGAGUGAUCAUAAAGCAAAACUCAAAACUAGAUCAUGCCAUAAACUUUAUUCUACUAGAUCAAGAUACUACUAAUAGGAUCGAACUAAGAAAAACGGUAAAGAUAGGAGUUGUGAUUGUGAUACGAUACCGGGGCACCUCCCCCAAGCUUGGCAGUUGCCAAGGGGAGUGCCCAUACCCAUGUGAUUAUAUCUCCUUGGUUGGUGAAGAAGGUGGAGGUGUUGUCGAUGAUGCAGGCUUGGAGUUCAUCUUCCAAGGCAUAGGCUCACCAUCAUAGAAGGAUGAUCGAGUCUCCGAGAUCCUCAGAUCUGCAGCCAAACUCAUCCUUUUGAAUCUAUAUUCAUACUCACAGUUUUGGUUUUGCAGGUCAUAAAUUUGGGCUUGGAGGUGCUCGAUCUUCUCAUGAAGCUUGAAGAUGGCCUCCCCUAUGUUGUGAGCAUCCAACUUGUGGUUGCUAGUGAACUCCGCAAUCAUCAUGUGGCUGGAGUUGAGUCCACGCUCCACCAUCCCUUGACACUUGAAAACUUGUUGCUCCACUGCUUCGAGCCUCGUCUCCACGCUUCCGGUCCCCUUUGGUCCCUCUUCAUCGCGGAUGUGCAGCAACCCAUCACGCAACUCAAUGGUUUAAGGGUGUCGCAGCACCUCCGCGAGGUAAGGGUUGAUAACCUUCUCAAAAAACUUGUCCUUGGAAGCACUUGGGGCCGUCAUGAUGACCUGGAUCUGUCAGAAAAACAGCUCGAAACAAGAACAGAGGAGAUUUGUGUGAUACGGGAGUCAAAACCUUCGGGAGUAUAUAUAAUGAAUUUUUACCGACCAAAAUACAUAACGUGCAAGAAAACGGAGUCCGGAGGGCACACGAGGUGCUCACGAGGUAGGGGGACGCGCCCAGAGGGGCAGGGCGUGCCCACCACCCUUGUGGGGCCCUCGUGUCCUCCCCGGACUACUGCUUAUUUUUCUAAAUAUUCCAAAACAGAGAAAAAAUGCCUUAAAAAUUGUUUUGGAGUCGGUUUACUUACCGUACCACAUACCUAUUCCUUUUCGGAGUCUGAAACGUUCUGGAAAGUGUCCCUUAUGUAUUCUGCCGGGGUUACGGUUUCAAUAAUAUUGGUUUCAACAUUUAUGGGAUUACCUGAGAUAUAAUGUUUGAUCCUUUGACCGUUUAGCACCUUCGGAUUCGUGCCCUCGAAGUUGUUGAUUUUUAUGGCACCGGAACGAUAGACCUCCUCGAUAACAUAAGGGCCUUCCCAUUUAGAGAGAAGUUUUCCUGCAAAAAAUCUUAAACGAGAGUUGUAUAGCAAUACAUAAUCACCUACAUUAAACUCACGCUUUUGUAUCCUUUUGUCAUGCCAUCUUUUAACUUUUUCUUUAAACAACUUGGCAUUUUCAUAAGCUUGGGUUCUCCAUUCAUCAAGUGAGCUAAUAUCAAAUAACCUCUUCUCACCGGCAAGUUUGAAAUCAUAGUUGAGCUCUUUAAUAGCCCAAUAUGCCUUAUGUUCUAGUUCGAGAGGUAAGUGACAUGCUUUUCCAUAAACCUUUUUAUACGGAGACAUACCCAUAGGAUUUUUAUAUGCAGUUCUAUAAGCCCAUAAUGCAUCAUCAAGUUUCUUGGACCAAUUCUUUCUAGACCUAUUAACAGUCUUUUGCAAAAUUAAUUUGAGCUCUCUAUUGCUCAAUUCUACUUGACCACUAGACUGCGGGUGAUAAGGAGAUGCAAUUCUAUGAUUAACAUCAUACUUAGCAAACAUUUUACAGAAAGCACCAUGAAUAAAGUGUGAACCACCAUCAGUCAUUAAAUAUCUAGGGACUCCAAACCUCGGAAAAAUAACUUCCUUAAGCAUUUUAAUAGAAGUGUUAUGAUCAGCACUACUAGUUGGAAUAGCUUCUAUCCACUUAGUAACGUAAUCAACAGCAACUAGAAUAUGUGUGUAUCCAUUAGAGGCAGGAAAAGGUCCCAUAUAAUCAAAGCCACAAACAUCAAAUGGUUCAAUAACAAGUGAAUUGUUCAUAGGCAUUUCUUGACGUCUAUUGAUAUUACCAAUUCUUUGACAUUCAUCACAAGACAAGACAAACUUACGGGCAUCCUUGAAGAGAGUAGGCCAAUAAAAACCAGAUUGCAAUACCUUAUGUGCAGUUCUGUCUCCAGCGUGGUGUCCUCCAUAAGCUUCGGAGUGACACUUGCGUAGGAUCUGUUCCUGUUCAUGCUCAGGUACACAACGUCUAAUAACACCAUCUACUCCUUCUUUAUAAAGAUGUGGGUCAUCCCAAAAGUAAUGUCUCAAAUCAUAGAAAAACUUCUUCUUUUUUUGGUAUGUGAAGCUAGGUGGUAUAAACUUAGCAACAAUAUAAUUAGCAUAAUCAGCAUACAAAGGAGUACUAUGAGAAGUACUUAUAACAUUUAAUUGUUCAUCAGGAAAGCUAUCAUUAAUAGGUAGUGGGUCAUCAAGAACAUUCUCUAACCUAGACAAGUUGUCUGCAACGGGGUUCUCAGCUCCUUUUCUAUCAACAAUAUGUAAAUCAAAUUCUUGUAGCAGGGGAACCCAUCUAAUGAGUCUAGGUUUAGCAUCUUUCUUUUCCAUAAUAUAUUUAAUAGCAGCAUGAUCAGUGUGAAUAGUUACUUUAGAAUCAACAAUAUAAGGUCUGAACUUAUCACAAGCGAAUACAACUGCUAAAAGUUCUUUUUCAGUAGUAGCAUAAUUUCUUUGAGCAUUGUCUAGAGUCUUACUAGCAUAAUGAAUAACAUUUAAUUUCUUAUCAACUCUUUGCCCUAGAACAACACCUACAACAUAAUCACUAGAAUCACACAUAAUUUCAAAGGGUAAAUUCCAAUCAGGUGGCUGAACAACAGGUGCAGAGACUAAUGCUUUCUUAAGUAUUUCAAAUGCUUCUACACAAUCAUCAUCAAAGACAAAUGGUAUAUCUUUUUGCAAUAAAUUAGUCAGAGGCCGAGAAAUUUUUGAGAAGUCCUUAAUGAACCUCCUAUAAAAUCCGGCGUGACCAAGGAAACUUCUUAUACCUUUGAUGUCCUUGGGACAUGGCAUCUUUUCAAUAGCAUCAACCUUGGCUUUAUCAACUUCAAUAUACCUCUUUCAGAAACUUUGUGCCCCAAGACAAUACCUUCAUUAACCAUAAAGUGGCACUUUUCCCAAUUCCAGACAAGAUUAGUUUCUUCACAUCUCUGCAGAACUUGAUCAAGAUUGCUCAAGCAAUCAUCAAAAGAGGAACCAUGGAUGAAAAAGUCAUCCAUGAAAACCUCACAAAUCUUUUCACAAAAGUCAGAGAAUAUAGCCAUCAUGCAUCUUUGAAAGGUAGCAGGUGCAUUACAUAAACCAAAAGGCAUACGCCUAUAAGAAAAAGUACCAAAAGGGCAUGUAAAAGUAGUCUUUGAUUGAUCUCUAGCCGACACAGGUAUUUGAGAGAAACCAGAAUAGCCAUCUAGAAAGCAGUAAUGUGUAUGUUUGCAUAAUAUUUCUAGCAUUUGAUCAAUAAAAGGUAAGGGGUAAUGAUCUUUCUUAGUAGCUUUAUUUAAUUUACGGAAAUCAAUUACCAUCCUAUAACCUGUGAUAAUUCUUUGUGGGAUCAAUUCAUCUUUAUCAUUAGGAACAAAAGUAAUACCUCCCUUCUUAGGGACACAAUGGACAUGACUUACCCACUGGCUAUCAACAACUGGAUAAAUUAUACCUGCCUCCAGAAGUUUGAGUAUUUCUUUUCUUACCACUUCUUUCAUUUUAGGAUUCAGACGUCGUUGAGGAUCACGAACUGGUUUGGCAUCCUCUUCCAAAUUUAUUUUAUGUUGACAUAAAGUGGGACUAAUGCCCUUAAGAUCAUCAAGAGUAUAUCCAAUAGCAGCACGGUGCUUCUUCAGAGUUUUCAAUAAUCUUUCUUCUUCAUGCUCUGAAAGGUUAGCACUAAUAAUAACAGGAUAUAUCUUGUUUUCAUCAAGAUAAGCAUAUUUAAGAUUAUCAGGCAAAGGUUUAAGCUCAAACACGGGAUCACCCUUGGGUGGAGGAGGAUCCCCUAAAAUUUCAACAGGCAAAUUGUGUUGCAGAAUAGGUUCUUGUUUAAAGAAUACUUCAUCUAUGUCCCUUCUUUCAUUCAUGAACAUAUCAUUUUCAUGGUCUAGCAAAUAGUGUUCUAAAGGAUCACUGGGAGGUACGGCAAUAGAAGCAAGACCAAUAAUUUCAUCCUUACUAGGCAAUUAUUCCUCACGAUGUUGUUUACUAAAUUUAGAGAAAUUAAACUCAUGAACCAUAUCAUCCAAGCCAAUAGUAACAACAUUCUUUUCGCAGUCUAUCCUAGCAUUAACAAUGUUCAAGAAGGGUCUACCAAAUAUAAUGGGACAAAAGAUAUCUUGUGGAGAAGUGAGAACGAGAAAAUUAGCAGGAUAUUUAGUUUUCCACACAAGACUUCAACAUCUCUAACAAUUCCCAUCGCUGAAAUAGUAUCUCUAUUGGCUAGUUUAGUUGUGACAUCAAUAUCUUCUAAUUCAGCAGGUGCAAUUUCAUGCUUGAUUUCUUUAUACAAGUCAUAAGGUAUAACACUAGCACUAGCACCCAUAUCACAUAAGCCAUGAUAACAAUGAUCUCCUAUUUUAACAGAAAUAACAAGCACGCCUACCACAGGUCUAUGUUUAUCUUUAUCACAAGGCUUAGCAAUUCUAGCAGUUUCACCAUUGAACUGAAUAACAUGCCCAUCAAUAUUAUCAGACAAGAGAUCUUUAACAAUAGCAAUAUUAGGUUCUACUUUAACUUGCUCAGGGGGUACAUAAGUUCUAAUAUUGCUUUUACGAACAACAGUUGAAGCUUUAGCAUGAUCCUUUAUUCUAACAGGGAAAGGUGGUCUCUCAACAUAAGAAGUAGGAACAAUAGGAUCAUUGUAAGUGACAGUCUUUUCUUCAACUUUAAUAGGUGCAGCUACUUUUACUUCUAUGGGAGGAUGAUAUUUAAACCACUUCUCCUUAGGGAGAUCAACAUAAGUAGCAAAAGAUUCACAGAAAGAAGCUACCAUCUCAGAGUCAAGUCCAUAUUUAGUGCUAAACUUACGGAAAAUAUCGGUGUCCAUAAAAGAUUUAACACAAUCAAACUUAGGUGUCAUACCUGACUCUUUACCUUCGUCGAGGUCCCAAUCUUCAGAGUUGCGUUUAAUUCUAUCCAAUAAAUUCCAUUUAAAUUCAAUAGUCUUCAUCAUAAAAGAGCCAGCACAAGAAGUAUCGAGCAUGGUUUGAUUAUUAUGAGAAAGCCGAGCAUAUAAAAUUUGCAUAAUUAUUUCUCUCGAGAGCUCAUGAUUGGGGCAUGAAUAUAACAUUGAUUUAAGACUCCCCCAAGCUUGAGCGAUGCUUUCUUCUUCGCGAGGCCAGAAAUUAUAUAUAUAAUUGCGAUCACGAUGAACAAGAUGCAUAGGGUAAUACUUUUGAUGAAAUUUCAACUUCAAUCUUUUAUAGUUCCAUGAUCUCGUAUCAUCACAUAGCCUAUACCAUAUCAAUGCGUCUCCCUUCAAAGAUAAAGGGAAGACCUUCUUCUUAGCAACAUCAUCGGGUACACCUGCAAGCUUAAAUAAUCCACAAACAUCAUCCACAUAUAUUAAGUGCUCAUCAGGAUGCUUUGUUCCAUCUCCUGUAAAAGGGUUAGCUAGCAGUUUUUCCAUCAUACCCGAAGGAAUUUCAAAAGGAGUUUCAUUUUCAAUAGGUUCAGUAGGUUGAGGAGCAACUCUUUGCUCUACUGGACGAGGUGAAGAUACCCCGAACAAGCCCCUCACAGAAUUACUUUCCAUAGUAGCAAGUGACAGUAAAUUUCAGCACACUAUAUAAAUUUUUCCUUACCAAAUUCCACCUACCAAAGGCGCUACACUCCCUGGCAACGGUGCCAGAAAAGAGUCUUGAUGACCCACAAGUAUAGGGGAUCUAUCGUAGUCCUUUCGAUAAGUAAGAGUGUCGAACCCAACGAGGAGCAGAAGGAAAUGAUAAGCGGUUUUCAGCAAGGUAUUCUCUGCAAGUACUGAAAUAAGUGGUAACAGAUAGUUUUGUGACAAUAUAAAAUGUAACGAGCAACAAGUAACAAAAGUAAAUAAAGUGCAGCAAGGUGGCCCAAUCCUUUUUGUAGCAAAGGACAAGUCGGAACAAACUCUUAUAAUAGGAAAAGCGCUCCCGGGGACACAUGGGAAUAUCGUCAAGCUAGUUUUCAUCACGUUCAUAUGAUUCGCGUUCGAUACUUUGAUAAUUUGAUAUGUGGGUGGACCGGUGCUUGGGUGCUGUUCUUACGUGAACAAGCAUCCCACUUAUGAUCAACCUCUAUUGCAAGCAUCCGCAACUACAACAAAAGUAUUAAGGUAAACCUAACCAUAGCAUGAAACAUAUGGAUCCAAAUCGGCCCCUUACGAAGCAACACAUAAACUAGGGUUUAAGCUUCUGUCACUCUAGCAACCCAUCAUCUACUUAUUACUUCCCAAUGCCUUCCUCUAGGCCCAAAUAAUGGUGAAGUGUUAUGUAGUCGACGUUCACAUAACACCACUAGAGGCUAGACAACAUACAUCUUAUCAAAAUAUCAAACGAAUACCAAAUUCACAUGACUACUAAUGGCAAGACUUCUCCCUUGUCCUCAGGAACAAACGUAAUUACUCACAAAGCAUAUUCAUGUUCAUAAUCAGAGGGGUAAUAAUAUGCAUACAGGAUCUGAACAUAUGAUCUUCCAUCAAAUAAACCAUCUAGCAUCAACUACAAGGAGUAAUCAACACUACUAGCAACCUACUAGUACCAAUCCCGGACUUUGAGACAAGAAUUGGAUACAAGAGAUGAACUAGGGUUUGGAGAUGAGAUGGUGCUGGUGAAGAUGUUGAUGGAGAUUGCCCUCUCCCGAUGAGAGGAACGUUGGUGAUGAAGAUUGUGAUGAUUUCCCCCUCCCGGAGGGAAGUAUCCCCGGCAGAACAGCUCUGCCGGAGCUCUAGAUUGGUUCCGCCAAGGUUCCGCCUCGUGGCGGCGGAGUCUCGUCUCGAAAGGUUCCCUCUGAUUUUUUUCUCAUCAAAAGACUUCAUAUAGCAGAAGAUGGACGUCGAAGACCCACCAGGGGGCCCACAAGGUAGGGGGCACGCCCUAGGAGGGGGGCGCGCCCCCUACCCUCGUGAGCAGGGUGUGGGCCCCCUGGCCUUCAUCUUUGGCGAGGAUUUUUCUUUAUUUAUUUUAAGAUAUUCCGUGGAGUUUCAAGAUUUUUGGAGUUGCGCAGAAUAGGUCUCUAAUAUUUGCUCCUUUUCCAGCCUAGAAUUCCAGCUGCCGACAUUCUCCCUCCUCAUGUAAACCUUGUAAAAUAAGAGAGAAUAGCCAUAAAUAUUGUGACAUAAUGUGAAAUAACAGCCCAUAAUACAAUAAAUAUCGAUAUAAAAGCAUGAUGCAAAAUGGACGUAUCAGCUUGCACCCGUUGUAGAUGGACGUAGAGCCUAUCACACCCGAUCAUCACGUGGUGUCUGGGCACGACGAACUUUGGCAAUGGUGCAUACUCAGGGAGAACACUAUUAUCUUGAAAUUUAGUGAGAGAUCAUCUUAUAAUGCUACUGUCAAUCAAAACAAGAUAAGAUGCAUAAAAGAUAAACAUCACAUGCAAUCAAUAUAAGUGAUAUGAUAUGGCCAUCAUCAUCUUGUGCUUGUGAUCUCCAUCUUCGAAGCACCGUCAUGAUCACCAUCUUCACCUACGCGACACCUUGAUCUCCAUCGUAGCAUCGUUGUCGUCUCGCCAACUUAUGCUUCUACGACUAUCGCUACCGCUUAGUGAUAAAGUAAAGCAUUACAGGGCGUUUGCAUUGCAUACAAUAAAGCGACAACCAUAUGGCUCCUGCCAGUUGCCGAUAACUCGGUUACAAAACAUGAUCAUCUCAUACAAUAAAAUAUAGCAUCAUGCCUUGACCAUAUCACAUCACAACAUGCCCUGCAAAAACAAGUUAGACGUCCUCUACUUUGUUGUUGCAAGUUUUACGUGGCUGCUACGGGUUGAGCAAGAACCGUUCUUACCUACGCAUCAAAACCACAACGAUAGUUCGUUAAGUUAGUGUUGUUUUAACCUUCUCAAGGACCGGGCGUAGCCACACUCGGUUCAACUAAAGUUGGAGAAACUGACAUCCGCCAGCCACCUGUGUGCAAAGCACGUCGGUAGAACCAGUCUCGCGUAAGCGUACGCGUAAUGUCGGUCCGAGCCACUUCAUCCAACAAUACCGCCGAACCAAAAUGUGACAUGUUGGUAAGCAGUAUGACUUGUAUCGCCCACAACUCACUUGUGUUCUACUCGUGCAAAUAACAUCAACGCAUAAAACCUGGCUCGGAUGCCACUGUUGAGAAACGUAGUAAUUUCAAAAAAAUUCCUACGCACACGCAAGAUCAUGGUGAUGCAUAGCAACGAGAGGGAAGAGUGUGUCCACGUACCCUCGUAGACCGAAAGUGGAAGCGUUAGCACAACGCGGUUGAUGUACUCGUACGUCUUCACGAUCCGACCGAUCAAGUACCGAACGCACGACACCUCCGAGUUCAGCACACGUUCAACUUGAUGACGUCCCUCGAACUCCGAUCCAGCUGAGCUUUGAGGGAGAGUUCCGUCAGCACGACGGCGUGGUGACGAUGAUGAUGUUCUACCAACGUAGGGCUUCGCCUAAGCACCUCUACGAUAUGACCGAGGUGGAUAUGGUGGAGGGGGGCACCGCACACGGCUAAGAGAUCCAAGGGAUCAAUUGUUUUGUCUAUGGGGUGCUCCCCUGCCCCCGUAUAUAAAGGAGCAAGGGAGAGGUCGGCCCUAGAGGGGGCGCGCCAAGUGUGGGGAGUCCUACGGGUUCGAGAACUAUGUAGACAUGACCGAGACACGUCUCCGGUCAAUAACCAAUAGCGGAACCUGGAUGCUCAUAUUGGCUCCUACAUAUUCUACGAAGAUCUUUAUCGAUCAGACCGCAUAACAACAUACGCUGUUCCCUUUGUCAUCGGUAUGUUACUUGCCCGAGAUUCGAUCGUCGUUAUCUCAAUACCUAGUUCAAUCUUGUUACCGGCAAGUCUUUUUACUCGUUCCGUAAUACAUCAUCCCGCAACUAACUCAUUAGUUGCAAUGCUUGCAAAGCUUAUAGUGAUGUGCAUUACGGAGUGAACCCAGAGAUACCUCUCCGACAAUCGGAGUGACAAAUCCUAAUCUCGAAAUACGCCAACCCAACAAGUACCUUCAGAGACACCUGUAGAGCACCUUUAUAAUCACCCAGUUACGUUGUGACGUUUGGUAGCACACAAAGUGUUCCUCCGGUAAACGGGAGUUGCAUAAUCUCAUAGUCAUAGGAACAUGUAUAAGUCAUGAAGAAAGCAAUAGCAACAUACUAAACGAUCAAGUGCUAAGCUAACGGAAUGGGUCAAGUCAAUCACAUCAUUCUCCUAAUGAUGUGAUCCCGUUAAUCAAAUGACAACUCUUUAUCUAUGGCUAGGAAACAUAAUCAUCUUUGAUCAACGAGCUAGUCAAGUAGAGGCAUACUAGUGACACUCUGUUUGUCUAUGUAUUCACAUAUGUAUCAUGUUUCCGGUUAAUACAAUUCUAGCAUGAAUAAUAAACAUUUAUCAUGAUAUAAGGAAAUAAAUAAUAACUUUGUUAUUGACUCUAGGGCAUAUUUCCUUCACAAACUCAUGACCUCAAAAACUUGACCAUGUGUUGCUAGCCACUCGAACAAAUAGCUCCUGCUAACCAAGGACCAGCGUGAAUGUUUAAGAACAUAUUACAACAUAUAUACUCAAUUUUUUUGUUCUGCUCUUUUUUGAACUUUCAAAAAUAAAGUAAUAAUUAUGAAUUGCCGAAAGUUCUUUGAAACACGAGCAAUUUUUGAAAUCCAAUUUUUUCAAAAAAUGUGCGCAUUUUUUAGUAGUAUCAUUAUUUUUUGAAAUAAUACGAACAAAACUGGAAACCGGAAGAUUUUCUGAAAUUCAGGACUUUUUUCGAAAACCUCAACCUUUUAUAAAAAAGGAACAUUUUUUGAAUUUGUACACAAUUUUUUAAAACAAAAACAUGUGUUUUAACAUUUUUUGAAAAUAUGUUGUUUCUUCAACACGAACAUUAUUUUGAAUUUGUGAAUAUUCCAAUAAAACAAGAAUAUUUUGCUAAUUGGCGUCAUGUUUGAAAACGCAGUUAUUUUUAAAUCUUGAACAAUUUCGGAAAACUCAAACAAUUUUUUGGCAAAAUGUGAACCCUUUCUGCAUUUUGCACAACUUUUGGAACGAGAAGAAAAAUUAGAAGUUCCGCACAUUUUACAACAUGGGAACAAAAUUUUGAAAUUCUGAAGAUUUUUUGAAAAUUUGAAUAGAAAUGGUAAUUUUGAAAAAAGAAAAAUAAACUUGGAAGGGAAAAAGGGAAAAGGAAAGAGAAAGGUAUAGAAAGAGAAAAAAUAGAAAUAGAACACAGAGAAGAACGAGAACGGGCCGGCACAAUCUUGGGCGCCCUAUACGAAACUAUGACUCAUUGUCGCAUUGUGCGAUAAAUAGGGCUUUGCAGCUGCGUGGGCAGUUAAUAAAUGGGCUGGCUUUGCUGGGCCGCAGCACGCACGGCCCAUGUACGAAAUUCGGGAUGAAAUUGUUUUUUUAGUAGAUGGACGAAGAAAAAUUGAACACCACCUCGAAUAGAAAACAAAAUCUUUUUGAUGGUGAACGGAUGAAAUUAUUUACUAGCACAAAUGUCCGUGCAUUGCAAUGGUAGAGAAAAAUACCGCACUUCCCUAACCCAAUGGCUCAAGACCCUCCUUCUCCUCCCAUGGCCCACCGCCAGAUAUUAUGACAUUAACAAAUUAUUUGUAGUCCUCCACACUGCCAUUAAAUUAUAUGUUGCGCAAAAACAUAAACAUGAAACUAUUUUGUAAGUGUAUGAAAGGUGUGUGCAAUUUAACUCACUGAAAUAUCUUCUUGGUUGCGAGUAUCUCUUCACGUCUUUGUUGGUGUUUCUUACUGAUGCCCAAUAAAUAUCGCAUUAUGCCAAAAAUAUUUAAGUCCAUUUUAGUACAUUGUAUUUGCUUCACUAUGAAGGCAACACAAAUUUCCAUGAACCAUUGUUCGUUAGGUUUACGGACUGAGUACCAUAGCACUAUUCAUGUCUAAUGAUAUUAGGAGUGUUGUACAAAAAUCCUUAAUCCAUGGCUAAUAUAAUAGAGAAAAGUAUGGAGUUUGUGUUGCACACAACAUGGAAUCCGAGUCCGUCUCUUUGUACUUUGGUGACGGGCCAAUGAAAACACAAAACCUGCACCGCGUGCCACUAUGUGCCAUCUUUUGUAUUCAACUCCGACAAACGUCACAAAGAAGAUUACGCUCUUCUCUAGUAACAUUGUGAAAUUAAAGUUGUUUCACUAAAAAUAAAUAUAAAUAUCUAAAUUCUUGUUUGUUUUUGCGGAAAACCUUUGUCAAACUUGCAAUAGUUGUUAGGUUUUCUUGCUUUUUGUGAGUUAAUUUUACUUGUGUCAGGUGUGUAGAUGAUCUGAAAACUACGACUCCUAGCUAUUCAGCAUGGAUGGUGAGCUAUCUAAAAAACAAAGGAAACUACGACUCUAUGACAUGAAGAUAUAGAAAAAAAACUUAAUUCAAGUGGAUGAUGGAAACCUUUAACCAUUUUUCAUUAGGAGAAAAAAUGACGUGUAUAUAUUAUUAGAUAGAAGCAUUGGCCCUUAUGUUAUAAAUCAAUCAUUACAUGCGAGUAUACAAUCCCAUUUGAACGUUCACAUUUGAGAAAUCUGUUGUUUUAAAGCAACAAUCAAGUACCUAUUUUUAACUGCGGCUCUCUUUUUCAUUAUAAUUCUCAAAAAAAAUUGCACAUGUGAACAUUCUUUAUCAUGAUUUAAACAAUAUAAUUCGCAGGUGUUAAACAAUCCCAACAUAAUUUGCUCUUGAGUAAAUUUGACGUCAACAUUCCACUUGCCUGACACCAUGUGUAGCUUGUUGUUUUGCACAAAUCCUCGAGCUAUUUGCAUUCAUGGAAGGGGUAAACAAUGCGCGGGCGGGUAAUAAUAAUAUACACACGCGGGCUCUUUAUUUUUCCCUCUAUCCUUCUUAUACUGGGACGGUUUCCCACUUUCCUUAUUUUCUGUGUCAAACUUUAAAAAUCCCUCCUUUCCUUCUCUAUGCAUUUUCCUUCCUCAUUAUUACGGGAUGGCUUCCCGCUUUCCAAUUUUUUCUCUACCAAAAACCUGGAAUCCCUCCUUUCCUUCUUUAUUUUUUCACAUUCAAUUCCGACUCCCUCCUUUCCUUCUUUAUUUUUGGACAUUAAAUUAAAAUCUAAAAUCCCUCCUUUCCUUCUGUAUUCAUUUUCCUUCCCCCUCCUUUCCUUCUUUAUUUUCUUUCUUUCCUUCCUUAUUACGGGACGACUUUCCCCUUUACCCAGGUGGCUCGCUGAUGUUUAAGCAAUUUAUGUACGUAUAUAAAUUGCUUAGUUUUCGUGUAUAGAACCGAUGUGGUACUAAUCAAUUCCAUGACGAACCAACUCUAUGACACAAGUAUUAUCUAGCUCGUGUGGUAGCAGCCCUAGAGAUCUCUCGUGAGAUAAUGAGUUCGAAACCUGAUGCCUAUUAGUUAGUUUUUGUUCGGCCCACACAACAUUUUUCUCCACUGAACCAGCUGCGUGCGGCCCAAGAUGACGUAUAAACGAAAAAAGGCCCAUGAGAACGGACGUGACGUGCGGCCCAAGAUGACGUACAAACGAAAAAAAGGCCCAUGAGAACGGACGUGAAUAAAAUCACACAGACAGAAACUAUUAGUACCAACGAAAAAAGGCCCAUGAGAACGGACGUGACGUGCGGCCAAAGAUGACGUACAAACGAAAAAAAGGCCCAUGAGAACGGACGUGAAUAAAAUCACACAGACAGAAACUAUUAGUACCAACGAAAAAAGGCCCAUGAGAACAGACGUGACGUGCGGCCAAAGAUGACGUACAAACGAAAAAAAGGCCCAUGAGAACGGACGUGAAUAAAAUCACACAGACAGAAACUAUUAGUACCACCUUGGAUAGUUGAAAACUUAAAAGUAUAAUUAAUAAUAUGGGUGAACGGAUGAAAAAAAUUGAAGAAACACACCUUGCUUUAUUAGUAGGUAUAGACUAGGAAAAUUGCCCGUGCGUUGCAACGGAAAAUACACCAAAAACACAAGGAAAACUACUAAAAAAAUGCAUGGAAAACCCCCAGAAAAGCGUUAUGUAUGUUUUUGACAUUCUCACUGUGUCCUACUCCUCUACCCAAUGAUUCGGCCUAGGGGAGCACGCGAAAGUAUUUACGCAAGGCAGGUGUCCUUGGUGAAUCCUACCAACGUGAGCAUCUGGUCUAGGGCGUUCACCCUCUUCGGUUAGUCGAGGCCAACAAGACAACAAACGGUUCCAAGAUAUAAAGCAUUAGGAACAUGGAGCAUGUGCUACAAUUAAACAAAUGGACAACAUGGCACGGCAGCAUCAGAAGAUGUCAAGGAGGCCACGUCUUCCUCAACUCUGACCGCCAUCUAUCAAAAUUUUGUUUUCAUAUACUAUGAAAGAUAGGUGAAAAAAUGACAUGAUUUUGGAACCUAAUCCUGAAAUAUGAGCUCACAAGUGGAGAUGAAGGGUGGUAGGAACAAUCUCGAAGAGACUUCAUCAAGAGAAAACAAUGUUGGUCCUUCACAAAGUAGAAAGAAUUGGUAGACAUUGAUCUUGUAAAACUCGAGACAUACACCUAAUAUUUGGGUAGCAACAAAAGAUGAACAUUAUUAGAGGUGAGGCCAAGUAUAGCAACAAUGGGAGGAUAAAAAAAGCACGACAAAAUAUUGUUCUCUAAGUUGAAUGCAGUAACCAUCAGUUUUACAAAAUAUGCGCCUAGCCUUGAGCUUUGCACUAAAGAAUUAAUUCAAGUUGUAUACAACUAUAGUGUUUAUAUGCACCUGCAACUUGAUUGGUCUUCAUCAUAGAACACAAUCUUUGAUAAGUGAUUAUAACUAUCUCACACUAAAGUGAAUUAAUGAAGCUAGGUACUCAACUCAGGGAAUUGUCAGGUCUGUACAUAUGCGUGUCUCCAUGAACAUGAUCUUGGUCUCUUGUGCAUGCUUGAUGGUAAAGUAACCUGCAAAAAGCAUCAUCCAGCAUUAACUCGAACAGAUUAGUUCAAGUUCUUCAUUUGCUCUCUCACCAGGAAUACAUAAUAGAUAUCACUUUUUACAUUUAGCAUAAUCUGGUGAACAAUGUCACUUUUUACUUUUUACAUUUAGCAUAAUAGAUAUCACCUUUUACAUUUGCUCUCUCAAACAUUUUUUUGGCAAAAUGUGAACAUUUUCUGUAUUUUGCCCAAAUUUUGGAACGAGAAGAAAAAUUAGAAGUUCCCCACAUUUUACAACAUGGGAACAAAAUUUUGAAAUUCUGAAGAUUUUUUGAAAAUUUGAAUAAAAAUGGUAAUUUUGAAAAAAAUUUGAAAAAAGAAAAAUAAACUUGGAAGGGAAAAAGGGAAAAGGAAAGAGAAAGGUAAAGAAAGAGAAAAAUAGAAAUAGAACACAGAGAAGAACGAGAACGGGCCGGCAUAAUCUUGGGCGCCCUAUACGAAACUCUGACUCUUUGUCGCAUUGUGCGAAAAAUAGGGCUUUGCAGCUGCGUGAGCAAGAAAUAAAUGGGCUGGCUUUGUUGGGCCGCAGCACGCACGGCUCAUGUACGAAAUUCGGGAUGAAAUUGUUUUUUUUAGUAGAUGGACGAAGAAAAAUUGAACACCACCUUUAAUAGAAAACAAAAUCUUUUUGAUGGUGAACGGAUGAAAAAUUUAAAAAACACACCUUCCUUUAUUAUUUACUAGGAAAUAUGCCCGUGCGUUGCAACGGGAGGAAAGUAAUAUCUCAGCAUUCCUCAUAUCGCCGCAAACUUCUUCCACAUCCUCUAUGUGAACACAACGCCCGAUCUAUAUUGUCGCAUAUAUCCUCCUUCCAGCCAUCGCCGGCCCGCGAGAUCUUGAUAGUGGUGGCGUUGGUCGGGGUGGUGGCGACCAUCCAACUGGUGCCUUUUUUCCUCCGGAUCCGCCUCCGUCUCGGAGUUGUGGUUGCGUCCUCAUUUGGUUGCUACACGGCGACCUUCGAGGCACAAUUGCUUCGACCACUCUCUUCUACAACGAUGUAACCGGAUGGAUUACUAAUUGCAGCGCAUAAAUUUUAUUUGAUUGGCAUAAUUAGGGCAUAACCAGGAAUGAAAGUUCUCUUCAUUAUCAGGGUUAUUCUCUUCGACUAUUUUUGCGCUCAUGUGCCCACAAAUUUAAUUAAUUGCAGCAAAACCAGCAUAUUCUCUUUUAUUAGCACAUGCCCACAAUUUUUUCAAUUAUAGGCUGUAGCCAACCAACAUAUUGUCUUUUAUUAUUUUGAAAUUUGUAAAAAAUGAAUUGCCGAAUAUUCAUGUAAAAGUGAAUUUUUUUGAAUAUCAUUUUUUUUAAAUAUUCCUUCCAUUUAAAAAAACAUGAACAAAAUUUGAAACGACGUCAUUUUCUGAAGACAUGAACUUUUUAUGAAAACACAAACAUUUUUUGAAGCUAUGUCCGACUUUUGAAAAUGGAACAUGUUUUCAAAGUUCAGAUUUUUUUUACAAAAUGUGUUUUUAAAUGCGGGCAUUAUUUUCAAUUUGUGAACAUUUACUAAAACAAGAAUAUUUUUUCGAAUUUGGAAUAUGCUUAAAAUGCAUUUUUUGAAAAUCCUAAACAAUUUUGUAAAACAAAAACAUUUUUUGGAAAAAAAUCAAAUAUGUUCUGAAUUUCGAAAAAAAAUCUGAACGAGAAUCUUUCUUCCCACACAUUUGUAAAAACGGGAACACAAUAUUGUAAUGCUGAACAUUUUUUGAAUUUUUAUUACAGAAAACUGAACUUUUUUAUGAACUUUUUUAAUUAUGAAAUAAGGUAAAAAUAAAAAAUAGAUGGAAGGAAAGCAAAACGGGCCGACGCAGUUUUGGGCGCCCUGGGCGAAGCUCUGACUAUCUGCCGCACUGUGCGUCAAAUAGUCUUUUUGCGGCUUCAUAAGCAGGCAAAUAAGUGGGCUGGUUUUGCUGGCCACAGCAUGUGCGGCCCUAGUACGAAAAUCUGGAUUGCUAAAAUAAAAAAAUAGACAGAUGCACAAAAUUUUAGUACCACCUCGGAUAGAACAAUAAAUUUCAACAGGAACAGAUGAAAAAGUGGGAGAAACGCAUCUUGCUUUAUUAGUAGGUAUAGACUAGGAAAAUUGCCCGUUCGUUGCAACGGAAGAAAAGAAAAUUUCCACACGCUCCAAGUGACCUAUCCAUGUUACCAAUCUCUUCACCACCAUGGUCACAUUGUCCACCUCACGACAAACAUGACAAUCUCUAGCCAAUGAGCUUGGUCAUCCCACUCUAGCACGCUGCUUUCGAAAGACCUUAUGGUGUGUCACAAUGGAAAAAAUUAUUGCCAUACCCAGCCUCCGUCUUAAAAAACAGAAUACAUCUAAACUGAUAAAUAUCUACCUAAUUUUUUCUGUUACAGUGAAAAAUGCAAAUUAUGCCAGCUAUGGUUGAAUCGAAAAAUAAUAGUAUAAUUAUUCUAAACUGAUAAAUACAUCUAAUUUUUUUUGAUUAGCUGUUACCACUGAGACAUAAAGUUUGGAAUUGAAACACGUAUUUUUUAUGAUAAUUUUCUAGAAUUGAUACACAUAUCGUUCAGUAAAUCCAAAUAUUCAGAGUGAUGGUGGAAACAAGCAAAAUAAAAUAAAAGCAUUCUUUAUAAGAAAACUACAUAAAAUAUCAUAUGGCCCUAGCCCAAUAAUAACACUUAAAAUCAAGUGAAACAUCUAUUCAAUUCUCUUCUAAAAAUGAAGGAUGUAAAUAUAGAAAAAACAAAUCAGUGAGAAAAACAACAUAGAUCAUUUAAUCAAUCAGUUUUUUCGUGCAUGUCUUUCUCAUACCGCAACUGUUAUAGUUAAACAUAUUCAAUGAUUUAAUACACAUUAGAGGAAAAUAAACCACAUAGCUAGUACGGCCACUUUAGUGCACUUCAUUUGAAAGAGUCAAGCACGAAUCAAAAUAAUGCAUAGAUCUACCUAAGAAAGCAACAAUUUGCACCCGAUAAAUAAUAAAGAACAAAAUAAAAUAUGGCAGCUACGAAUUUUGAAGAACAUACAUAAACAUGGAUGUGGACAUGCCUCCAAUCCUUGCAGCAGUCACGAAAUCGCCUAUCUCGUAAAGACUGUCAAAUAACGGCAGUGGUACUUACCGGCCAAACGGUCGCCUUUUGAAUCGUUCCAUCACGUGGCUGGGCCAAAGUUUUUUCCAUUCCUCAUCCCUUGUUAUUCUCGCUUACUGAUUCCCGAGACGCUUCCUUGAUACCUAGGAACUUGAAAGAGAUAUAUAAAUUGAAAGGAUUGAAUAUAAGAAAGCAAGAUGGGACUAUUUAUUAAUUAAUUUGAGGCCAGAUAAUCAAUGAAAUGCGACUGUGUUGUUAAACGGGCUGAGGCCAGGUGGUCGAUUAGUUCGGCCGACCUCGUUGUAGUGGACGAUAUUAAGUACCUAACUUGCCCCUGAAAAAAGUACCUAACUCGCAUCGCACGACUUUUGGACCUUAUUUCCGCAUGUCCACUCUUGUAUCAAAAGGAGUUUUGCGUUGUAUUUAAACACACACAGCAGCUCAGCUGAGCUGGUUGGCGCCACGAGUAUCAACCCAACAUUCCAGAAAUCGAAUCCCACGCCAGAUCCAAGAGAGACACACGGUUGAUUAUUCCAUGGAAUUAAGCUUUGAUUAACUGAUCAGGCAUGUGAUUGUGAUCUAUACAUUAAUUAAUAUCUUUUUUCCUUAAAAACAGACACAACUUGCAACAGAUCGGAGAUCGCGGUACAUAGCAAGGCCAGCGAUGACGGACGAAAAAAUUGAUGGUCCCACUAUGGAAAAAAGAACUGGAGAAACAAACCUCCCUUUAAUAUUAGGUAAAGAUUAGUAAAAGUAAUUAGUAGUAAUAUAAUAAGGGGUAUAGAUAUAGAUAUAGAUGAAAAUAUAAUGAGCAUGUAAGGUGCAUCAUGGCCUCCAAGGAGCAAGAUCGGAGAGACACACGGUUGAUUAUUCGAUGGAAUUAAGCUCUGAUUAACUGAUCAGGCAUGUGAUUGUGAUCUGUACAUUAACUAAUACCCUUUUCCCUUAAAAAAAGACACAGCUAGUAACAGAUCGGAGAUCGCCGUACGUAGCAAGGCCUGCAAUGCCGGACGAAAAAAUUGAUGGUCCCACUAUGGACAAAAAAAGUGAAGAAACAAUCCUUCCUUUAAUAUUAGGUAAAGAUUAAUAAAAGUAAUUAAUAGUAAUAUAAUAAGGGGUGUAGAUAUAGAUAUCUAUAUCUAUAUCUAUACCUAAUAAUAAAGCAAGGUGUGUUUCUUCAAUUUUUCAUCCGUUCACCACCGAAAAGGUUUUUGUUCUAUCCAAGGUGGUACUAAAUUUUUGUGCGUCCAUCUAUUAAAAAAGAAAAACAGUUUUGUUCCGAAAUUUGUACGUGGGCUGCGCAUGCUUUGGCCCAGGAAAGCAUGCCCGUUUGUUUCCUGCCUGUUCAUCUAAAUAACCAUUAUUACCACACAGGGCGGCAAAUAGUCGAAAUUUCGCACAUGCCGCAAAAAUUGGGUCCCCCAGUUUCCGUUUUUUCUCUAUUCUAUUUCUAUUUUUAUUUUCCUUAUUUUCCAUUUAUCCUUCUUUUUUAUUUUUUUCUUUCCAUGUUCAUUUUAAUUUUUUAUUUUUUCAUAAAUUCUAUUUUUCAUUUUUUCAGAAUUUCAUUUUUUAUAAUUUCGUAAAAUAAGAAGAAUUCAAAAUGUUGAUCCAAUUUUGAAAUAUGUUUGGAUCUUUAAUUUUUUUAUACUCAUUCCAUUUUUUCCAAAACUAAAAAAAUGUUCGAAUUUUUAAAAAAGUGUUUAGUUAUUCCAAAAUUGUUUGAGAUUUUCAAAAUGAAUUGUGUUUUAGAAAAUGAUACAAAUUCGAAAAAUAUUCAUCUUUAUUGAAGUGUUCACAAAUUUAAAGUAUUAUUUGUGUUUGAAAAGCACGUUUAAAAAAUUGUUUUCAAUGUUCAAAACAUGUUUCCAUUUUCACAAAUAGAAAAAAAUUGUUUUCUUAAAAAGAGGUUCAUGUUUACAAAACAUGUUUGUGAAUUAAAAAAACAUUUCAAGUUUUGUUCAUAUUUUUCCAAAUUUAAUGAAUUUUUCAAAAACAAUGCUCGCAUUUUUUAGAAAAGAAUCGGGAUUUAAAAAAUUGUUCAUAUUUCGAAGAAUAAUCAGAAUUUCAUAAUUAUUACUUUAGUUUUUGAAAAUCUCAAAAAGGAUAAAACAAUGAAAAAAUUGUUCGAAUGUUACGCUACAUUAUGUUCUUAAACAUUCGUUUUGGCCAUUUCUGUUUGUUCGAAUGGCUAUCAGCAUGUGUUCGAGAUAUUGAGGUCAUGAGUAUAAUAUUUCAACUCAACGGUUGUUUUGGAUUUUUGUUCAUGUCUUACAAACACACGUCGUUUUGGUAACUGCGAGUGGCCUAACCCAGACGCGAACUGUUGUGCAUUCCACUUGUCAUUCGAUGAUAAAAGAGAAUAUGUUGGUUGGCUAUAAUUAAAAGAAAUUGUAGGCACAUGCCAAUAAGAGGAUAUGUUAGUUUGGCCCCGAUUAAAAAAAUAUAGGCAAAUAAGCGCUAAAAUAUUAAAAAAAAACCCUAGUAAAGCAGAGACUACCUGGUUAUGCGCUGAUUAUGGCAAUGAAAUGGGAUUCACUAAAUUAGUAAUCCAUCUGGUUACGCCAUCGCAGGAGAGUGUGGUCGAAAGAACUAUGCCCCGAAGGUCACCGUGCAGUCACAAAAUGAGGAGGCAACCAUAACCUAAACACGGAGGCGAACCCGGAGGGAAAAAAAGGCGCGAGUUGAGUGGUGCCCACCACACCGACCAACCCCACCACUAUGAAGAUCUCGUGGGCCAAACAUGACCCCUGGGAAUACCACAAUUCCUCACUCUGUCACCCCACUGUUGCAGAGACCAUUUUGAUGCACACAUCAAUUACCUCUCUCGAUGCUUCUUCCAAAAAAAAUCUCCCGUUGCAAUGCACGGGCAUAUGUGCUAGUAGAUAAAAAUACAACGAGCAUGUCAGGUGCAUCAUGGCAUCCAAGGAGCAAGAUCCAAAAGAGACACACCGUUGAUUAUUCCACGGAAUUAAGCUUUGAUUAACUGAUUAGGCAUAUGGUUGUGAUCUAUACAUUAAUUAAUAAACAAAACGGAGGGGUUACAUGCGUGUUGCAUGCAGGUAGGCGUCGUUUUCCCUGUGAAAUCGGCACUGGCCAACAUCGCUUGUUCUCUAGCGUGUGUUUAUAUAUGCAUUCAAAGUAAUGCCACCACUGAGAUUUUUGUGGCUGACCAGCUCUCCAUAUCAAUCGAAUAUUGUGUACACGCCUACAGCUUAAUAAACAAUAUACUAUAUAGGUCCACCGUGCAGGGUGGCAACUGGCAACCAUCAUUUGUUCUCUGGCUCGUGUUUUCUAGGACAUGCAUCAAAGGAAAGGUCGCCAUUGUGAUCGUUGUCGAGAUUUGUGGCCAGUGGCCGACAGUCCAUGGAAUAUCCCGCCUACAUCUUCAACAAAUCAUAUAGGGUUUAAUCACCUCAUUGGUGGUUGAGUGUGGGCCUACCAUGAUAGCUCUUUCUAGUUGGUGCCAUUUCACUCUCGGUCUACAUGGACACAGGUAUCUGGCAAAAAAAAAAUCUGGCAAAAAAAAACAUGGACACAGGUAUUUCUGAAAAAACUUGAAAAAGAAACUUUGGAAGCGCCAAAACAAAUAUGGGCAUAUUUAUUUACUGAUUUGCUAGUUCUCAUCUAGACUACAAUUUACUAAUUUGCAUGUUUUUUUUGUGGGUGACCUAGACGAGAACUAAAUCUUGCCUAGCUCCUGCGUCAUCUGAUUUUAUGAGGAGAUUCAUAUGUAUUUUUUCAUUUUGUUUUUUUAUUUGAUUGAUUUAUGUAUUUCAUUACUUUUGUGGGUUUUCAUUUUGUCUCUUUUUAUGCCCUGCGCAACUGCAGUUGCACGUUCGCCGUGUGCAACUAUAGUUACGUAUUUUCUAAAAGAUAAGUACAAUAAAGAAGUGCACACCUAGCCGCCGCCUUCAAGAACCCUAGCUUUCCGCCUCCCACCGGCGCCGGCGCUGGUCCAUCCCGUCUCCGGUGGCCCUAUGGCCAUGGAGGCGGAGUGGAUCUCGGCCCUUGCCGGUGGGAGGGCUCCUUUUUUAGAUCUUUUUUCGAGUUUUGUUAGGGUUUUGUGUCCUGCUAAGGAAGGCGAGACGGUGGCGGCUCCCUGAAGAUGGAAUAAAGGUCUCCACGCCUAGCCCCCGUGUCGGUGAUGCGUCUUGCAUCGUCGGUGGGCGUGUGGAGUUGUGUCUCCGGCGGAUCUGUCUUUGGUGGAUUUGCUCGGAUCUGUUCGUCCUUCGUCUUCGUUCGUGUGUUUGUUGUUCUGGUUGGAUCCUUUUGAUCUACACUCUUCAUCCGCGGCGGUUGUUGUUCUGGUGCGUUGGUUCUACGAGGCCUUAGCACGACGACUUUCUGACUGUCUACUACAACAAGGUUUGCCCGGCUCCGGCGAGGGAGGGGCGAUGACAGCGGCACGCCUUCGGCUCGCUUCAGUGCUUGUAGUCGGCGCUAGGUGGUCUACGAAUCUGGAUGUAAUUUUUACUAUUUCUAGUGUUCGUUGUACUACCAUGAUUGAAGAUGAAUAGAUUGGAAUUUUUUUCCUGCAAAAAAAUAAAAUAAAAAAUAAAAGGAGGAAACAAUAAAACUGAAAGAAGGGAAAAGGGGAAAAGGAAACAACAAAACAUCCUAUGCUGAGGUCAUUUGUGGUGAGAUUUACAUAAAUCUCAUCUAGAUGAGAGCUACUUGCACCCUAUUAUAUACUCCCUUCAAUUCCAUAUUAUAAUGUACAUCAAUGUUCAUGAAAAAUAAAACGUAUGUAUGUUUUGACAAGAAUUGUAGCAUAAAUAUCAACAUCCACAAUAUAAAAUAAAUAAAAUAUGAAAAUAAUGUUCAUGAUGGAUUCAAUGGUACAAAUUUGGUAAAAUAGAUGUUAAUAUUAUUCAUUCUAAACUCUGUCAAACAUGCAUAAGUUUGACUUUCAAAAAAAAUACACCUAUUUUGGAACGAAGGGGCUGCUGAUUUGGAAACUUUUGAAAUGAAAAGACAUAUUUUCACCGUCCUUGGUCUCGGCUUAGGGUGCUGCAUCUUGAGAACCACAAAGAACUCAUUAUUUUCAUCGAGUGCCUCCGUCGAGGGCAAUGUUUUGGAUCCUGGAUGAAAAAAAGUCACGUGGGGCAUCAAGAUUUUCGUUUACCACAAUAACGAAAAAAUACUAGGUAGUUACCAUGCAAAUUUUUAAUGAAUUUUGAAAUGCUAGAAAAUUCGUCAGAAUUUUUUUCAAAAUUGAUUUGAAUUCAAAAGUUUGGAAUCUUUUGCUUCAAAAUGCGAUUUCUCGUGGGGUACCAGGAUCUGCGGUUACUGCCCAUUAACCGAUUUUUUUUCUCGGUACCGAAAACCUUCAUCAAGGGCCCUUGCGCCUGAGCACGAUCGAUUUGGCUCUCGGGCUGCAUAGAGCUUGACAUUUGUUUAAAAAAUCCAGAUUUCAAAGAUCUAAAGAAAGUUUAUAUGCAUAUGCAUCCUUGGAAGUUUCAAAAAAAUUCCCAAAAAGGGGAGCAUAUUCAGAACCUCUCAUAACGUUUCCCUAUCAAAGGGAAAGAUUAGGAUUCUAGAAACAUGUCUUCUGAACAUUCAAAAUAAAAGUUUUUCAAAGAUAGAAAUGAGAGCAUGGGAGUACAUAAUAUAUGAGAGCACCUAAUAUUCUUCGAUUAGUUCAUGUACACAUUAAAUCUUGCCCUCUCUCCUAAUUUAUUCUAUGGCGCCUCAUAAAAAUUUUAAGCUGUAAAAUGUACAUACCAGCAACUAUGCAACGACGGUUGAAUACACACUUAGAGCAUCUCUGACAGAUAAUGCAAAAUAAGCCAAGUGCCCCAAAACUAUCUUUUAGGGCAUUUGGACCCAAACAACAGUGCUCCGGUAGAUUCCCUAUCUCUAUAUUGUGCUGCAAAAAAAAUUAGGGCACCCCAUGUUUUACCACCAAGUGUUGCAACUAUACAGCAGCCGCACCGCUGCCGCAAAAGAAAAUUUGUGCCUGCCACUUGUGAACUGAGUUGGGAUUUCCCUGAAGAGGUGAGGAUGAUGCAGUAUAGUAGAGAUAAGUAAUUCCCUUAGUUAAGAACCGAGGUUAUCAAUCAGUAGGAGAACCAAACAACACCUCGUUAACAACACCUGCUCACAAACAACAAAUCCUUGCAACCCAACGCGAACAAGGGGUUGUCGAUCCCUCGAUGGUUACAGGUGAGAUUAAAUUAUGUGGUGUUUGAUAGAUAGAUCAAACAAAAAUAAAAUAAAUAAAGUAAAAACACAGCAAGAUAUUUUAGGAUUUUUAUAUAUCAUAAAAGAUAUACUCGGGGGCCAUGGUUUUCACUAGAGGCUUCUCUCUUGAAAAUGGCAUACGGUGGGUAAACAAAUUACUGUGAGGCAAUUGAUAGAAAAACAAAUAAUUAUGACAAUAUCCAAGGCAAUGAUCAUAUAUAGGCAUCAUGUCCGAGACAAGUAGACCGAAACGAUUCUGCAUCUACUACUAUUAUUCCACAUCCAGUAUGCAUCUAGAGUAGUAAGUUCAUAAAGAACGGAGUAACGCCUUAAGCAAGAUGACAUGAUGUAGACAAGAUAAACUCACAUAUGAAUAAACAUCUUUUUACCCUUAAUAGCAAAGAUCCAUACAUGUCAUGCCCCCUUCUAUCACUGGGAUUGAGCACUUCAAGAUCGAACCCAUUACAAAGCACCUCUUCCCAUUGCAAGAUAAAUCAAUCUAGUUUGUCAAACCAAAUCAGUAGAUUGGAGAAGAAAUACGAAGCUAUAGUAAUCAUGCAUAAAGAGAUCAGAGAAAACUCAAAUAAUAUUCAUGGAUAGAUCUGAUCAUAAACGUACAAUUCAUCGGAUCCCAACAGACACACAUCAAAAAAGAAUUACAUUGGGUAGAACUCCAAGAACAUCAAGGAGAACAUUGUAUUCAAAAAUAUCGAGAGAGAGAGAGAGAGAAGAAGCCAUCUAGCUACUAGAUAUGGACCCGUAGGUCUGUGGUAAACUACUCACGCAUCAUAGGAAGGGCAACAAGGUUUAUGUAGAGCCCCUCCGUGAUUGAUUCCCCCUCCGGCGGAGUACCGGAAAAGGUCCCCAGAUGGGAUCUCUAGAGAAUAGAGAAUUUAUAAAGGCUGAGUUAGGUCUACUACUUCUUGAUCUUGCGUUGUUUUUUCCCUUGAAGAGGAAAGGAUGAUGCAGCAAAGUAGAGAUAAGUAUUUCCCUCAGUAGAGAACCAAGGUAUCAAUCCAGUAGGAGGUACAAGCAAGUCUCCAAUCUAUUCACCUGCACAAACAAUCAAACACUUGCACCCAAUGCGAUAAAGGGGUUGUCAAUCCCUUGACGGAUAAUUGUGAUGGUGAGAUCUGAUAGAGAUAUAUAUAUAAAAGAUUACUAAAAACAAAAUAAAAACAAAUAAAUUGCAGCAAGGUAUUUUUGGGUUUUUGGGUUUAUAGAUCUGAGAAUAUACGAUGGAAAAUAGACCCGGGGGCCAUAGGUUUCACUAGAGGCUUCUCUCUUGAAAGAAAAUAUCAUGGUGGGUGAACAAAUUACUGUCGAGCAAUUGAUAUAAAAUCACAAAUUUAUGACGAUAUCCAAGGAAAUGAUUAUGAAUAUAGGCAUGACAUCUGUGUCAACUAGACCGACUCCUGCCUGCAUCUACUACUAUUACUCCACACAUCGAUCGCUAUCCAGCAUGCAUCUAGAGUAUUAAGUUCAUAAGAACAGAGUAACGCCUUAAGUAAGGUGACAUGAUCUAGAGGGAUAAAAUCAAGCAAUAUGAUGAAAACCCCAUCUUUUUACCCUUGAUGGCAACAAUACAAUACGUGCCUCGCUACCGCUACUAUGUCACUGGGUGAGGACACCGCAAGAUUGAAACCAAAACUAAGCACCUCUCCCAUUGCAAGAAAUACCAAUCUAGUUGGCCAAACCCACCGAUAAUUCGAAGAGAAAUACAAAGAUAUCAAAUCAUGCAUAUAAGAAUUCAGAGAAGAUUCAAAUAAUAUUCAUAGAUAAGAUGAUCAUAAAUACACAAUUCAACGGAUAUCGACAAACACACCGCAAAAAAGUAUUACAUCGGAUAGAUCUCCAAGAACAUCGAGGAGAACUUUGUAUUGAAGAUAAAAGAGAGAGAAGAAGCCAUCUAUCUACUAGAUAUGGACCCAUAGGUCUAUGGUAAGCUACUGACACAUCAUCGGAGAGGCAAUAGGGUUGAUGUAGAUUCCCUCCAUGAUCGAAUCCCCCUCUGGCAGACGGUCGGAGAAGGCCCCAAGAUGGGAUCUCACGGGAACAAAGGCUUGCGGUAGCAAAAAAGUAUUUUGGUGUACGCUUCUGGUCGUUUGGGAAUAUUUGGGAAUUUAUAGGCGAAGAAUUAGGGUUCGAGGAGCCUCAGGUCACCCACAAGCCAGGGGGUGCCCCUUUAGGGCGCGCCCCUAAGGCUUGCCGCUGCCUCGGGACUCCUCUAACUUCAUCUCCAAGUCCUACGUGUGUCUUCUGGUCCAAGUAAAAUCAUUGCGAAAGUUUUAUUCCGUUUGGACUCCGUUUGAUAUUCCUUUUCUGAAAACUCAAAAACAAGGAAAAAAAACAGAAACUGGCACUGGGCUCUAGCUUAAUAGGAAAACAUCCAAAAUAGAUAAUAUAAUAGCAUGGAACAAUAAAAAAUUAUAGAUACGUUGGAGACGUAUCAAGCAUCCCUAAGCCUAAUUCCUGCUCGUCCUCGAGUAAGUAAAUGAGAAAACACAGUUUUUUAUGUGGAAUGCUACCUAACAUAUUUAUCCAUGUAAUAUUCUUUAUUGUGGCAUGAAUGUUCAGAUCCAUAAGAUUCAAAGAAAAAGUUUAAUAUUGACAUAAAACAACAAUACUUCAAGCAUACUAAUAAAGAAACAUGUCUUCUCAAAAUAACAUGGCCAAAGAAAGCUAUCCCUACAAAUUCAUAUGGUCUAGAUAUGCUCCAUCUUCACCGCACAAAAAUAUUUCAAUCAUGCACAACCCCUGAGUCAGCCAAGCAAUUGUUUCAUACUUUAGUGUUCUCAAACUUUUUCAACUUUCACGCAAUACAUGAGCGUGAGCCAUGGAUAUAACACUAUCGAUGGAAUAGAAUAUGGUGGUUUGUGGAGAAGACAAAAAGAAUGAGAUAGUCUCCCAUCAACUAGGCGUAUCAACGGGCCAUGGAGAUGCCCAUCAAUAGAUAUCAAUGUAAGUGAGUAGGGAUUUCCAUGCAAUGGAUGCACUAGAGCUAUAAGUAUAUGAAAGCUCAAAAAGAAACUAAGUGGGUGUGCAUCCAACUUGCUUGCUCACGAAGACCUAGGGCAAUUUUGAGGAAGCCCAUCAUUGGAAUAUACAAGCCAAGUUCUAUAAUGAAAAAUUCCCACUAGUAUAUGAAAGUGACAAAAUAGGAGACUCUCUAUCAUGAAGAUCAUGGUGCUACUUUGAAGCACAAGUGUGGAAAAAGGAUAGUAGCAUUGCCCCUUCUCUCUUUUCUCUCAUUUUUUUAUUUUGGGCUCUUUGGCCUCUUUUUUUCCUACUUUUUUACAUCCAGAGUCUCAUCCCGACUUGUGGGGGAAUCAUAUUCUCCGUCAUCCUUUCCUCACUUGGGACAAUGCUCUAAUAAUGAUGAUCAUCACACUUUUAUUUACUUUACAACUCAAGAAUUACAACUUGAUACUAGAACAAAUAUAGGUGUACCGGGAUGUGCAAUGACUCAAGAGUGACAUGUAUGACAAAUAUGAAUGUUGGCUUUGCCACAAAUAUGAUGUCAACUACAUGAUCAUGCAAAGCAAUAUGACAAUGAUGAAGCGUGUCCUAAUAAAUUGAACCGUGGAAGUUGCAUGGCAAUAUAUCUCGAAAUGGCUAUGGAAAUGCUAUAAUAGGUAGGUAUGGUGGCUAUUUUGAGGAAGGUAUAUGAUGGGUGUAAUGCACGGGCGAGAGUUGUGCGGUACUAGAUAGACUAGCAAUGGUGGAAGGGUGAGAGUGCGUAUAAUCCAUGGACUCAGCAUUAAUCAUAAAGAACUCACAUACUUAUUGCAAAAGUCUAGAAGCUAUUGAAAUAAAGUACUACAUGCAUGCCCCUAGGGGAACGGUUGGUAGGAGUUAACCAUCGCGCGAUCCCAACCUCAACACAAAAGAUGGCAAUCAAAAAAAUAAAUCAUGCUCCGACUUCAUCACAUAGUGGUUCACCUUAUGUGCAUGCUACGGGAAUCACAAACUUUAACACAAGUAUUUCUACCAAUCCAUAAUUACUCAUUAGCAUGUCUCUAAUAUCACCAUCUUUAUAUCUCAAAACAAUAUGCAAGGAAUCAAACUUCUCAUAUUAUUCAAUGCACUUUAUAUGAAAGUUUUUAUUAUAUCCCUCUUGGAUGCCCAUCAUGUACUAAAUUCAUAACCUAAGCAAAUUACCAUGUUGUUUAAGACUCUCAAAAUAAUAUAAGUGAAGCAUGAGAGUUCAAAAAUUUCUAUAAAAUAAAGCCACCGCCGUGCUCUAAAAAGAUAUAAGUGAAGCACUAGAGCAUAUUGCCUAGCUCAAAAGAUAAAAGUGAAGCACAUAGAGUAUUCUAAUAAAUUCACGAUUAAUGCAUGUCCCUCUCAAAAGGUGUUUACAGAAAGGAUAAUUGUGGCAAACUAAAAAUCAAAGACUCAUAUCAUACAAGAUGCUCGAAGCAAAACACAUAUCAUGUGGUGAAUGAAAAUAUAGCCCCAAGUAAAUUUUUAUAUGGAUUGAACACGAAAGAGGGGAUGCCAUCCGGUGCAUCCCCAAGCUUAGAUGAUUGAUUGUCCUUGAAUGUUACCUUGGGGUGCCUUGGGCGUCCCCAAGCUUAGGCUCUUGCCACUCCUUAUUCCAUAGUUCAUCAAAUCUUUACCCAAAACUUGAAAACUUGACAACACAAAACUCAACAGAAAACUCAUGAGAUCCGGUAGUAUAAGAAAAUAAAAUCACCACUUUUGGUACUGUUGUGAACUCAUUAUUUAUUUAUAUUGGUGUAAUAUCUACUGUAUUACAACUUUUACAUGGUUCAUACCCCCCGAUACUACCCAUAGAUUCAUCAAAAUAAGCAAACAACACAUAGAAAACAGAAUCUGUCAAAAACAAAACAGUUUGUAGCAAUAUGGAAAUUUCGAAUACUUCUAUAACUCUACGAAUUCCAAAAACUCGGGACAACCUGGGAAAUUUGUAUAUCAAUCUUGUGUAAAACAUUCAGAAGGUUUGGUCACUUCUGUGAAUUAUCAAAAGUAUUUUACUGGACGCAAAAGUUUCUGUUUUUCAGCUAGAUCAAAUCAACUAUCACUGCAGACCAUCCCAAAGGUCUUAUUUGGCUCAAACAGUAACUAAAACACCAAAAAACCAUUACUACAAAGGUAUAAUGUGUAUUUCACAUAAAAACAUAAAACAAAAAUAUUGGGUUGUCUCCCAACAAGCGCUUUUCUUUAAAGCCUUUUAGCUAGGCAUUGAUAAUUUCAAUGGUGCUCACAUAAAAGAUAGCAAUCGAAACACGAAGAGAGCAUCAUGUAGCAUGUGAAUUUUUUUAAGUCCAACAUAAUUCCUAUGCAUAUGCAUUUUAUAAGCAAACCAAUUAUCAAGACAAGCAAAAACUAGCAUAUGCAAGGAAGAAGAAAGAAACAAUAGCAAUCUCAACAUGACGAGAGGUAAUUGAGUAACAUGAAACUUUUUACAACCAUAUUUUUUCUCUCAUAAUAAUUACAUGUGGAUUCAAAUUCAACAAUAUAGCUAUAACAUAUAAUAUUCUCUAGAUGAUCCACAUGCAUGCAAGGUUGACACUCUUCCAAGAUAGUGGGAUUAACAUUAACUAAAGUCAUGACCUAUUAAAACCCACUUUUAUCAAAAAUUUCAUAUGAUUGAUCAUUAUCCAAAGUAGUGGGAUCAUUGUUAACUAGAGUCGACACUCUUCCAAACCCACUUUCAAUAUUAUCGCAAACAUAUUCAUCACGAGGCUUAAAUAAAUUUUCAAGAUCAUAAGAAGAAUCACCCCAAUCAUGAUCAUUGCAAUAAGUAGCGGACAUAUCAAAAUUAGCAUCCCCAAGCUUGGGGUUCUGCAUAUUAUUAGCACAAUUGAAAUUAAUAUAAUUUAUAAUAACACCAUUUAAAUCAUGCUUUUCAUUCAAGGAGCUAUCGUGAAUCACUUCAAAAUUUUCCUCUUUAAGUACUUCAUCACAAUUUCCAGAUUCACGAAUUUCAAGCAAAACUUCAUAAAGAUAAUCUAGUGCACUCAACUCACUAGCAAUAGGUUCGUCGUAAUUGGAUUUCUUAAAAAGAUUAGAAAGUGGAUGAGGAUCCAUAAACUCUUUUCUUCCUUAUUUUCAAUAAAUACACAAUUAUACCAAGUGAACAGGCAAACAAACACUACUAGGGAAAACCCUAUCAGUAGCGCGGGUAUUUUGCCUAUCAGUAGCGCGGGACGACGCGCUACUGAUAAGGCGCUAUAGCUAACAUGUAGCAGUAGUGCCUGUCGUCCCACGCUACUGCUAUACAUAGCUAGCAGUAGCGCGCUUUAGUGUAGAGCACUGCUGCUAAUAUCUGCAGUGCUUUUUAGCAGGUAGCGCUACUGGUAAGGCAGCGCUAAUGCUACUUUGUUCCCCUCACUACUACUAGUUUUAUUAGUUUCUGUUUUUUUCUGCAUAUUUGUUUUGUAUUUGAAUAGGCUUUAUACAAUAAUCUUUAGCAUAUCAUACACAUAAAAUGUAUGUUGGGUUUCGUAGUAAUUUCAAAAAAUUUCCUACGCACACGCAAGAUCAUGUGAUGCAUAGCAACGAGGGGAGAGUAUUGUCUACGUACCCAACGCAGACCGACUGCGGAAGCGAUGACACGACGUAGAGGAAGUAGUCGUACGUCUUCUCGAUCCAACCGAUCAAGCACCGAAACUACGGCACCUCCGAGUUCGAGCACACGUUUAGCUCGAUGACGAUCCCCGGACUCCGAUCCAGCAAAGUGUCGGGGAAGAGUUUCGUCAGCACGACGGCGUGGUGACGAUCUUGAUGAACUACAGUAGCAGGGCUUCGCCUAAACUCCGCUACAGUAUUAUCGAGGAAUAUGGUGGCAGGGGGCACCGCACACGGCUAAGGAAUAGAUCACGUGGAUCAACUUGUGUCAACUUGUGUGUUUAGAGGUGCCCCUGCCUCCGUAUAUAAAGGAGGAGAGGAGGGGAGGCUGGCCGGCCAAGGGGGGGAGGCGCAGGAGAGUCCUACUCCCUCUGGGAGUAGGAUUCCCCCUCCAAUCCUAGUCCAACUAGGAUUCCUCGGAGGGGAAAAGAGGAGGAGGGGGCCGGCCACCUCUCCUAGUCCUAAUAGGACUAGGGGAAGGGGGGGGGGCACGCAGCCCAUCUAGGGCAGCCCCUUCUCUUUUCCACUAAGGCCCACUAUGGCCCAAAUAGCUCCCGGGGGGUUCCGGUAACCCUCCCGGUAUUCCGGUAAAAUCCCGAUUUCACCCGGAACACUUCCGAUAUCCAAAUAUAGGCUUCCAAUAUAUCAAUCUUUACGUCUCGACCAUUUCGAGACUCCUCGUCAUGUCCGUGAUCACAUCCGGGACUCCGAACAACCUUCGGUACAUCAAAAUGCAUAAACUCAUAAUAUAACUGUCAUCCUAACCUUAAGCGUGCGGACCCUACGGGUUCGAGAACAAUGUAGACAUGACCGAGACACGUCUCUGGUCAAUAACCAAUAGCGGGACCUGGAUGCCCAUAUUGGCUCCUACAUAUUCUACGAAGAUCUUUAUCGGUCAGACCGCAUAACAACAUACGUUGUUCCCUUUGUCAUCGGUAUGUUACUUGCCCGAGAUUCGAUCGUCGGUAUCCAAUACCUAGUUCAAUCUCGUUACUGGCAAGUCUCUUUACUCGUUCCGUAAUACAUCAUCUCACAACUAACGUAUUAGUUGUAAUGCUUGCAAGGCUUAUGUGAUGUGUAUUACCGAGAGGGCCCAGAGAUACCUCUCCGACAAUCGGAGUGACAAAUCCUAAUCUCGAAAUACGCCAACCCAACAUCGACCAUUGGAGACACCUGUAGUACUCCUUUAUAAUCACCCAGUUACGUUGUGACGUUUGGUAGUACCCAAAGUGUUCCUCCGGUAAACGGGAGUUGCAUAAUCUCAUAGUCAUAGGAACAUGUAUAAGUCAUGAAGAAAGCAAUAGCAACAUACUAAAUGAUCGGGUGCUAAGCUAAUGGAAUGGGUCAUGUCAAUCAGAUCAUUCUGCUAAUGAUGUGACCUCGUUAAUCAAAUAACAACUCAUUGUUCAUGGUUAGGAAACAUAACAUCUUUGAUUAACGAGCUAGUCAAGUAGAGGCAUACUAGUGACACUUUGUUUGUCUAUGUAUUCACACAUGUAUUAUGUUUCCGGUAAAUACAAUUCUAGCAUGAAUAAUAAACAUUUAUCAUGAUUAUAAGGAAAUAAAUAAUAACUUUAUUAUUGCCUCUAGGGCAUAUUUCCUUCAGUCUCCCACUUGCACUAGAGUCAAUAAUCUAGAUUACACUGUAAUGAUUCUAACACCCAUGGAGCCUUGGUGCUGAUCAUGUUUUGCUCGUGGAAGAGGCUUAGUCAAUGGGUCUGCAACAUUCAGAUCCGUAUGUAUCUUGCAAAUCUCUAUGUCUCCCACCUGGACUAGAUCCCGGAUGGAGUUGAAGCGUCUCUUGAUGUGUUUGGUCCUUUUGUGAAAUCUGGAUUCCUUUGCCAAGGCAAUUGCACCAGUAUUGUCACAAAAGAUUUUCAUUGGACCCGAUGCAUUAGGUAUGACACCUAGAUCGGAUAUGAACUCCUUCAUCCAGACUCCUUCAUUUGCUGCUUCCGAAGCAGCUAUGUAUUCCGCUUCACAUGUAGAUCCCGCUACGACGCUUUGUUUAGAACUGCACCAACUCACAGCUCCACCGUUUAAUGUAAACACAUAUCCGGUUUGCGAUUUAGAAUCGUCCGGAUCAGUGUCAAAGCUUGCAUCAACGUAACCUUUUACGAUGAGCUCUUUGUCACCUCCAUAUAUGAGAAACAUAUCCUUAGUCCUUUUCAGGUAUUUCAGGAUGUUCUUGACCGCUGUCCAGUGAUCCACUCCUGGAUUACUUUGGUACCUCCCUGCUAAACUUAUAGCAAGGCAUACAUCAGGUCUGGUACACAGCAUUGCAUACAUGAUAGAUCCUAUGGCUGAUGCAUAGGGAACAUCUUUCAUAUUCUCUCUAUCUUCUGCAGUGGUCGGGCAUUGAGUCUUACUCAAUUUCACACCUUGUAACACAGGCAAGAAUCCUUUCUUUGCUUGAUCCAUUUUGAACUUCUUCAAAAUUUUGUCAAGGUAUGUGCUUUGUGAAAGUCCAAUUAAGCGUUUUGAUCUAUCUCUAUAGAUCUUAAUGCCUAAUAUGUAAGCAGCUUCACCGAGGUCUUUCAUUGAAAAACUUUUAUUCAAGUAUCCCUUUAUGCUAUCCAGAAAUUCUAUAUCAUUUCCAAUCAGUAAUAUGUCAUCCACAUAUAAUAUCAGAAAUGCUACAGAGCUCCCACUCACUUUCUUGUAAAUACAGGCUUCUCUGAAAGUCUGUAUAAAACCAAAUGCUUUGAUCACACUAUCAAAACGUUUAUUCCAACUCCGAGAGGCUUGCACCAGUCCAUAAAUGGAUCGCUGGAGCUUGCACACUUUGUUAGCUCCCUUUGGAUCGACAAAACCUUCCGGUUGCAUCAUAUACAACUCUUCUUCCAGAAAUCCAUUCAGGAAUGCAGUUUUGACAUCCAUCUGCCAAAUUUCAUAAUCAUAAAAUGCGGCAAUCGCUAACAUGAUUCGGACGGACUUAAGCAUCGCUACGGGUGAGAAGGUCUCAUCGUAGUCAAUCCCUUGAACUUGCCGAAAACCUUUUGCGACAAGUCGAGCUUUGUAGACAGUAACAUUACCAUCAGCGUUAGUCUUCUUCUUAAAGAUCCAUUUAUUCUCAAUUGCUUGCCGAUCAUCGGGCAAGUCAACCAAAGUCCAUACUCUGUUCUCAUACAUGGAUCCCAUCUCAGAUUUCAUGGCUUCAAGCCACUUUGCGGAAUCUGGGCUCACCAUCGCUUCUUCAUAGUUCGUAGGUUCAUCAUGAUCUAGUAGCAUGACUUCCAGAACAGGAUUACCGUACCACUCUGGCGCGGAUCUUACUCUGGUUGAUCUACGAGGUUCAGUAGUAUCUUGAUCUGAAGUUUCAUGAUCAUUAUCAUUGGCUUCCUCACUAACUGGUGUAGGUGUCACUGAAACAGUUUUCUGUGAUGAACUACUUUCCAGUAAGGGAGUAGGUACAGUUACCUCAUCAAGUUCUACUUUCCUCCCACUCACUUCUUUCGAGAGAAACUCCUUCUCUAGAAAUGAUCCAUUCUUAGCAACGAAUGUCUUGCCUUCGGAUCUGUGAUAGAAGGUGUACCCAACAGUUUCCUUUGGGUAUCCUAUGAAGACACAUUUCUCCGAUUUGGGUUCGAGCUUAUCAGGUUGAAGUUUUUUCACAUAAGCAUCGCAGCCCCAAACUUUAAGAAACGACAACUUUGGUUUCUUGCCAAACCACAGUUCAUAAGGCGUCGUCUCAACGGAUUUUGAUGGUGCCCUAUUUAACGUGAAUGCGGCCGUCUCUANNNNNNNNNNAAAAUGAUAGCGGUAAAUCUGUAAGAGACAUCAUAGAUCGCACCAUAUCUAGUAAAGUACGAUUACGACGUUCGGACACACCAUUGCGCUGUGGUGUUCCAGGUGGCGUGAGUUGUGAAACUAUUCCACAGUUUUUCAAAUGUACACCAAACUCGUAACUCAAAUAUUCUCCUCCACGAUCAGAUCGUAGAAACUUUAUUUUCUUGUUACGAUGAUUUUCAACUUCACUCUGAAAUUCUUUGAACUUUUCAAAUGUUUCAGACUUAUGCUUCAUUAAGUAGAUAUAUCCAUAUCUGCUCAAAUCAUCUGUGAAGGUGAGAAAAUAACGAUAUCCGCCUCGAGCCUCAAUAUUCAUUGGACCACAUACAUCGGUAUGUAUGAUUUCCAACAAAUCUGUUGCUCUCUCCAUAGUACCGGAGAACGGUGUUUUAGUCAUCUUGCCCAUGAGGCACGGUUCGCAAGUACCAAGUGAUUCAUAAUCAAGUGGUUCCAAAAGUCCAUCAGCAUGGAGUUUCUUCAUGCGCUUUAUACCGAUAUGACCUAAACGACAGUGCCACAAAUAAGUUGCACUUUCAUUAUCAACUCUGCAUCUUUGGCUUCAACAUUAUGAAUAUGUGUAUUACUACUAUCGAGAUUCAAUAAGAAUAGACCACUCUUCAAGGGUGCAUGACCAUAAAAGAUAUUACUCAUAUAAAUAGAACAACCAUUAUUCUCUGAUUUAAAUGAAUAACCGUCUCGCAUUAAACAAGAUCCAGAUAUAAUGUUCAUGCUCAACGCUGGCACCAAAUAACAAUUACUUAGGUCUAAUAUUAAUCCCGAAGGUAGAUGUAGAGGUAGCAUGCCGACUGCGAUCACAUCGACUUUGGAACCGUUUCCCACGCACAUCGUCACCUCGUCCUUAGCCAAUCUUCGCUUAAUCCGUAGCCCCUGUUUCGAGUUGCAAAUAUUAGCAACAGAACCAGUAUCAAAUACCCAGGUGCUACUGCGAGCAUUGGUAAGGUACACAUCAAUAAUAUGUAUAUCACAUAUACCUUUGUUCACCUUGCCAUCCUUCUUAUCCGCCAAAUACUUGGGGCAGUUCCGCUUCCAGUGACCAGUCUGCUUGCAGUAGAAGCACUCAGUUUCAGGCUUAGGUCUAGACUUGGGUUUCUUCUCUUGAGCAGCAACUGGCUUGCUGUUCUUCUUGAAUUUCCCUUUCUUCUUUCCUUUGCCCUUUUUCUUGAAACUAGUGGUUUUGUUAACCAUCAACACUUGAUGCUCCUUUUUGAUUUCUACCUCCGCAGCUUUCAGCAUUGCGAAGAGCUCGGGAAUAGUCUUGUUCAUCCCUUGCAUAUUAUAGUUCAUCACGAAGCUCUUGUAGCUUGGUGGCAGUGGUUGGAGAAUUCUGUCAAUGACGCAAUCAUCCGGAAGAUUAACUCCCAAUUGAAUCAAGUGAUUAUUAUACCCAGACAUUUUGAGUAUAUGCUCACUGACAGAACUGUUCUCCUCCAUCUUGCAGCUAUAGAACUUAUUGGAGACUUCAUAUCUCUCAAUUCGGGCAUUUGCUUGAAAUAUUAACUUCAACUCCUGGAACAUCUCAUAUGCUCCAUGACGUUCAAAACGUCGUUGAAGUCCCGAUUCUAAGCCGUAAAGCAUGGCACACUGAACUAUCGAGUAGUCAUCAGCUUUGCUCUGCCAGACGUUCAUAACAUCUGGUGUUGCUCCAGCAGCAGGCCUGGCACCCAGCGGUGCUUCCAGGACGUAAUUCUUCUGUGCAGCAAUGAGGAUAAUCCUCAAGUUACGGACCCAGUCCGUGUAAUUGCUACCAUCAUCUUUCAACUUUGCUUUCUCAAGGAACGCAUUAAAAUUCAACGGAACAACAGCACGAGCCAUCUAUCUACAAACAACAUAAACAAGCAAGAUACUCUCAGGGACUAAGUUCAUGAUAAAUUUUAAGUUCAAUUAAUCAUAUUACUAAAGAACUCCCACUUAGAUAGACAUCCCUCUAAUCCUCUAAGUGAUCACGUGAUCCAAAUCAACUAAACCAUGUCCGAUCAUCACGUGAGAUGGAGUAGUUUCAUCGGUGAACAUCAUUAUGUUGAUCAUAUCUACUAUAUGAUUCACGCUCGACCUUUCGGUCUCCGUGUUCCGAGGCCAUAUCUGUAUAUGCUAGGCUCGUCAAGUUUAACCUGAGUAUUCUGCGUGCGCAACUGUUUUGCACCCGUUGUAUUUGAACGUAGGGCCUAUCACACCCGAUCAUCACGUGGUGUCUCAGCACGAAGAACUUUCGCAACGGUGCAUAUUCAGGGAGAACACUUCUUGAUAAUUUAGUGAGAGAUCAUCUUAUAAUGCUACCGUCAAUCAAAGCAAGAUAAGAUGCAUAAAAAGAUAAACAUCACAUGCAAUCAAUUAUAAGUGAUAUGAUAUGGCCAUCAUCAUCUUGUGCUUGUGAUCUCCAUCUCCGAAGCACCGUCAUGAUCACCAUCGUCACCGGCGCGACACCUUGAUCUCCAUCGUAGCAUCGUUGUCGUCUUGCCAAUCUUAUGCUUUCACGACUAUUACUACCGUUUAGUAAUAAAGUAAAACAUUACAUCGCGAUUGCAUUGCAUACAAUAAAGCGACAACCAUAUGGCUCCUGCCAGUUGCCGAUAACUUGGUUACAAAACAUGAACAUCUCAUACAAUAAAAUUCAGCAUCAUGCCUUGACCAUAUCACAUCACAACAUGCCCUGCAAAAACAAGUUAGACGUCCUCUACUUUGUUGUUGCAUGUUUUACGUGGCUGCUACGGGCUUAAGUAAGAACCAAUCUCACCUACGCAUCAAAACCACAACGAUAGUUUGUCAAAUAGACUCCGUUUUAACCUUCGCAAGGACCGGGCGUAGCCAUACUUGGUUCAACUAAAGUUGGAGAGACAGUCGCCCGCAAGCCAUCUCUGUGCAAAGCACGUCGAGGGAACCGGUCUCGCGUAAGCGUACGCGUAAGGUUGGUCCGGGUCGUCUCGUCCAACAAUACCGCCGAACCAAAGUAUGACAUGCUGGUAGGCAGUAUGACUUGUAUCGUCCACAACUCACUUGUGUUCUACUCGUGCAUAUAACAUCAACAUAAAUAACCUAGGCUCGGAGGCCACUGUUGGGUUUCGUAGUAAUUUCAAAAAAUUUCCUACGCACACGCAAGAUCAUGUGAUGCAUAGCAACGAGGGGAGAGUAUUGUCUACGUACCCAACGCAGACCGACUGCGGAAGCGAUGACACGACAUAGAGGAAGUAGUCGUACGUCUUCUCGAUCCAACCGAUCAAGCACCGAAACUACGGCACCUCCGAGUUCGAGCACACGUUCAGCUCGAUGACGAUCCCCGGACUCCGAUCCAGCAAAGUGUCGGGGAAGAGUUUCGUCAGCACGACGGCGUGGUGACGAUCUUGAUGAACUACAGCAGCAGGGCUUCGCCUAAACUCCGCUACAGUAUUAUCGAGGAAUAUGGUGGCAGGGGGCACCGCACACGGCUAAGGAAUAGAUCACGUGGAUCAACUUGUGUCAACUUGUGUGUUUAGAGGUGCCCCUGCCUCCGUAUAUAAAGGAGGAGAGGAGGGGAGGCUGGCCGGCCAAGGGGGGGAGGCGCAGGAGAGUCCUACUCCCUCUGGGAGUAGGAUUCCCCCUCCAAUCCUAGUCCAACUAGGAUUCCUCGGAGGGGAAAAGAGGAGGAGGGGGCCGGCCACCUCUCCUAGUCCUAAUAGGACUAGGGGAAGGGGGGGGGGCACGCAGCCCAUCUAGGGCAGCCCCUUCUCUUUUCCACUAAGGCCCACUAUGGCCCAAAUAGCUCCCGGGGGGUUCCGGUAACCCUCCCGGUAUUCCGGUAAAAUCCCGAUUUCACCCGGAACACUUCCGAUAUCCAAAUAUAGGCUUCCAAUAUAUCAAUCUUUACGUCUCGACCAUUUCGAGACUCCUCGUCAUGUCCGUGAUCACAUCCGGGACUCUGAACAACCUUCGGUACAUCAAAAUGCAUAAACUCAUAAUAUAACUGUCAUCGUAACCUUAAGCGUGCGGACCCUACGGGUUCGAGAACAAUGUAGACAUGACCGAGACACGUCUCUGGUCAAUAACCAAUAGCGGGACCUGGAUGCCCAUAUUGGCUCCUACAUAUUCUACGAAGAUCUUUAUCGGUCAGACCGCAUAACAACAUACAUUGUUCCCUUUGUCAUCGGUAUGUUACUUGCCCGAGAUUCGAUCGUCGGUAUCCAAUACCUAGUUCAAUCUCGUUACUGGCAAGUCUCUUUACUCGUUCCGUAAUACAUCAUCUCACAACUAACGUAUUAGUUGUAAUGCUUGCAAGGCUUAUGUGAUGUGUAUUACCGAGAGGGCCCAGAGAUACCUCUCCGACAAUCGGAGUGACAAAUCCUAAUCUCGAAAUACGCCAACCCAACAUCGACCAUUGGAGACACCUGUAGUACUCCUUUAUAAUCACCCAGUUACGUUGUGACGUUUGGUAGUACCCAAAGUGUUCCUUCGGUAAACGGGAGUUGCAUAAUCUCAUAGUCAUAGGAACAUGUAUAAGUCAUGAAGAAAGCAAUAGCAACAUACUAAACGAUUGGGUGCUAAGCUAAUGGAAUGGGUCAUGUCAAUCAGAUCAUUCUGCUAAUGAUGUGACCUCGUUAAUCAAAUAACAACUCAUUGUUCAUGGUUAGGAAACAUAACCAUCUUUGAUUAACGAGCUAGUCAAGUAGAGGCAUACUAGUGACACUUUGUUUGUCUAUGUAUUCACACAUGUAUUAUGUUUCCGGUAAAUACAAUUCUAGCAUGAAUAAUAAACAUUUAUCAUGAUUAUAAGGAAAUAAAUAAUAACUUUAUUAUUGCCUCUAGGGCAUAUUUCCUUCAAUGUAAUCAUAGCAUAUACAUACAAAUGGUCUCAUCAAAUCAUGUCAUCAUCAUAAUCAUCAUCCAACACAAAGUGGUCUCUCGUCAUCAUCUCGAAAAUAGCGAUACAAGUCUCGAUUACUUGCAACUACAUUGUCAUCCAUCUAAACAAUGAUAUACGUGAGAAGAGCUAUCACUUUGAGUGAGAGCGGAGCUAUGCAGUACAUGAGUUUGUAUCCCUCUCUUGCAUUAGCGUGAACCUAAACUAACUACUGCCUGUCUCUCGGAAACCGGAAACUGGUACACCUGGGCCUGACACUCCGACCACUCGUCAUAUAUAUACUCCUGGCGUAGCACUUCUUCGCCAUCGAUGAUCUAUGCACCUGCAUCGUCACAUGAGUCGAUGAUAUGCAACAUAUAUAGUUGAGCAACAGAAAGAGACGGACUUGGCAAAAAUAGAAGCAACAUAUCAUAAGCAUAAAUAACAAAGUUGAUCGUACCCAAAAUGCCCUAACUAGAGUGGUCGUCGCUAGUCGAGGAGGACGGUUUAAUUACAUCACAAAUAAAGUUUCGUCGUGCAUAACUCAAAGUUUCGUCAUACAGAAAGUAUGGACUAAACGGACACAUUGUCAUAUAUCGACAAUCACUCCAACAUGUAGUGUCAUCCAUCCAAGUCAGGGAGAUAGUCCCCGAGCCUAGUGAAAGGCUUCAGGUCGAGAUGCUGAGCGGCUACCCGUGUUCGGACGUCUUCCCGCGACAUUUGUCCUUCUUCGUAGAACAUCCCUGUUUUUCCGACGACCUCCAUCAUGAUGAUUUGGACAAGUCCGUGCUGGAUGUGAUAGAACUCAGCUCGAAGUCGAUGAUCCUCGAUAUCUCCUACGUUCUUUGCCCAUUGCAAAAUAUGGGCGUCGCCGGAUGUAGGUGACAUGUGAAGGUUCUGGUGAUCCUGUCUGUACUCCAGCAUGUGGUGUAGGACAUAGAAUCCAUCAUUAAGAGAAUCACUCAGUUGCUGGAUGCAGCAGAGGUCGGUCUUAUGGCCGAAGGCGGGCCUACCGUCCCUUCUCUUCUUGUCCUUGACCUCUCCACCCCGUGCAUCGUAGUAAAGCAUAGCACUGUCGAGAACAUCCUUGAUGUGGGUGUAAUCCUUUUUGUUAAUGUUCUUCGGCCAGUCCAAGUAAAGAGCGUGGGAGUAUCGGGGGUAGAGGAUGAUGAGGACGGCGCGCCAGCCGAUGCGCAAAAUAAGUACACCUCAAAUUAAUUAGCCUCCACCGUGCAAAUGAAUGAUUGAAAUCGAAGGAAGGAUAUCCGCGCGGAUCACUUACAGGAGAUGAUAAGGGACGAGAAUCGCCUCCUUGUCCUUAUUAGCGGGCAUGAAAUUGACGAUGUAUUCCCUCGCAUAUUCAUGGUGCUUUGCGCAGACUCCCAAGAAGCCCUCGUGCAUGAAGUACGGGUCAGUGAUACGGAUAUGAGGUAUCUGCUCUACCCCGAUAUUUUAGUUCAUGUGCAAGGCAUAAAGGUGGACAAACGUAAAAUCCAGCUUCAUGUCGAAUAUGUAAUUGAAUCGAAGGAAGAACUUCUCCGCGGGGAAUGUGUCGACGUACGAUAAUUGUCGCGGAACGUUAACCACGUAGAAUGGGUAUCCUGGAUCUUUUGAGGCGAUGAUGCCUUUCUCUAUCCGCGGCACAUCGUCAUGAAGUCUCCUCAAAUCGUCGAAUCUGGCCCCUAGGGAUGCUUCAAGUAGGAUUGGUUAACCGGGGAUAUGCCACUUUUCCGCACGGGGGAUAUCUAUACGGUCUUGAAGCCGAGGCUGCUGAGGCAGCUGGAUCAUAGAAGCAACUUUUUUUCUUUUCCCCGGUCUCUUCCUAGACUUCUUUACUACCGGAAGGUCGUCCAUAAUACGUUCAGCCUCCGGAGACGGCAAUUCAGGCACCGACUCAUGACGCUCAAACCCUAAGUAGGCGCCAGUAUUGACAUACUGUUGAGUUUCAUCGUCAUCCUCAUCCUCAUAUAUGGCGAUGUCACCAGCAACUAAUGGAGCCUUUUCCUCACCCCCUCCGCUAUCACCCAGCAUGACAGCCAACGCUAAUUGGGUAGGUGAGGUGUUGAUGUUCAUACCUAACUGCGUGCUCGUGGGUGUGCUCCUGGCCGCCUCCAAGCGAAGCUGACUCUUUGGCCACAACAGGACCCACCCAUUGCAACAAUCACCAAGCCGCCGUGGGGUCUCAUCGUCAUCCCCCACUAGUACCAGAGGAGGCAAAUUCUCGUGGCCCGGUUUGACACUGGCCACGAAAACCUUGAAGACGUCCGGGGGUCGGCCGGCUAUGGAACAAUGGUUCCUUCGGCUCCAUUAUCUUCACCUUCCCCACGUCCACCUUCUGGUCGCCGAUGGUGUACAAUAUGGUGCAUGUGGUUUUGUCAACCUGCAAAGAAAAGUCUGCGACGUGAGACAUCCGAAAGGCAACGAAAACGUGAGAUUAUACAUUUAUUGAAGGGGGCCGAUGUGACAGAUACCGUGAGGGCAUCGAGCUCAGCCAAAGACGAAGCACCGCCAAGCAUGUUCGGUGCCGGAGCCGAUGCGGGAGCAUGUGCAGGAGCCAGCGCGGGAGCAGGUGCAAGUGCAGGUGCUGGUGCUGGUGCAAUGAUACUUGAGCUUCUCCCCAAGAAGUCAGCAAGGGGAAAGUCUGCUGCAUUUUUUCUGGAUUUUUCCUGCUCCAAUUGAAAACGGACGGAACCAAGGAAGUAGACAUAUCUACAAGCACCUGUUUUGCGGCAGCUACCACUGUUGCGACUAUAUCAGAUGAUUUCUUCACAACCGCAAUCUCAACCUUCUUGUCGAUGUUUUCUUCAGUUAACCUCCGUCUUUCCUUUCUCUCCUCCGUGGUCUCAUGGUAGUACUUCUUCCACGUGGCGCCGUCUCCGACACCGUGCACGCGUCCAUACGACGGUCGAGUCUCCAUCGGGAGUCGUUUCAAUAUGUUCAACGCCCGGUUGAGUGGAGUGUCCCACUUGGGCCUCGCCAACGCCUCAGACGGCGAGUCGCUUUCGGUUGUAAUUCGGUGCUUCUCUCUCUGCAAAAGGCACAAGGAUCGUUUACAAAUAUGACUAACGUGCAGUCGAAUUGAUCAGAAACUAAAAUUACCAGCAGUCUCAUGAACUCCGUCGUGACCGCGUUCAUCUAGAAAAUCUUCUUCACUGGGUCCCAACGGUGCCGGGCCCUAAGGACGUCACACUCCUGUGGGACGGUGAACUCCGCCAAGGGGUCUGGGAUGCCCAGACUCGCGGCUUCCGCGUCCUCCUUGGCCCAUAUGGACCUCUUCCCGCUGUGACCACGGCUUCCGAGGUGGUGGCACCCAAUGUUCCUCUGUUGAAGCCCCUUCAUGUACUUCGACUUUUUUUUGGCAGCUUCGGCCUCGCAAGCCGCCUUGAAUAUUUCAAAGUGCUCUGUCGUGAUUGUCGGAUUAUCCUUUACAAUCUCGGAGUAGGGUUCCUUUUGUUGACGAUAUGAUAUUUCACCCUUGAUUUCCAGGCGGCCAACGCGUCACUAAACUUGGUCAUGGUGUGUUUGUUUAUCUUCUUCAUUGCCGGGUCCUUAUCUGGAUCUUUAUAAUCCUUUUCAUUUCGGCCCGGGAACAAGAAUAUCUGGUGCAGCUUCUUUAGGAGGGAGGGCCUCAUAUUAUCUAUCUUCUGUAGUUUCUCAUCGUUGAUGGUGGCGCUUGUCCGUAUGAUGCAGAUUAUUUGAUUCUCGUAGCACGCGCGCGCUUCCUCGGACGCGGUUGGCUCAAAAUUGCCGUCGUCCACCUCCGUGACCACCAGUCUAGUAGUCCUGAACUUGUUAGGAAGCUGUUGCCACUUUGCUUUCGGUUCUAUACCGGCUCCGCUAGUCUCGGCGCCAGUCUCAGUCUGAGCGCCGGUCUCGACGCCGGUCUCAGUCUCAGCGCCGGUCUCGAUGUCGGUCUCAAUCUCUGAUGUGACAGGUGGACCCAGCAACAUCAACUCUUGAUCGUCGGCUUCUCUCAAAAAUUCUUCUGCCGCCAGGUAGACGUUGUCGCAGUCACCAGAACCCUGUCCUUCAUCGUUGCUAGCCAUGUUUCCUACGAUUAAAUCUAGUCAAUUAAUUCUAGACCUAAUAAAAUGAAUAAUGACAUAAAAAAGUCCUAUGCUUUGCAGGAACAUUGACUCCUUCCCGGUGCGGCAAAUCGCGGGCACUCGAUAUGUCCUAGUUUGUAGCACAAGUCAUGCCAAAAUUCACGGAAAAUUUCGGCAUGACCUUUGCUAAAAAGUGGACAAAUCGAGCACCUGAAAUUUGCCGGAACGGAAAUGAAUCAACAUUCCGGCAAAACAUAGGCCAUCCGCGCUUCAUUCCCUGGAAACAACAAAAGGCCACAUGGGCACAAUCGAACCGCACUUCAAUGAAAAGAUAUAACAUGACCACUUCAAUGAAAAGAUAUAAUCAACAAUAAAAGUCUAGGAAGGAUCAUCUUUAAAAUAAAACUUGCCUAAAUUCUUUUCCUAUAAAAAUAGUGGUAUUUUCAAAAAUCAAAAAUCUUUGCAAAAUGACCUCACUAAACACUUCUGUGCCUAGGACAGAAAUCAAAUUCUGUCCCUUCUCACCUAAUGCUCUAAAAUAAAUUUUUCCUCUAACCUGGCGAACCUAGUUAACCUAGCUUGUUAACCUAACAAACCUAAUUAACCUAGCUAUUUAACCUAGUUAGUUAACCUAGUUUACCUAGAUAAUUAACCUAAUUAAAGUAGUUAACCUAGCUAGUUCUUUGUCAAAGCCCUAACUAAAUUUUUGCACUAACCUAGAUAAUUAACCUAAUUAAACUAGUUAACCUAACUAGUUCUCUGUCAAAGUCCUAACUAAAUUUUUGCAAUAACCUAGAUAAUUAACCUAAUUAAACUAGUUAACCUAGCUAGCUAGUUCUCUGUCCAAUGUUUGUGCUAUGCAUGAGAGAGAGGAGGGGUGGGGGCUUACAAAGGAUGGCUCCGGUCGUGCCGAGGGAGGCAGUGGUGGCGAGGGAGGCAGGGGCGUCUCCGAUGACGGCGAGGGAGGCAGGGCGUCGAGGGUGGCUCCGCUGGCGCCGAGGGAGGCUCCGGUGGCGUUGAUGAGGCCGCUUGGCUCCAGGGGCGUCGACGGCUGAUACGUCUCCAAUGUAUCUAUAAUUUUUUAUUAUUCCAUGCUAUUAUAUAUUCUGUUUUGGACGUUUAAUGGGCUUUAAUAUACACUUUUAUAUUAUUUUUGGGACUAACCUAUUAACCGGAGGGCUAGACCCAAAUUGUUGUCUUUUGCCUAUUUCAGUGUUUCGAAUGAAAGGAAUAUCAAACGGAGUCCAAACGGAAUGAAACCUUUGGGAGAGUUAUUUUUGGAACAAACGUGAUCCAGAGGACUUGGAGUGGACGUCAAGAAAUCAUCGAGGAGGCCACGAGGCAGGAGGGCGCGUGUACCCCCUGGGAGCGCCCUCCACCCUCGUGGGCCCCUCGUAGCUCCACUGACCUACUUCUUCCUCCUAUAUAUACCUACGUACCCCCAAACCAUCAGACACGGAGCCAAAACCCUAUUUCCACCGCCGCAACCUUCUGUACCCGUGAGAUCCCAUCUUGGGGCCUUUUCCGGCGCUCCGCCGGAAGGGGCAUCAAUCACGGAGGGCUUCUACAUCAACACCAUAGCCUCUCCGAUGAUGUGUGAGUAGUUUACCUCAGACCUUUGGGUCCAUAGUUAUUAGCUAGAUGGCUUCUUCUCUCUCUUUGGAUCUCAAUAGAAAGUUCUCGUCGAUUCUCUUGGAGAUCUAUUUGAUGUAACUCUUCUUUUGCGGUGUGUUUGUCGAGAUCCGAUGAAUUGUGGGUUUAUGAUCAAGAUUAUCUAUGAACAAUAUUUGAAUCUCCUUUGAAUUCUUUUAUGUAUGAUUGGUUAUCUUUGGAAGUCUCUUCGAAUUAUCAGUUUGGUUUGGCCUACUAGAUUGAUCUUUCUUGCAAUGGGAGAAGUACUUAGCUUUGGGUUCAAUCUUGCGGUGCUCGAUCCCAGUGACAGAAGGGGAAACGACACGUAUUGUAUUGUUGCCAUCGAGGAUAAAAAGAUGGGGUUUAUAUCAUAUUGCAUGAGUUUAUCCCUCUACAUCAUGUCAUCUUGCUUAAAGCGUUACUCUCUUCUUAUGAACUUAAUACUCUAGAUGCAUGCUGGAUAGCGGUCGAUGUGUGGAGUAAUAGUAGUAGAUGCAGGCAGGAGUCGGUCUACUUGUCUCGGACGUGAUGCCUAUAUACAUGAUCAUACCUAGAUAUUCUCAUAACUAUGCUCAAUUCUAUCAAUUGCUCGACAGUAAUUUGUUUACCCACCGUAAUACUUAUGCUAUCUUGAGAGAAGCCACUAGAUGUAGAGGGAUAAACUAGCUAUUUUCUAUUUUCCAUCAUAUUAAUCUCCCGUCAACUAGCUAUUUCUAGCACCGUUUAUUUUUCUUUCUUUACUUUUACUCUUUACCAUAAAAAUACCAAAAAUAUUAUCUUAUCAUCUCUAUCAGAUCUCACUCUCGUAAGUGACCGUGAAGGGAUUGACAACCCCUUUAUCAUGUUGGUUGCGAGGUUCUUAUUUGUUUGUGUAGGUGCGUGGGACUCGAGCGUGGUCUCCUACUGGAUUGAUACCUUGGUUCUCAAAAACUGAGGGAAAUACUUACCUUACUUUACUGCAUCACCCUUUCCUCUUCAAGGAAAAACCAACACAGUGCUCAAGAGGUAGCAAGAAGGAUUCCUCGCGUCGUGCCGGGGAGUCUACGCACAAGUCAAGACAUACCAAGUACCCAUCACAAACUCUUAUCCCUCGCAUUACAUUAUUUGCCAGUUACCUCUCGUUUUCCUCUCCCCCACUUCACCCUUGCCGUUUUAUUCACCCUCUUUUCCGUUCGCUUCUUUUUCGCUUGUUUCUUGUUUACUCGUGUGUUGGAUUGCUUGCUUGUCACGAUGGCUCAAGACAAUACUAAAUUGUGUGACUUUACGAAUACCAACAACAAUGAUUUUCUUAGCACUCCGAUUGCUCCUCUUACCGAUGCUGAAUCUUGUGAAAUUAAUGCUGCUUUGUUGAAUCUUGUCAUGAAAGAUCAAUUCGCCGGCCUUCCUAGUGAAGAUGCCACAACCCAUCUAAAUAGCUUUGUUGAUUUGUGUGACAUACAAAAGAAGAAAGAUGUGGACAACGAUAUUGUUAAGUUGAAGCUAUUUCCUUUUUCGCUUAGAGAUCACGCUAAAACUUGGUUUUCGUCUUUGCCUAAAAAUAGUAUUGAUUCUUGGAAUAAGUGCAAAGAUGCUUUUAUCUCUAAGUAUUUUCCUCCCGUUAAGAUCAUCUCUCUUAGAAACGAUAUUAUGAAUUUUAAGCAACUUGAUCAUGAACACGUUGCACAAGCUUGGGAGAGAAUGAAAUUAAUGAUACAUAAUUGCCCUACACAUGGUUUGAAUUUAUGGAUGAUUAUACAAAAAAUUUAUGCCGGAUUGAAUUUUGCUUCUAGAAAUCUUUUAGAUUCGGCCGCAGGAGGCACUUUUAUGGAAAUCACUUCAGGAGAAGCUACUAAACUCCUAGAUAAUAUUAUGGUUAAUUCUCAAUGGCACACUGAAAGAUCUACUAGUAAAAAAGUGCAUGCGAUAGAAGAAAUUAAUGUUUUGAGUGGACAGAUGGAUGAACUUAUGAAAUUAUUUGCUAAUAAGAGUGUUUCUUCUGAUCCUAAUGAUAUGCCUUUGUCUACUUUGAUUGAGAAUAAUAAUGAAUCUAUGGAUGUGAAUUUUUUUGGUAGGAAUAAUUUUGGUAACAACGUGUAUAGAGGAAACUUUAAUGCUAGGCCGUUCCCUAGUAAUUCCUCUAAUAAUUAUGGUAAUUCCUACAAUAAUUCUUAUGUAACUUUUAAUAAGAUGCCCUCUGAAUUUGAGACUAGUGUUAAAGAGUUUAUGAAUUCACAAAAGAAUUUCAAUGUUUUGCUUGAAGAAAAAUUGCUUAAAAUUGACGAAUUGGCUAGGAACAUGGAUAGAAUUUCUCUUGAUGUUGAUUCUUUGAAACUUAGAUCUAUUCCACCUAAGCAUGAUAUCAAUGAGUCUCUCAAAGCCAUGAGAAUUUCCAUUGAUGAGUGCAAAUAAAGAACCGCUAGGAUGCGUGCUAAGAAAGAAUGCUCUGUAAAAGCGUGUACUUCAAAUUUUUAUGAGAAUAAAGAUGAAGAUCUAAAAGUUAUUGAUGUGUCUCCUAUUAAACCAUUGUUUUGCAAUAUGAAUCUUGAUAAUGAUGGGACUGGAGAUGAGUCAACUUUAGUUAGGGCGUCCCAAAAAUUUGGAGUUUUUAGAUCUUGAUGCAAAAAUUGGUAAAAGUGGGAUUGAAGAGGUCAAAACUUUAGAUAUCAAUGAACCCACUAUCUUGGAUUUUGAUAAUCCCCAAGUGCAGGGAAUCAUCAUAGCAAUUCCCAAAGGUGGAAGUGAUAAGUAUGGAGUGUCGAACCCACAAGGAGCUAAAGGUAAGAUCAAUAUUCUCUCAAGUCCUAUCUGCCACUAAUACGAAUCUACGUACACCGAACGUUUGCUUCCAACUAGAAACGAGAAAUAAAACUAUGUUGUGUGUAUGAAGAGGAUAACUUUGCAUGAUAUCGGAGAGCUAAAAUAUAAAAUUAGGUGCUGUUAUCAUAAAUUUAGAAUAUAUUACUAAAUAUUAUAAAUAGCGAGUGUGGAAUAAUGAUGGCGGUGUGCGGAAUUGUCCUAGGCAAUUGUUAACAAGACCGGUAGUCGUCAUUGCAAUUUCAUAUGAGGGAGAGGCAUAAGCUAACAUACUUUCUCUUCUUGGAUCAUAUGCACUUAAGAUUGGAACUCUAGCAAGCAUCCGCAACUACUAAAGAUCAUUAAGGUAAAACCCAACCAUAGCAUUAAAGCAUCAAGUCCCCUUUAUCCCGUACGCAACAACCCCCUUACUCGGGUUUAUGCUUCUGUCACUCAAGCAAUCCACUAUAAGCGAAUCAUGAACGUAUUGCAACACCCUAUAGCGAGAAUCCCUCACGCUUGCGCGACACGGAGGGCACCAUAGGACAGCACCAAAAUAAAACAUAUAACUCGUACCAAUCUAGAUCAUCAAUCAACCCAAGGACAAAGGAUAUCUACUCGAAACAUCAUAAGAUGGCAACACAUCAUUGGAUCAUAAUAUGUGGCAUAAAGCACCAUGUUCAAGUAGGGAUUACAACGGGGUGCGGGAGAGUGGACCGCGUAAAAGAGAUGAGGAUGGUGAUGAUGAUGGUGAUGUUGAUGAAGACAAUCACCGUGGCGAUGAUUCCCCUCCCGAUGGCACUCCGGCGCCACCGAGAGAGAGGAGGAGAGGUUCUCCCCCUUGUGCUUCCUCCUCCAUGGCCUCCCCCUAGAUGGGGAGAGGUUCUCCCUUUGGUCCAUGGCCUUCAUGGCGAUGAAGGCCCCUCCGGGAUCCUCCUCCAUGGCCUCCGGUGAUGAUGGCCCCCUCCGGCAGGGUGUCAGAGAGGGCCUAGAUUGAUUUCUCGUGGCUACAGAGGCUUGCGGCGGCGGAACUCCCGAUCUCGGUUAUUUUCUGGGGGUUUCUGUAUUUAUAGGAAUUUUUGGCGUUGCUUUCACGUCAGGGGGGUCUUCGAGUCGUCCACGAGGCAGGGGCCCAUGCCCAGGGGGGUGCGCGUGCCCCCCACCAUCGUGGACAGCCCGGGACUCUUCUGGCCCAACACUUUUGGUCCAGGGGCUUCUUUUGGUCCAUAAAAAAUCAACAAAAAACGGCACGUCAAUUGGACUCCGUUUGGUAUUCCUUUUCUGUAGAACUCAAAAACAAGGUAAAAACAGAAACUAGCACUGGGCUCUAGGUUAAUAGGUUAGCCCCAAAAAUCAUAUAAAAUAGAAUAUAAAACAUCUCAGAUGGACAAUAUAAUAACAUGAAUACUUCAUAAAUUAUAGAUACGUUGGAGAUGUAUCAAAUUUCAAGGAAUUUAAUUAUGAUAAUUGCUCUUUGAUAGAUUGUAUUUCCUUGUUGCAAUCCGUGCUAAAUUCUCCUCAUGCUUAUAGUCAAAAUAAAGCUUUUACUAAACAUAUCGUUGAUGAUUUAAUGCAAUCUUAUGAAGAAAAACAUGAGUUGGAAGUUUCUAUCCCUAGAAAACUUUAUGAUGAGUGGAAACCUACUAUUAAAAUUAAAAUUAAAGAUCAUGAAUGCUAUGCUUUGUGUGAUUUGGGUGCUAGUGUUUCCACGAUUCCAAAAACUUUGUGUGAUUUGUUAGGUUUCCGUGAAUCUGAUGAUUGUUCUUUAAACUUGCACCUUGCGGAUUCCACUAUUAAGAAACCUAUGGGAAGAAUUAAUGAUGUUCUUAUUGUUGCAAAUAGGAACUAUGUGCCCGUAGAUUUCAUUGUUCUUGAUAUAGAUUGCAAUCCUUCAUGUCCUAUUAUUCUUGGUAGACCUUUCCUUAGAACGAUUGGUGCAAUCAUUGAUAUGAAGGAAGGGAAUAUUAGAUUCCAAUUUCCGCUAAGGAAAGGCAUGGAACACUUCCCUAGAAAGAAAAUUAAAUUACCAUAUGAAUCUAUUAUGAGAGCCACUUAUGGAUUGCCUACCAAAGAUGGGAAUACCUAGAUCUAUCCUCGCUUUUAUGCCUAGCUAGGGGCGUUAAACGAUAGCGCUUGUUGGGAGGCAACCCAAUUUUAUUUUUAAUUUUUAGUUUUUUUGUUUAUGUUUAAUAAUAAAUCUUUGAUCUAACCUCUGGUUAGAUUUUUUUAUGUUUUAAUUAGUGUUUGUGCCAAGUGAAACCUAUAGGAUCUUCUUGGAUGAUAGUUAUUUGAUCUUGCUGAAAAUUCCAGAAACUUUCAGUUCACGAAAACAAUUUUUAAAAAUCACCAGAACGUGAUAAAAUACUGAUUCCAAUUGCAGCAGAUCAAUAAACAAAUUAUCUAGGUCUUCCUGUUUUGGUAGAUUAUUCUGAGUUCCAGAAGUUUGUGUUAGUUACAGAUUACUACAGACUGUUCUGUUUUUGAAAGAUUAUGUUUUCCAUGUGUUGUUUGCUUAUUUUGAUGAGUCUAUGGAUAGUAAAAUUGUUUAUAAACCAUAGAGGAGUUGGAAUACAGUAGGUUUAACACCAAUAUAAAUAAAUAAUGAGUUCAAUACAGUACCUUGAAGUGGUGUUUUGUUUUCUUUCGCUAACGGAGCUCACGAGAUUUUCUGUUAAGUUUUGUGUUGUGAAGUUUUCAAGUUUUGGGUAAGGAUUUGAUGGAUUAUGGAACAAGGAGUGUCAAGAGACUAAGAUUGGGGAUGCCCAAGGCACCCCAAGGUAAAUCCAAGGACACUAAAAAGCCAAAGCUUGGGGAUGCCCCGGAAGGCAUCCCCUCUUUCGUCUUCGUCCAUCGGUAACUUUACUUGGAGCUAUAUUUUUAUUCACCAGAUGAUAUGUGUUUUUUCUUGGAGCGUCUUGUAUGAUUUGAGUCUUUGCUUUUAGUUUACCACAAUCAUCCUCGCUGUACACACCUUUUGAUAUAGACACACAUGAUUCGGAAUUUGUUAGAAUACUCUAUGUGCUUCACUUAUAUCUUUUGAGCCAUAUAGUUUUUGCUCUAGUGCUUCACUUAUAUCUUUUAGAGCACGGCGGUGGUUUUGUUUUAUAGAAACUUUUGUUCUCUCAUGCUUCACUUAUAUUAUUUUGAGAGUCCUACAAAACAGCAUGGUAAUUUUCUUAAAUUGAGAAAUUAGUCCUAAUAUGAUAGGCAUCCAAGAUUAGUAAAAAAUUUCUUAUAAGUGCGUUGAAUCUAAGAGAAGUUUGAUGCUUGAUAAUUGUUUUGAGAUAUGAAGAUGGUGAUAGUAGAGUCAUGCUAGUUGAGUAGUUGUGAAUUUUAGAAAUACUUGUGUUAAAGUUUGUGAUUCCCAUAGCAUGCACGUAUGGUGAACCGUUAUGUGAUGAAGUCAGAGCAUGAUUUAUUUAUUGAUUGUCUUCCUUAUGAGUGGCGGUCGGGGACGAGCGAUGGUCUUUUGCUACCAAUCUAUCCCCCAAGGAGCAUGCACGUAGUACUUUGUUUCGAUAAAUAAUAGAUUUUUGCAACAAGUAUAUGAGUUCUUUAUGACUAAUGAUGAGUACAUGGAUUAUACACACUCUCACCCUUCCACCAUUGCUAGCCUCACUAAUACCGCACACUUUUUGCCGGUAUCAUACACCCACCAUAUACCUUCCUCAAAACAGCCACCAUACCUACCUAUUAUGGAAUUUCCAUAGCCAUUCCAAGAUAUAUUGACAUGCAACUUACCAUCAUUCCGUUUGCUAUGACACGCGUCAUCAUUGUCAUAUUGCUUUGCAUGAUCAUGUAGUUGACAUCGUAUUUGUGGCAAAGCCACCAUUCAUAAUUUUCAUACAUGUCACUCUUGAUUCAUUGCAUAUCCCGGUACACCGCCGGAGGCAUUCACAUAGAGUCAUAUUUUUGUCCUAAGUAUUGAGUUGUAAGUAAAUAAAAGUGUGAUGAUCAUCAUUAUUAGAGCAUUGUCCCAGUGAGGAAAGGAUGAUGGAGAAUAUGAUUCCCCCACAAGUCAGGAUGAGACUCCGGACGAAAAAAAGAGUACAUAAAAAAAGAGAAAAGGCCCAAAUAAAAAAAUGAGAGAAAAAGAGAGAAGGGACAAUGUUACUAUCCUUUUACCACACUUGUGCUUCAAAAGUAGCACCAUGAUAUUCAUGAUAGAGAGUCUCCUAUGUUGUCACUUUCAUAUACUAGUGGGAAUUUUGCAUUAUAGAACCUGGCUUGUAUAUUCCAAUGAUGGGCUUCCUCAAAAUGCCCUAGGUCUUCGUGAGCAAGCGAGUUGGAUGCACACCGACUUAGUUUCUUUUGUUGAGCUUUCAUACACCUAUAGCUCUAGUGCAUCCGUUGCAUGGCAAUCCCUACUCACUCACAUUGAUAUCUAUUGAUGGGCAUCUCCAUAGCCCAUUGAUACGUCUAGUUGAUGUGAGACUAUCUUUUUUUUGUCUUCUCCACAACCACCAUUCUAUUCCACAUAUAGUGCUAUAUCCAUGGCUCACGCUCAUGUAUUGCGUGAAGAUUGAAAAAGUUUGAGAACAUCAAAAGUAUGAAACAAUUGCUUGGCUUGUCAUCGGGGUUGUGCAUGAUUAAAUACUUUGUGUGAUGAAGAUAGAGCAUAGCCAGACUAUAUGAUUUUGUAGGGAUAGCUUUCUUUGGCCAUGUUAUUUUGAGAAGACAUGAUUGCUUUAUUAGUAUGCAUGAAGUAUUAUUAUUUUUUAUGUCAAUAUUAAACUUUUAUCUUGAAUCUUUAUGAUCUGAAUAUUCAUACCACAAAUAAGAGAAUUACAUUGAAAAUUAUGCUAAGUAGCAUUCCACAUCAAAAAUUCUGUUUUUAUCAUUUACCUACUCGAGGACGAGCAGGAAUUAAGCUUGGGGAUGCUUGAUACGUCUCCAACGUAUCUAUAAUUUUUUAUUGUUCCAUGCUAUUAUAUAUUUUGUUUUGGGCGUUUAAUGGGCUUUAUUAUACACUUUUAUAUUAUAUUUGGGACUAACCUAUUAACCGGAGGCCCAGCCCAAAUUGCUAUUUUUUUGCCUAUUUCAAUGUUUCUAAGGAAAGGAAUAUAAAACGGAGUCCAAACGGAAUGAAACCUUCGGGAGAGUUAUUUUUGGAACAAACGUGAUCCAGAGGACUUGGAGUGGACGUCAAGAAAUCACCGAGGAGGCCACGAGGCAGGGGGCAUGCCUACCCCCUGGGCGCGCCCUCCACCCUCGUGGGCCCCUCGUAGCUCCACUGACCUACUUCUUCCUCCUAUAUAUACCUACGUACCGCCAAACCAUUAGACACGGAGCCAAAACCCUAUUUCCACCGCCGCAACCUUCUGUACCCGUGAGAUCCCAUCUUGGGGCCUUUUCCGGUGCUCCGCCGGAGGGGGCAUCUAUCACGGAGGGCUUCUACAUCAAAACUAUAGCCUCUCCGAUGAUGUGUGAGUAGUUUACCUCAGACCUUCGGGUCCAUAGUUAUUAGCUAGAUGGCUUCUUCUCUCUCUUUGGAUCUCAAUACAAAGUUCUCCUCGAUUCUCUUGGAGAUCUAUUUGAUGUAACUCUUCUUUUGCAAUGUGUUUGUCGAGAUCCGAUGAAUUGUGGGUUUAUGAUCAAGAUUAUCUAUGAACAAUAUUUGAAUCUCCUCUGAAUUCUUUUAUGUAUGAUUGGUUAUAUUUGCAAGUCUCUUCGAAUUAUCAGUUUGGUUUGGCCUACUAGAUUGAUCUUUCUUGCAAUGGGAGAAGUGCUUAGCUUGGGGUUCAAUCUUGCAGUGCUUGAUCCCAGUGACAGAAGGGGAAACGACAUAUAUCGUAUUGUUGCCAUCGAGGAUAAAAAGAUGGGGUUUAUAUCAUAUUGCAUGAGUUUAUCCCUCUACAUCAUGUCAUCUUGCUUAAAGCGUUACUCUGUUCUUAUGAACUUAAUACUCUAGAUGCAUGCUGGAUAGCGGUCGAUGUGUGGAGUAAUAGUAGUAGAUGCAGGUAGGAGUCGGUCUACUUGUCACGGACGUGAUGCCUAUAUACAUGAUCAUACCUAGAUAUUCUCAUAACUAUGCUCAAUUCUAUCAAUUGCUCGACAGCAAUUCGUUUACCCAUCGUAAUACUUGUGCUAUCUUGAGAGAAGCCACUAGUGAAACCUAUGUCCCCCGGGUCUAUUUUCCAUCAUAUUAAUCUCCCGUCAACUAGCUAUUUCUGGCACCGUUUAUUUUACUUUUUUUUACUUCUACUCUUUACCAUAAAAAUACCAAAAAUAUUAUCUUAUCAUCUCUAUCAGAUCUCACUCUCGUAAGUGACCGUGAAGGGAUUGACAACCCCUUUAUCGCGUUGGUUGCGAGGUUCUUAUUUGUUUGUGUAGGUGCAUGGGACUCGAGCCUGGUCUCCUACUGGAUUGAUACCUUGGUUCUCAAAAACUGAGGGAAAUACUUACACUACUUUACUGCAUCACCCUUUCCUCUUCAAGGCAAAACCAACGCAGUGCUCAAGAGGUAGCAACGGCGUGCGCCUCCGGUGGCGUCGACGGCGCGCGGCUCUAGUGGCUCUAGGGGCGUUGACGUCGGCAGGAGACGGCGGCGAAGUAGGGCGACGGCGAAUUGGGGAGACGACUGCGAAGUGAGGCGAGAGAUUUAGGGGAGAAGUGGUGGCUGGGGGGGACCACUUUUGGGUUAAGUCAAACUUAGCGGUAACGCGUUUCUGUAAACGCGCUAUAGCUAAGUUAGCUAUAGCGCUUUUCAGUAAACGCGCUACUGCUAUAGCUAUGUAUUUUCCUUUUCUUUUCUUAUUUCCUUUUCUUUUUCUAUAGUGGGGGUCUAAACAAGCGCUACUACUAAAUUAUCUAUAGCGCCUCUGAUGAACAGACGCUACUGCUAUUCCUUUCUCCUUUUUCCCUUUUUCAUUUAUUUUUCCUUACAUUUUAUUUUUUUUCCUUUUUCCUUUUUUUAUUUCUUUCAUUUUCAUUUACUUUUCUAUUUGUUUUUCAUUUAAUUUUCUUUUCAUUAACAGUAGCGCGUUUCACAGUAAACGCGUUGCUAAAAUACUUAGCGGUAGCGCUCUUUCUAGAAGACCGCUACUACUAUAUGUAGCCCCUCGGCUUAGUAGUGAGAAUUUUGGUAGUAGCGCGUUUAAAAGUAGACGUGCUACUGCUACAUUCGUGUCUGCAGUGCAUUUAUCGGCAUGCGCUACUGCUAUUUAGCAGUAGCACCCUUCUUUAACAAGCGCUACUGCUAAAGUUCUGUGUAUAAGGUUUUCCCUAGUAGCGAAACCAUGUAAGACAUAAAGGCGAAAGGAAAGAAGGCAAAUAAAAGGGCAAAUAUUUUUGUAUUUUUUUAAAUGUUUUAGAAGUGAGGGAGAGGAAAACGAGAGGCAAAUGGCGUAUAAUAUAAUGCAAGAGAUGAGAGUUUAUGAUGGGUACUUGGUAGGCUUGAUGUAGACCUCUCCGACAACGGUGCCAGAAAUUCUUCUUGCUACUUCUUGAGCUUGCAUUGGUUUUUCCCUUGAAGAGGAAAGGGUGAUGCAGCAAAGUAGAGGUAAGUAUUUCCCUCAGUUAGAGAACCAAGGUAUCAAUCCAGUAGGAGGUACAAGCAAGUCUCCAACCUAUGCACCCGCACAAACAAUCAAACACUUGCACCCAACGCGAUAAAGGGGUUGUCAAUCCCUUCACGGUCAAUUGCGAGGGUGAGCUCUAAUAGAGAUAAAUAUAAAAGAUUACUAAAAUGUAAAACCAGAUACAAACAAAUAAAUUGCGGCAAGGUAUAUUUGGAUUUUUGAUUUAUAGAUCUGAAAAUUUAUGAUGGAAAAUAGACUCGGGGGGGGGGCAUAGUUUCACUAGAGGCUUCUCUCUUGAAAGAAAAAAGAACGGUGGGUGAACAAAUUAUUGUUGAUCAAUUGAUCGAAAAGCGCAAAUUUAUGAUGAUAUCCAAGGCAAUGAUUAUGAAUAUAGGCAUCAUGUCCGUGUCAAGUAGACUGACUCCUGCCUGCAUCUACUACUAUUACUCCACACAUCGACUGCUAUCCAGCAUGCAUCUAGAGUAUUAAGUUCAUAAGAACAAAGUAACGCCUUAAGUAAGAUGACAUGAUGUAGAGGGACAAACUCAAGCAAUAUGGUGAAAACCCCAUGUUUUCACUCUUGAUGACAACAAUACAAUACAUGCCUCGCUACCCCUACUAUGUCACUGGGUGAGGACACCGCAAGAUUGAACCCAAAACUAAGCACCUCUUCCAUUGCAAGAAAUACCAAUCUAGUUGGCCAAACCAAACCGAUAAUUCAAAGAGAAAUAAAAAGAUAUCAAAUCAUGCAUAUUAGAAUUCAGAGAAGAUUCAAAUAAUAUUCGUAGAUAAGCUGAUCAUAAAUCCACAAUUCAUAGAAUCUCGACAAACACACCGCAAAAAAGUAUUAUAUCGGAUAGAUCUCCAAGAACAUCGAGGAGAACUUUGUAUUGAAGAUCAAAGAGAGAGAAGAAGCCAUCUAGAUAGUAGCUAUGGACCCGUAAGUCUAUGGUAAACUACUCACGCAUCAUCGGGGAGGUAAUAGGGUUGAUGUAGAUGCCCUCCGUGAUCGAAUCCCCCUCCGGCAGAUCGUUGGAAAAGGCCCCAAGAUGGGAUCUCACUAGAACAGAGGCUUACAGCGGCGGAACCGUAUUUUGGUGGACACUUCUGGUCGUUUGGGAAUAUUUGGGAAUUUAUUGGCCAAGAAUUAGGGAUCGAGGAGCCUCGGGGGGCCCACAAGGCAGGCGGCUCCCCUCUACGGCACGCCCCUGAAGCAUGCCGCCGCCUUGGGACUCCUCUGGCUUCAUCUCCAAGUCCUACGUGUGUCUUCUGGUCUAAGAAAAAUUAUUGUGAAAGUUUUAUUCCAUUUGGACUUCGUUUGAUAUUCCUUUUCUGUAAAAGUCAAAAACAAGGAAAACCAGAAACUCGCACUGGGCUUCGUUUGACUUCGUUUGGGAAUAUUUGAUAUUCCUUCGUUUGAUAAGUCCCCAAAAUAAUAUAAAUAGCAUAUUAAUGCAUAUAAAACAUCCGAAAUAGAUAAUAUAAUAGCAUGGAACAAUCAAAAAUUAUAGAUACAUUGGAGACUUAUCAAGGUCAAACGGAGCUAUGUGGGCCCCACAAGCCACCAAGGCGUGCCCUGGUCCCUUGUGGGAUACUGCUCCAUCUUCUCGUCCCCUCCCGAAGCUUGCAGGGUCUCUUAAUGGCAGAAAAAAAUACCCCAAAAGUUUCAUGGCAUUUGGACUUCGGUUGGUACCAAUAUUCUGAAAACCAAAAAUAAGCAACACACAACAACUGACAUUGGGCACUAAGUUAUUAGGUUAGUCCCAAAAAAUGAUAUAUAAUUGCUUGUAAGUGUAUAGAAAACAUCCAAGAUUGAUACUAUAAUAGCAUGGUGUUGGGGAACGUUGGAUGGAAAACAAAAAAAAUUCUACGCACACGCAUGAUCUAUCCAUGGAGAUGCAUAGCUACGAGAGGGGGAGAUCAUCCUCAUACCCUUGAAGAUCGCUAAGAGAAAGCGUUUAUUAACGCGGUUGAUGUAGUCGUACACCUUCACAACCAGUCCCGAUAAAGUACCAAAUGUACGGCACCUCCGCGUUCAGCACACGUUCAACUGGAUGACUUCCUCGCCUUCCUUAGACCUUUUGAAGGGUCCAACCAUGUCAAGCCCCCUGAUUGCAAAUGGCCAAUUAAUUGGAAUCAUCCAAAAUUCUUGAGCUGGCACAUGAGCCCAUCGAGAAAAUUUCUGACAUCCAUCACACUUACUAACGAUAUCCUCUGCAUCAAUAUGAGCCGUCAACCAAUAAAACCCAUGAUGAAAGGCUUUAGCCACUAAGGAUUUAGAGUCGGCUGAUGACCACAAUCACCUUCAUGGAUCUCUCUUAAAAUUUCACAGCCCUCUUCAGGAGAAACACAACGUUGGAACACGCCUGUCACACUCCAUCGGUGUAACUUGCCAUUGACAAUAGUCAUAGACUUAGAUCUCCUGGUGAUUUUUCUUGCCAAAGUUUCAUACUCAGGUAACUCGCCCCGGGUCAUAUAAGCCAAGUAGGGAAGCAUCCAAUCAGGAAUAGCAUGGAGAGCCACCACUAACUGCACCUCCGGGUCAGGAAUAGCAAGAUCCUCUUCUGAAGGAUGAUGCAAUACAUCCAAAAACUCAUUAGGAGGCACCGGCUUACAAUGAUACCCCAGCCGGCUCAAGGCGUCAGCCGCCUCAUUCUUCCUUCGAUCCAGAUGCUCUAGUUGGUACCCCUUGAAGUGACCAGCAAUGUUGUCAACCGCUCUGCGAUAAGCCGCCAUGAGCGGGUCUUUAGAAUCCCAUGUGCCUGAGACUUGCUGAGCCACCAAGUCUGAGCCGCCAAAGCACCUGACCUGACUUAAGUUCAUCUCUUUGGCGACUCGAAGGACGUGGAGUAAAGCCUCAUAUUCAGCUGCAUUGUUAUUACAAGGAAACAUCAGCCUUAAAACAUAACAAAUUUUGUCACCUCGUGGGGAAGUCAAAAUAACUCCAACCCCUGAGCCUUCCAACUGUCUUGACCCAUCAAAGUGAAUCGCCAAUACGUGUUAUCAGGCUUCUCCUCAGGUGUCUGCAAUUUUGUCCAGUCAUCGAUGAAAUCCACCAGAGCCUGAGAUUUGAUAGCUGUUCUUGGUACAUACUUCAAACCAUGAGGCCCAAGUUAUAUUGCCCACUUAGCAACCCGACAUGUUGCCUCCCUGUUCUGAAUAAUGUCUCCCAAGGGAGCAGAGCUGACCACAGUAAUGGGAUGACCAAGAAAAUAAUGCUUCAGCUUGCGACUCGCCAUGAACACCCCAUAUACCAGUUUCUGCCAGUGUGGAUAUCGUUGCUUGGACUCAAUCAACAUCUCACUAACAUAAUAACCCGGCCUCUGGACUAGGUACUCCUUACCCGUCUACUUGCGCUCCACCACAAUCGCCACACUGACGGCCUUACUAUUAGCAGCCACAUACAGGAGCAAAGGUUCUUUCUCAAUGGGAGCCGCAAGAACCGGCGUCUCAGCUAACUGCUUUUUAAGCGCCUCAAACGCCUUAUCUGCAACGCCACUCCAGACAAAAUGAUAUGUCUUCUUCAUCAUAUGGUGUAAAGGAAUUGCCUUCUCUCCCAGGCGGCUUACAAACCAGCUUAAGGCCACGAUACUGUGAUAGCCUGAUUUUUGGCCCUUUCCUUUUCUUUUGUUUUUCUGAGGUUUUUGCUUGAGUUUUCUUUUUUCGUGGCUUUGUGAUCUGAAAACUGAAGAAGAUGCCCUCUUCUUUGCUUCCAGAGUGGCUUGUCAUACCCAAAUCCUUCCCUAGACCUUGUCAUUUUCAUCCUAGCCCAAAUCCCAAUAUUCUUUUUAUUGGGAAUAUUCCUUUUUUAUUAAAGGAAUAACUCAAAUUGCCCUAGGUUGUGAAGCAACCUUUAUUUCCAUCACUCCUAAAAUUCCCAAAUAAUUCUCAUAAAUUGUUUGAGUCAUAUCUUUCUCAAAUAUGGCAAAUAUUUCAUUUGUCAUGUUUAUCAUCAUCCUCAAAUAAUUCAUUUCCUAUUCUGUCCUGAAUGGCAGAAUGUGAAGCAAGUGCCAUUUAUCUUUUCCCAAUUGACCUCAAACUCCUUGGACACCUUUUCCUGUCCAUAUCAUUGCCACAUGCCAAAGUGCAACCUCAUUUGCCUAGUAAAUAUUUCUCAGAAGUUUUCAAAGUUCCUAUCUGAGUGAAGUGGUUGUGAAGGAAGACAAGCUAGGCAUAUCCAAAUGAGUUGCCAUUUUGCAUGAUCCCUCAUAUCAUCAUAUCACAGCCCUCCACCAAAGUAGAGCUCAUGUCAUGCCUCCAUGAGAGCUCACCUUCAAUUCUUUGAUUCUGUCCAAAAUUUUAGCUUGUGAAGCAAGUAUUUUUUAUCUUGCUCCAUUAUGGCUGCCAAUUUUUCUAGGCCUUCUAUUAUCCAUAUAACUUACCUCCACCCAUUUUGGGCAUGGUUCAUCAAGCCAUUAUUCCUCUAAAUUUUUUGCAAGUUUCUGGUCAGUGGAAACGUUUGUGAAGGAAGUACCAUUUUGGUUUAUACAAUUGGUAUGAAAUCUUUUGAGAAUCUUCAUAGGACCAUAUGACUCUGCCUUGCCCAAUUUGAGCUCAAUUUGACACUCCAUGUGAGUGCAUCAUCCUAAUCUUGAUUCUGGACCAUCUUUGGCAGUUGCAAAGCAACUCUGUUAGAUCUUCAUCCAAACCCCUCCAUAGUUACCGAUGUAAGUCCUUCUUUACCUCAACCUUGCAGACAACUCCUUUUGACCCAAUCACCUCCCUAUUGAGCAGUAGUACACGAUCAAGUUUACUGCAGUAAACUUCAAGUGUUAACUGCCAUUUAACCAUGUCACUUUUACCCAAACUACCACCGCAGUUGCAACCUUCCCAGGAAGGACUCCACCCCAGAAAUCGUUCGACAUCGCUUGUGGCACUGUGUGCACUAGUGCGCGCAGUGACCACCGCUUUGGCAUGCAGUAUGCGUGGCCAGAACGUCGUUUGUGCUCGGGCCCCUCCUCCUCUUGUCGUCUUAGCGCGCGUGAGCAUGUCCAUUGUCUUCCUCUCGUCGUCGCCGAUCACCUGGACCCCGCUCCCCCUCCGGCAGCUUCCUCCCUGACGCAAACCGCCGUGUGCCCACGGACGCACAGUGGCGUUUUGGCUCAGUUCUUUGCCGCCUUCUUCCUCCUUGCGCCCCCUGGGCCUCCUCUGCCCCGUGAGAGCCUCCACUGCUCCUCCUUCGUCGCCUCCCUCCGAGCUCAUGCGCAUGGGCACGCGUCCGCGGCGGUGCCAGCUCGACCUCCUCCCCGCCGGCUAUUUAAGGCCUCCCCCGAGCCCUCCGAGCUCACCCGCAGCCUCACCCCUCCUCUCUAAGCCUCCCCGACCUCUCCUCUAAGCUCUAGGAGCUCUCCUCUCCGCGUUUGGCCGCCAUGGCCGCCGUCUCUGUCAACUCCGACUCCGGCAAGCCGGAGCUCUUCUCCUCCUUCCACCACCACCACUAGACCACCUAGACUCCAGCGCACAUCUCCCUUCUCUCAGCUUGACGGCGGGUCAACCCUGGCCUCGACCCCAACUCCGACCGAGCCGCCACCCGCCGCAGCCCUCGCCUUCGCCGUUCUCGAUCUCUCCGGUCACCGCGCUGCCCUGGGAUGGGUUGGCCUCGUCGCUCUGAGCACGUGGGUAGUUCGGGUGCCACCUACGAUGGCCGGGAUCGCCGGCAAACCUCGUCGGGGCCGGCUCUGCCUCGGCCAGGUGCGGGCGCAGGUGAGAAGAAGGAGACGACCCCCCUCCCUGCCAGCUGGCUGUGGGCCCCGCGCGUCAGCCGCACACCCGUUGACCCAGCCAGGCGCUGACGUGGAUUAGUGGAAACGUAUUCCAUAGAAUACGUUUUCACUAGUUGAAAGCGUAAGCUGCUGCGGUGCUGGGCGGAAAUGCGUUUUCGCUGCACCGAAAGCGUAUUUCCUCGAGUGCGCGUUCUGUUUUUCCGGUUGAGGGCCUGUUUGUGAAGAUUUUCUUACAGAUGGGUCCCUGGCAGAAAAACUAUCAUAUCUUUUUACUCACAACUCCAAAUGAGGUGAUUCCAAAGCCCACUUCUUCAUCUCGUCGAGCCCGUUCUGUUGGUUUCAUUUUCACUAUGGUUUGACACUGUGUAAAUGACCUGUUUGCCCUUGCACGUAAACAGCCCCUCCAAGAGAGAACUGUUUCCGACAAAUCUUCCCGCGGCUUCACCGCACUUCUCCCCGGUGCCUUCUUCAUCCCGAGGCAAGCCACAAUACCCACUUGCAUGAUAGUCAUGCAGUAGCCAUGGUUUUCAACUUGAAUAUUUAAUAAAUGUUUGCUUGUUUAAAUAUGGUUAUCGUUGUUCCGAUAAUGCUUCUGGGUUAGUGCUUACUUUCUUGCUAUGUUGUUAUGCACCUGGUUAUCAUGCCCUGCUAGUUGCUAGUAUUCCUUUCAUAUACUUAUGCUUGCUAGUAGUACCUAGUGAUGUUGGUGAUGGUCUUCGGUGCAUAACUAUCGUCUGUCCCGAGUACCGUUGUUAUAUAUGUUUCAUUGCAUUCCGUUGGUUAAAUGCUUUGCAUUGUUGUUAGGGUUCAUGCAUGAUAUUUAUGGUUGAUGCUAGUGGCCAUGUUAUGCUAUGAGUGGUGUUGCACUUAUAAUAUUUAUGCUCGUCAUUAUGCCAUGUUCAGUUGGAGAUUAUUCAUAGUUGAUAUGAUGGAUAGUUAUGUUGCAUCUCGUGCUUAUGUUGAUAUCAUGCUCAUGCUUUGUAUAUGCAUCAUGUUAUUUUAUCAUGGCUCAGCAUAUUGCAUUCAAGUUUAACCGGAUUUAAUUGAACUUGAACAACUGUUGGCUGAGUCAUGGUGCUGCCAUAUCGAAACUGACCAAUGCAACCACGCUUACCAUAUGGGAAGGUCCUAACUGGGUCUAUUGUCAUGCCUCUCACCGGUGCCUCCCGUGAGGGAAGGUUAUGCGCGGGCGCUACCCUGAUCAGGUAGGAUGGCAUAAGCCUUGUGUGCCCGUGUUUGGUUUAGAGCUCAUGUCCUCGUUUGGGACCAUUUUUGCCACGACGGUGGCUGUUGGUGCCUUUGGUAGGCACGGGGCCACCCAGGACUUAGCCCAAAGGGGAGUUGGUCGGAGUGGCUGGGGAGCGUCAUGGCAGUAGGACGGUUUUGUCGGAACGCUUUGGUCCACUCGAAUGGGAGUGAGAGGCCAGGGUUCCGUGGUGUGGGUACAGUGUGCUACCUCUGUAGUGUGUGUAUAUUAAAUCUAUCGAUAGUCGCACCCGCGGAUAAGGGCCCAGUUCGUGUCGGUCACAUCGUGAGUCAACAGUAUUAAUAAUAACUUGAUUAAUGACAACCCCGGUUCGACGAUGAGAUAAGUUGGUUGUGAUCGCCGGAAAGAUCACCGUUCGAGACCAAGUGUUGGUCAUGGUUGUGAUCGCCGGAAAUAUCACCGUUUGAGACCAAGUGUUGGUCAUGGUUGUGAUCGCCAGAAUGAUCACCGUGGUAUCGAGGAUACCAAGUUGUUGGAUAUUCGUGAUGUUGUGCGAGAAUCAUGGGUAAAGAUCAAGCUCCUUGUGGUCAUUUAAUGAUUACUACGGUAUUGUUUAUACCAAGCUUGACUUGAUCCUGAGAUGAUCGUGUGAUGUCCGAGGUUGGUAAGUGCUGCGUGUGAUGGUUACGAGAUAACCCGAGAAGAAUAAUUGGUGCAUGAAGUGUUAUCAUGUUGCAUGCUAGUAUCAUCAGAUUCAUAUGUUCAUGCCAUGCUCAUAUUGUUCUAGCUGUAUCAUGUUCAUGUUGCCUUUGGGUUCUUAGUGGCUAUUAUGAUUAUUUUCAUGACGGUAGCUGGUAUUAUUUUGGGAGUAUUACUUUGGAUUUCAUGUUGUUCAUGCCAUGUUAUUCUGAUGAUCUCAUAUUAAUCCCUGAUUAACUUGUAAUUGCCAUGCUGUUGUUUGUCUUGAAUGCUUCUGGUUAUUGUGAGCUUGCAACUACAUUCAAUGUACUGACCUGGCAUGUCAUGCCAGCUUGCAGGUCGUGCCUAGAUUGCUUGCUUGUUUGGUGUUGUUCCUGUGUUCGGGAGCUAGGAUAAGCGUUCCAGCCAGAGUCCCUGCGGAGUGGAGUUCACCACCGUCGUCGUUGUUCCACUGCCAGUAGUUUUUCCGCUGCUUCUGUUCUGCUGCUUGCAUAGAGCAACUGAGGAUGGCAUAGUGUCGCCGUGCUGAUGUUAUUCAUUGUGAUAUCGGAGACCUUGUAGUCAUAUUCGUGUAAUAAUAGAAAGCUGGUUUGUUCUAUGCUAAGCAGUGAUGUAUUCCAGAAGACAUCUCCUCGACCUCUGGGCUGGAAUACGGGGCGUUUCGGUUUUCUCUGAGCCGGGGUGCCACAGAUACGACCCGCCAGGCACUGGCCAUCAUUGACACAUGCCGGCUUAGCCAAUGAAGUGAUAGCUUUAAUCUUCUCCGGGUUAGCUUCAAUACCCCUCUCUGGGACCAGAAAACCCGAGAGCUUGCCUGCAGGUACACCAAAAAUACAUUUGGCCGGGUUAAGAAUCAUCUUAUAGACCCGAAGGUUGUCAAAAGUCUCCCUUAGAUCAUCCAGGAGAGUCUCCUUCUUUCUGGAUUUGACCACAAUGCCAUCCACAUAAGCAUGCACAUUACGCCCAAUCUGACAGUGAAAGCAAUUCUGAACACAACAUUGGUAAGUCGUCUGGGCACUCUUAAGCCCAAAAGGCAGAGAAACGUAAGAGAAGGCUCCAAAAGGGGUGAUAAAAGACAUCUUCUAUUGGUCCUUAACUGCCAUCUUAAUCUGAUGGUAACCAGAAUAAGCAUGCAGGAAACAUAAACUCUCACAACCCGCUAUGGCAUCAAUAAUCUGGUCGAUACAGGGGAGAGCAAACGGAUCAGCUGGACAAGCUUUGUUAAGAUCUGUGUAGUCAACACACAUACGCCAAGUGCCAUUCUUAUUGAUCACCACUCCGGAUGAAAGACCACCAAGAUAAACCCGGCUGCCAAGAGCCUGGCCACCUCUUCUUCAAUGGCCUUACUAUCACACCCUCGAUGCAACUAUAGCAACCACGUGUCGAGGCACGACUUAGAGACAUAAUCGCAUUGAAGGCAUAUGUCGCAAGUUAGGCAAUCUUCACAAACAUCCCAUGUAAUGUAAUAAUAAAAGGGGAGAUAACAUAGUUGGCUUACACUCGCCACGUCAGUCAAGUACAUAAAUAACAUUACAUCAGGCAUACACUCAUGGCCCGACUACGGCGCCAAAAUAAAAGAGAACCCAACAUGCGACAUGGUCCCAAUCACCCCCAACUGGGCACCACUACUGAUCGUCGGGAAAAGGAAACAUAGUAUCGUUGAGAGUCUUCGUCGAACUCCCACUUGAGCUCAUACGCGUCUCCUGGAGCGGAAUCAUCAGGCCCUGCAUCUGGUGUAAUAGUAAUCUGUGAGUCACAGGGACUCAGCAAUCUCGCACCCUCGAGAUCAAGACUAUUUAAGCUUAUGGGUAUGGCAAGGUAAAAUAUAAGUGGAGCUGCAGCAAGCGACUAGCAUAUAUGGUGGCUAACUUAUUCGCAAAAGAAAGCGAGAAGAGGAGGCAAAGCACGAGCGAGAAACUAGAGAGCAACCUGCGCAAACAUUACUCCAACACUGUGUCCACUUCCCGGACUCCGCCGAGAAGAGGCCAUCAUGGCAACACACUCAGUUAAUUAAUUUUAAUUAAUUAAGGUUCAAGUUAUCUACAACCGGACAUUAACAAAUUCCCAUCUGCCCAUAACCGCGGGCAUGGCUUUCGAAAGUUCAAUCCCUGCAGGGGAGUCCCAACUUAGCCCAUGACAAGCUCUCACGGUCAAUGAAGGAAUAGACCUCCUCCCAAGACGUUCCGAUCAGACUCGGUAUCUCGGUAAUUCAAGACACUUCGACAGGUUAAAACAAGACCAGCAACACCGCCCGAAUGUGCCGACAAAUCCCGAUAGGAGCUGCACAUAUCUCUUUCUCAGGGCACACUCAGAUUGUCUUAGGUACGGGUAGGCCAGCCCAGAGUUGCCCCUGGUGGCCACCGGCAGCUGACAGGUGGACCAACACUCAGAGGAGCAUUGGCCCGGGGGGGUUAAAAUAAGAUGACCCUUGAGUCUGCAGAACCCAAGGGAAAGAAAAGGCUAGGUGGCAAAUGGUAAAACCAAGGUUGGGCAUUGCUGGAAAAGCUUUAAUCAAGGCGAACUAUCAAGGGGUUCCCAUUAUAACCCAACCGCGUAAGGAACGCAAAAAAUCCGGGAACAUAACACCAAUAUGACGGAAACUAGGGCGGCAAGAGUGGAACAAAACACUAGGCGAGAGGCCAAGCCUUCCACCCUUUACCAAGUAAAUAGAUGCAUUAAGAUAACAUGGCAAUAUAGUGAUAUCCCAACAAGUAUAUAAAUGAUGUUCCAACAAGGAACGGCCUCCAAUCUUCACCUACAACUAGCAACGCUAUAAGAGGGGCUGAGCAAAGCGGUAACAUAGCCAAACAACGGUUUGCUAGGACAAUGGUGGGUUAGAGGUUUGACAUGGAAAUUUAGGAGGCUUUCAAGCAAGUGGUAGGCAUUGUAGCAAUGGCAUAGCAAAAGAGCGAGCAAACUGGCAUAGCAAAGGUAGUAGUGAUUUCGAGGGUAUGAUCAUCUUGCCUGCACAGCUGUCAGAGUUGACUGGAUCCUCAAAAGCAAACUCAACGGGCUCCUCGUUAGCGAACUCGUCUCCCGGCUCUACCCAAACAAGACAAACAAGCAACAAGGAUACAAUCAACCACGUGCAAGAUCAAGCAACACGAUGAAAUGAUGAUAUGCUAUGCGAGAUGCGAUGCGGGAUGCAAAAAUGCAAGAUAUGACAGGAAAAUGCAUGAACCUGGCCUCAACUUGGAAUUCCAAGGGUGCCACUAGAAAGAUGAGAAGAAAUCGCUUGAAAACGAUAUAAAGAACGCCGGAAUCGGAGUUACGGUUUGGAAAUGGCAAGCGAUUCAAAAAUGGCACCGGUCUGCAAUUUACAGCAAGUAGGCAUCUAAAUGCAAUGAGAUGAACAUGCUACAACACCCAAACAUGACAACAAAAUACAUGGCAGGGAAGCACACAACAUACGUAACAAAAGUCUAGCACUGAGCUACGGCCAAUUCACCCAUUAGGAGGUUCAAACAAGCAUGGCAAAAACGCAAAUGGUAAACAUAUCUCAGACUUAGUGAAAUUAACACUUGUCUGGAAUUUCAGAUCAUAUAGCCCUCUUCGGAGCAACAAAACAACAUGCUACAGGACAUGAACAUGACAAAGAAAGACAUGACAUGGAGCUACUCAACAAGCUUAACAAAAGUCCCUUAGUGACCUUGAGCCAAAAGGGAUCACAAAAUAUACUAGCAAGCACACGAACAUAGCAAAAACAUAAUCAGUUUUCAGACUUAGUGAGAACUGGGACAUGCUGAAACAUAACUCACGAAGGCAUGUUUACGAGCUCGAUGCACUCACCACGGUGCAAGUCAUGGCAAGACAAGCAUACAUCCCUUAAGAAGGCACAAAAUACAAGCUAGACAUGGCAAGAACAAUGGCAUGGCAUGCACGGAUCAACUACAACAACAUCGGCAAAAUCGCAAACAAGUUGACGAUCUGCCCAGAUUCACAACGAAGCAAAAGUAGAGCUCGAUUGACUCAAGCUAGGGUGCUCCAUAAUUGCAAACAAAUACAUGGAUGGAUAGAGCACUACAAGAUUAACAAAACUCCCUUACUGAACAUCCUCAAAAGAGGCACGGAUCACUAGGAAACAACAAGAACAUAUGGCAUCAUGAACUAAACAAUCCCAGACUUGGUGAAAACUACUAAGUCCCUGAAAACAGAUUUACCGGGUGCCUCACUUUGCAAGCUUGCACAAGUCACCACACACAUCACAAAAAUGCAUGGGUUGCACCUCUGGAAAGAUAACAAAAUCCUUAACAAAACAUCUAUAGGACUCAUAGGCAUAUCAUGCACACAAUAAUCAUGGCAAAAAUGACAAAAGCCUAAGAUGAACUAGCAGAUCUGACAAUUAACUCAUGAAGCCUCCUUCUAACAACAUUUCAGGCAUGAAUAUGAACUCAAAUGAAAAUGAUGCAAUGGAAUGAAAUGAUGUACUCAUCGAGUCGAACAUUUUGAUAUACCAUAUGCCCAAAUCGGAGCUACGGAUGCGGAGAUAUCACAGGUCAAAGUUUGCAUAAAAAAAUGAUGGGAGAGGUGGAAAGUCAACCCUAGGGUUUUUUUAGAUCUGGAUCUGGCGCCUAGUACUGUAGCAAUUACUGUAGCAAUCCGCGCCGAGGUCGCCAGAAAUGGCCGCGGUGGUGGCCGGAGUAGACGAGGGAGGCCGGAGAAGGUGCGGUGGCGAGGGAAGNNNNNNNNNNNNNNNNNNNNNNNNNNNNNNNNNNNNNNNNNNNNNNNNNNNNNNNNNNNNNNNNNNNNNNNNNNNNNNNNNNNNNNNNNNNNNNNNNNNNNNNNNNNNNNNNNNNNNNNNNNNNNNNNNNNNNNNNNNNNNNNNNNNNNNNNNNNNNNNNNNNNNNNNNNNNNNNNNNNNNNNNNNNNNNNNNNNNNNNNNNNNNNNNNNNNNNNNNNNNNNNNNNNNNNNNNNNNNNNNNNNNNNNNNNNNNNNNNNNNNNNNNNNNNNNNNNNNNNNNNNNNNNNNNNNNNNNNNNNNNNNNNNNNNNNNNNNNNNNNNNNNNNNNNNNNNNNNNNNNNNNNNNNNNNNNNNNNNNNNNNNNNNNNNNNNNNNNNNNNNNNNNNNNNNNNNNNNNNNNNNNNNNNNNNNNNNNNNNNNNNNNNNNNNNNNNNNNNNNNNNNNNNNNNNNNNNNNNNNNNNNNNNNNNNNNNNNNNNNNNNNNNNNNNNNNNNNNNNNNNNNNNNNCCUCCCGCGGGCUCGGGCGGGCCGGCGGCAGCAGUGGGUGGCGCCUGCCACAUGGCGAUGCAGGAUUGGCGGCGGCGGAAUCCGGACACGUCCGGCUCGCGCGGACGUUGUCCGGCGGCGGCGGAGAGGGAUUUUUAGGGUUAGGGGGGAGAGGAUCCGCGAAUUGGAAUAGGGGGGUGUAUAUAUAGGCAUAGGAGGAGCUAGGAGAGUCCAAAUAAGGUGCAGUUUUCGGCCACGCGAUCGUGAUCGAACGCUCUAGGACAUGGAGUAGAGUUUGGUGGGUGUUGCGCCAAAUUGGAGGGGUGUUGGGCUGCAACACACACGAGGCCUUUUCAGUCCCUUGGUUAACCGUUGGAGUAUCAAACGAAGUCCAAAUGGCACGAAACUUGAUAGGCGGUCUACCGAUAGUAAACCAAGGCCGCUUGACAAGUCUCGGUCCAAUCCGGAAAUGUUUAAUCCCCACACACGAAAGAAAGCUAGAAAUGACCACUGGAGGAGAACGAAGCGCCGGAAUGCAAAACGGACAACGGGGAAAAUGCUCGAAUGCAUGAGACGAACACGUAUGCAAAUGCAAUGCACAUGAUGACAUGAUAUGAGAUGCAUGACAAAGACAACAACACGAAAGACAAAAGACCCAAACCCGAGAAAAUAAAAUAACUUAACGCCGGAAACGGUAAGACUUGGAGUACAAAUUGGGAAAGUUACAUCCGUGGCGUUACAACACUCCACCACUACGAAAGGAUCUCGUCCCGAGAUCUAGGACUGAAAGAACGCGGGUACUCAGAACAGAGGUGGUCCUCGCGUUCCCAGGUAGCUUCACGAUCGGAAUGGUGUGACCACUUGACUUUAAGAAAUUUGAUUGACUUAUUGCGAGUCUUGCGUUCAGUCUCUUCAAGAAUAGCAACUGGGUGCUCACGAUAGGAAAGAUCUUCUUGGAUCUCAAUGUCCUCGAAGUUAACGGUGCGGUCAGGAGUCUUGAAGCACUUUCGAGGCUGAGAGACAUGGAACACGUCAUGAACAUUUGCAAAGUUUGAAGGAAGCUCGAGUUGAUAGGCGAGGUCGCCUCUCUUGCUGACAAUCUUGAAAGGUCCCACAUAUUUAGGGGCAAGCUUCCCUUUGAUACCGAAGCGACGAGUACCUUUCAUAGGAGAGACACGGAGGUAAACAUGAUCUCCGAUCUCGAAAGCCAAAUCACGAUGCUUACUAUCAUAGUAGCUCUUCUAGCGGGAUUGGGCCGCUUUGAGGUUAUCACGAAUGACUUUGCACAUUUCUUCUGCUUCUGUGAUUAAGUCAUUACCCAAAAGCUGACGUUCACCGGUUUCAGACCAGUUGAGAGGGGUAUGGCACUUCCUGCCAUACAGAAUUUCAAAUGGGGCCUUGCCCGAACUUUCUUGAAAACUGUUGUUGUAGGAGAAUUCAGCAUAAGGAAGACAAUCCUCCCACUUCAUACCGAAGGAGAUCACACAAGCCCUGAGCAUAUCUUCAAGAAUCUGGUUGACACGCUCGACUUGACGGCUUGUUUGAGGAUGGAAAGCUGUGCUGAAGCGGAUGUUGGUGCCCAUGGCCUUCUGAAAAGAAUCCCAAAAUUUUGAGGUAAAGAUGCUGCCACGGUCUGAAGAGAUCACUUGAGGAAUACCAUGCAGAGAGACAAUACGAGAGGUAUAGAGUUCCGCCAAUUGAGCUGCAGUGAUCGACUCUUUGAUAGGCAGAAAGUGAGCCACUUUGGUGAGUUUGUCGAUGACAACGAAUAUAGCAUCAUUGCCACGCUUGGACUUUGGAAACCCAGUCACAAAGUCCAUUUCAAUGUGGUCAAACUUCCAUUCUGGAAUGGCAAGAGGUUGGAGGAGACCUGCUGGCCUUUGGUGUUCUGCCUUCACUCUUCUGCAGACAUCACAUUCAUUCACGAAUUGAGCAAUCUCGCGCUUCAUUCGAGUCCACCAAUAAGCUUGCUUAAGGUCCUGAUACAUUAUCGUGCUCCCAGGGUAGAUGGAGAGGAGAGAAUUGUGAGCCUCGUUCAUGAUCACUUUACGAAGGUCACCUUUGGGUACAACAAUACGAUCCUCGAAGAAGAGAGUGUCCUUGUCAUCAAGGCGGUAGCACUUGUACUUGGACUAACUCUUGGCAAUCCCAAUCUUCACUUUUUUCACCAUAGCAUCAAGAAGCUGGGCUUGGCGAAUCUGGUCUUCUAAGGUAGGAGAGACUUGAAGGUUGGCGAGGAAACCUUGAGGAACAACUUGCAGAUUAAGUUUGCGGAAAGCUUCACAAAGCCCGGGUUGAUAAGGCUUGAGAAUCAGACUGUUGCAGUAAGCCUUUCUGCUCAAAGCGUCAGCAAUCACAUUAGCCUUGCCUGGAGUAUACUCAAUACUCGGAUUAUACUCUUGAAUUAUUUCGACCCAUCGAGUUUGCCUAAGGUUGAGAUUAGGCUGAGUGAAGAUGUACUUGAGACUCUUGUGAUCAGUGAAAAUGUCCACUUUUCUUCCCAAUAGAAGAUGUCUCCAAGUCAAAAGAGCAUGCACAACUGCCGCCAACUCGAGAUCAUGAGUGGGGUAGUUCUUCUCAUUAGGCUUCAACUGGCGAGAUGUAUAAGCAACAACUUUCUUCUCUUGCAUCAAAACUGCGCCAAGACCUUGGAGAGAGGCAUCACAAAAGACCUCGUACGGCUUGAAUUCAUCAGGCGGAGUCAGAACUGGAGCAGUGAUCAAUUUCUCUUUCAAAGUGUUGAAAGCAAUAUCACACUCCGGAGACCAAACGUACUUGACGUGCUUCUGGAGAAGAUUUGAGAGAGGCUUCGCGAUCUUAGAAAAGUUUUCAACGAAUCUUCGGCAAUAGCUUGCGAGACCGAGAAAACUGCAGAGUUGCUUCACAUUCUGAGGAGGUUCCCAAUUCACAAUUGCAGACACCUUCUUAGGAUUCACGGCAAUGCCCUUGGCAGAGAUGAUAUGACCAAGAUAAAGAACCUCAUCAAGCCAAAAUUCACACUUGAAGAACUUUGCGUAGAACUGAUGUUCCCUGAGCUUGUCAAGAACCAAACACAAGUGCUUGGCAUGAUCUUCCUUGUUCUUGGAGAAAACCAGAAUGUUGUCGAGAUAGACCAAAACGAAGUCAUUGGUGUAGGCGUUGAAGAUGAAGUUUUUCAUGCGAGAGAACGUCGGAGGAGCGUUGGCGAGGCCAAAAGACAUGACAGUGUAUUCAUAUGAACCAAAGCUUGUUCUGAAUGCUGUCUUGGGAAUAUCUACUUCACGAAUGCGAAUCUGGUGAUAACCCAUACGGAGAUCAAGCUUGGAGAAUACUUGGGCACCUUUGAGUUGUUCGAACAGCUCAUUGAUGUUGGGAAGUGGGUAUUUGUUCUUGAUGGUCUUCUUGUUCACUGGACGGUAAUCAACACAAAGUCGGUCCGUUCCAUCCUUCUUCUUCACAAAAAGAACACCACAACCCCACGGAGAAGAACUAGGCCAGAUGAGACCCAUUCUUUCUUUCUCAUCGAGUUGCUUCUUCAGCUCCUUCAACUCUUCAGGUCUGAGCUUGUAAGGAUGUUUGCACACAGGUUCCGUACCAGGCUCAAGAUCAAUAACUAAUUCAACUAGCCGGUGCGGAGGCAUUCCUGGAAGCUCUUCUGGAAAGACGUCUUGAUAUUCGCAAACGACUGGAAUUUGAGAGAUGGCAUCCAAUUCACCCUUCUCAUUGAGAGAAAACAGACGGAUAGUAUUAUCCCGAGCGGCAAAGACAAUAACAUCCUCAGACGAAUGAGUCAAUUGAAUCUGCCUGGCUGCACAAUCAAGCUGAGCCUUGUGCUUAGAAAGCCAAUCCAUCCCGAGAAUAAGAUCAAUAUCCGAGUCACCGAGAACCGUUGGAGAAGAUAGAAACUUGUAGUCACCCAAAGUGAUAGAAACAUCCGGAACAAUGGAGUUAGCAUGCAUGCACUUACCGGGAGAGACAACUGCUAAAGGACUAGGCAAAAUUUGCAAAGGCAAACCAUGCUUAGAUGAAAACGGUCUCGAGAUGAAACAAUGCGAUGCACCCGUGUCAAAAAGAACUUUUGCAGGAAUAUCAUUAACAGGAAGGUUACCCAUGAUCACAUCUGACGAGUCCCCUGCCUGAGCUGCAUUCAUCAAAUUGACCUUGGCAUGCUUGGUAUUAUGCUUGACCACAACUGUACUUGCCGAUCUGACAGGAGGAGGAGGAGGAAGACGCCUCUGGUUGAAACACUUGUUGGCAUAGUGACCCUUCUGUUGGCACUUGUUGCACGUGACCUCUGAAAGCGGACGGUGAUACGGAGUAGUCGAUCUUGGUGGUUGAGACGGAGUCUUGUUCUGAAAGCCUGGGUUGGGUGGGUGGGAAGAACCACUGCCACCUUUGCUCUUCUGCUGAUACGGCUGACCGUACGGAGGAGGAGGAAGCCAAAACUUCUGCUGCUUGGCCACUUGAGUAGAGGAAGAAGGAGCAACAUCUCUGACUCGCUUCUUGGAAGCAUCACACCUCAACUGAGCAGCCUCUUGCUUCAGUGCCAUGUUGUAGAACUCAUCGUAUCUCAAGGGCUCGAAAAGAACAAGAGCGAGCUGAAUAUCUUCUCUGAGACCACCCUUGAACUGAUAUAUCAUGCUCUUCUCAUCAGGGACGUCCUGCUUGGCAAAGCGAGCGAGCUUCUGGAACAACUUGUUGUAGUCAUAGACAGACAAAGAGCCUUGCUUCAGAUUGCGGAAUUCCUCACGCUUGCUUUCAACCACGCUCUGCGGAAUAUGAUGAGCUCGGAAAUCUCGACCGAAAUCAUCCCAAGUAAUAACACGUCCACCUCUGGAGUCCUUGUACUGCUGGAACCAUUCUGCAGCUUGAUCUUUGAGUUGGAAAGAAGCGAACUUAACAAAGUCCUCAGGCCUGACGUUACUGCACUCGAAAUGCUUACACAGAUCCACAAGCCAAUUGUCAGCAUCGGUUGCCUCAACACAAUUGCUGAAAGUCUUUGCCCCGUUAGCAAGGAACUGGUUGAGUGUAGCAAAGUGACUCUGAUGGCUGCCUUGAUUCCCUUGACUGCCCUGAUUGCGCUCUUGAAGAAUUUGCAUGAUCAGCUGUGUGUUUGCAUUGGUUGCGGCCAUCACAGCUUGCCAUGCCUCUGGAGGAGGUGGGGAUGGUGGCGGAUCAGGAUUUGGAGUUGUGCACGUUGGAGGAGCCAUCCUGAAGAGGUUGACCACCAUUAGCACAAUGAUAGAUAAAUAUUGAAGCUGAAUCCAAUGGAAUGAGGAUUGCAACAUAUAGUCUUCACAUCCGAACAAAAUGAACGAAUGCAUUCCUCUUGAAAUGGUCACAUAUCCAUAAAUUGAGAAGCCACGUAGAAUUAAGGUAGAGAAAUAAAUCAACAAGGUACGGAUCAAGAACGAAUAAUCGGUAAGAAAUCCCAAUCUCAAACCAAUAUCCAUGGAAGAAGAACUAGAGCUACUAGAAUUCCCACCUAUGAAACUUCCGAACCUUUCCGGUUAUGCAAUCAGGUGUUGGGGAUACAGGGGAAGCAUAAUAUUUCACCCAAACUAGCAAAUCCUACAUCUAGCUAUAUCCAUCCUUCAACACAUAACCAAGAAACCUUCGGAAACCAUCUACCUCAACCUUCGAAAAGCAUCCGUUAUACAAGUUAUGGCGAUACUACCGAACUCCUGCCCCAGUACUGGGUGGCGUCGAGGUUAUCUCACCAACGAACUGCAUAAAAGAGAUUUUUGAUGUCGGCGUACUAAACUCAGGUAUUCCAGAACUACAACGAUAAAAUUAUGAUGACAACACCUCAGAGCUCAACUCCCCAGGACACUUCCACUAAACCCCUCACAGGAGGCACAAAGUCAAUGUUCUCAUCAUAAAACCAUCGGAACGAUUCCAAGAUACCCGCGUGAUCCUAAAUUUUUUUUAGUGAAAUUUGAGAAGAGAAGAGUCAAAACUCUACGUCAGGAUGCCUUACCAGAGCGAUGAGGAGACUGGGAAGUAAAAAAAGAAUUCCUAAACUCUCAGAUAUAUAAUUCCUAAAAGACUCAAAACAUUUUUCUAGACACAACUCGACCGCUAAAACGAUCAAGCAAUGGGGCUCCUAAGGUCGGGGAAGGCUCUGAUUACCAACUUGUCACACCCUCGAUGCGAAUAUAGCUCCCACGUGUCGAGGCACGACUUAGAGACAUAAUCGCAUUGAAGGCAUAUGUCGCAAGUUAGGCAAUCUUCACAAACAUCCCAUGUAAUGUAAUAAUAAAAGGGGAGAUAACAUAGUUGGCUUACACUCGCCACGUCAAUCAAGUACAUAAAUAACAUUACAUCAGUCAUACACUCAUGGCCCGACUACGGCGCCAAAAUAAAAGAAAACCCAACAUGCGACACGGUCCCAAUCACCCCCAACUGGGCACCACUACUGAUCGUCAGGAAAAGGAAACAUAGUAUCGUUGAGAGUCUUCGUUGAACUCCCACUUGAGCUCAUACGCGUCUCCUGGAGCGGAAUCAUCAGGCCCUGCAUCUGGUGUAAUAGUAAUCUGCGUGCCACAGGGACUCAACAAUCUCGCACCCUCGCGAUCAAGACUAUUUAAGCUUAUGGGUAUGGCAAGGUAAAAGAUAAGUGGAGCUGCAGCAAGCGACUAGCAUAUAUGGUGGCUAACUUAUUCGCAAAAGAGAGCGAGAAGAGGAGGCAAAGCACGAGCGAGAAACUAGAGAGCAACCUGCGCAAACAUUACUCGAACACCGUGUCCACUUCCCGGACUCCGCCGAGAAGAGGCCAUCACGGUAACACACUCAGUUGAUUCAUUUUAAUUAAUUAAGGUUCAAGUUAUCUACAACCGGACAUUAACAAAUUCCCAUCUGCCCAUAACCGCGGGCACGGCUUUCGAAAGUUCAAUCCCUGUAGGGGAGUCCCAACUUAGCCCAUGACAAGCUCUCACGGUCAAUGAAGGAAUAGACCUCCUCCCAAGACGUUCCGAUCAGACUCGGUAUCUCGGUAAUUCAGGACACUUCGAUAGGUUAAAACAAGACCACAACACCGCCAGAAUGUGCCGACAAAUCCCGAUAGGAGCUACACAUAUCUCUUUCUCAGGGCACACUCAGAUUGUCUUAGGUACGGGUAGGCCAGCCCAGAGUUGCCCCUGGUGGCCACCGGCAGCUGACAGGUGGACCAACACUCAGAGGAGCACUGGCCCGGGGGGGUUAAAAUAAGAUGACCCUUGCAUCUGCAGAACCCAAGGGAAAGAAAAGGCUAGGUGGCAAAUGGUAAAACCAAGGUUGGGCAUUGCUGGAAAAGCUUUAAUCAAGGCGAACUAUCAAGGGGUUCCCAUUAUAACCCAACCGCGUAAGGAACGCAAAAAAUCCGGGAACAUAACACCGAUAUGACGGAAACUAGGGCGACAAGAGUGGAACAAAACACUAGGCGAGAGGCCGAGCCUUCCACCCUUUACCAAGUAUAUAGAUGCAUUAAGAUAACAUUGCAAUAUAGUGAUAUCCCAACAAGUAUAUAAAUGAUGUUCCAACAAGGAACGGCCUCCAAUCUUCACCUGCAACUAGCAACGCUAUAAGAGGGGCUGAGCAAAGCGGUAACAUAGCCAAACAACGGUUUGCUAGGACAAUGGUGGGUUAGAGGUUUGACAUGGCAAUUUAGGAGGCUUUCAAGCAAGUGGUAGGCAUUGUAGCAAUGGCAUAGCAAAAGAGCGAGCAAACUGGCAUAGCAAAGGUAGUAGUGAUUUCGAGGGUAUGAUCAUCUUGCCUGCACAGCUGUCAGAGUUGACUGGAUCCUCAAAAGCAAACUCAACGGGCUCCUCGUUAGCGAACUCGUCUCCCGGCUCUACCCAAACAAGACAAACAAGCAACAAGGAUACAAUCAACCACGUGCAAGAUCAAGCAACACGAUGAAAUGAUGAUAUGCUAUGCGGGAUGCGAUGCGGGAUGCAAAAAUGCAAGAUAUGACAGGAAAAUGCAUGAACCUGGCAUCAACUUGGAAUUCCAAGGGUGCCACUGGAAAGAUGAGAUGAAAUCGCUUGAAAACGAUAUAAAGAACGCCGGAAUCGGAGUUACGGUUUGGAAAUGGCAAGCGAUUCAAAAAUGACACCGGUCUGCGAUUUACAGCACGUAGGCAUCUAAAUGCAAUGAGAUGAACAUGCUACAGCACCCAAACAUGACAACAAAAUACAUGGCAGGGAAGCACACAAGAUACGUAACAAAAGUCUAGCACUGAGCUACGGCCAAUUCACCCAUUAGGAGGUUCAAACAAGCAUGACAAAAACGCAAAUGGUAAACAGAUCUCAGACUUAGUGAAAUUAACACUUCUCUGGAAUUUCAGAUCAUAUAGCCCUCUUCGGAGCAACAAAACAACAUGCUACAGGACCUGAACAUGACAAAGAAAGACAUGGCAUGGAGAUCCUAAACAAGCUUAACAAAAGUCCCUUAGUGACCUUGAGCCAAAAGGGAUCACAAAAUAUACUAGUAAGCACACGAACAUAGCAAAAACAUAAUCAGUUUUCAGACUUAGUGAGAACUGGGACAUGCUGAAACAUAACUCACGAAGGCAUGUUUACGAGCUCGAUGCACUCACCACGUUGCAAGUCAUGGAAAUACAAGCAUACAUCCCUUAAGAAGGCACAAAAUACAAGCUAGACAUGGCAAGAACAAUGGCAUGGCAUGCACGGAUCAACUACAACAAACAUCGGCAAAAUCGCAAACAAGUUGACGAUCUGCCCAGAUUCACAACGAAGCAAAAGUAGAGCUCGAUUGACUCAAGCUAGGGUGCUCCAUAAUUGCAAACAAAGACAUGGAUGUAUAUAGCACUACAAGAUUAACAAAACUCCCUUACUGAACAUCCUCAAAAUAGGCACGGAUCACUAGGAAACAACAAGAACAUAUGGCAUCAUGAACUAAACAAUCCCAGACUUAGUGAAAACUACUAAGUCCCUGAAAACAGAUUUACCGGGUGCCUCACUUUGCAAGCUUGCACAAGUCACCACACACAUCACAAAAAUACAUGGGUUGCACCUCUGGAAAGAUAACAAAAUCCUUAACAAUACAUCUAUAGGACUCAUAGGCAUAUCAUGCACACAAUAAUCAUGGCAAAAAUGACAAAAGCCUAAGAUGAACUAGCAGAUCUGACAAUUAACUCACGAAGCCUCCUUCUAACAGCAUUUUGGGCAUCAAGAUGAACUCAAAUGAAAAUGAUGCAAUGGAAUGAAAUGAUGUACUCAUCGAGGUGAACAUUUUGAUAUACUAUAUGCCCAAUUCAGAGCUACGGAUGCGGAGAUAUCACAGGUCAAAGUUUGCAUAAAAAAUGACGGGAGAGGUGGAAAGUCAACCCUAGGGUUUUUUUUAGAUCUGGAUCUGGCACCCGGUACUGUAGCAGUUACUUUAGCAAUCCGUGCCGAGGUCACCGGAAAUGGCCGCGGUGGUGGCCGGAGUAGACGAGGGAGGCCGGAGAAGGUGCGGUGGCGAGGGAAGGAANNNNNNNNNNNNNNNNNNNNNNNNNNNNNNNNNNNNNNNNNNNNNNNNNNNNNNNNNNNNNNNNNNNNNNNNNNNNNNNNNNNNNNNNNNNNNNNNNNNNNNNNNNNNNNNNNNNNNNNNNNNNNNNNNNNNNNNNNNNNNNNNNNNNNNNNNNNNNNNNNNNNNNNNNNNNNNNNNNNNNNNNNNNNNNNNNNNNNNNNNNNNNNNNNNNNNNNNNNNNNNNNNNNNNNNNNNNNNNNNNNNNNNNNNNNNNNNNNNNNNNNNNNNNNNNNNNNNNNNNNNNNNNNNNNNNNNNNNNNNNNNNNNNNNNNNNNNNNNNNNNNNNNNNNNNNNNNNNNNNNNNNNNNNNNNNNNNNNNNNNNNNNNNNNNNNNNNNNNNNNNNNNNNNNNNNNNNNNNNNNNNNNNNNNNNNNNNNNNNNNNNNNNNNNNNNNNNNNNNNNNNNNNNNNNNNNNNNNNNNNNNNNNNNNNNNNNNNNNNNNNNNNNNNNNNNNNNNNNNNCUCCCGCGGGCCCGGGCGGGCUGGCGGUGGCGGCGUGGCGAUGCGUGAUUGGCGGCGGCGAAAUCCGGACACGUCCGGCUCGCGCGGACAUUGUCCGGCGGCGGCGGAGAGGGAUUUUUAGGGUUAGGGGGAGUGGAUCCGCGAAUUGGAAUAGGGGGGUGUAUAUAUAGGCAUAGGAGGAGCUAGGAGAGUCCAAAUGAGGUGCAGUUUUCGACGACGCGAUCGUGAUCGAACGCUCUAGGACAUGGAGCAGAGUUUGGUGGGUGUUGGGCCAAAUUUGAGGGGUGUUGGGCUGCAACACACACGAGGCCUUUUCGGUCCCACGGUUAACCGUUGGAGUAUCAAACGAAGUCCAAAUGGCACGAAACUUUACAGGCGGUCUACCGGUAGUAAACCAAGGCCGCUUGACAAGUCUCGGUACAAUCCGGAAAUGUUUAAUCCCCACACACGAAAGAAAGCUAGAAAUGACCACCGGAGGAGAACGACGCGCCGGAAUGCAAAACGGACAACGGGGAAAAUGCUCGAAUGCAUGAGACAAACAUGUAUGCAAAUGCAAUGCACAUGAUGACAUGAUAUGAGAUGCAUGACAACGACAACGACACGAAAGACAAAAGACCCGAACCCGAGAAAAUAAAAUAACUUAACGCCGGAAACGGUAAGAGUUGGAGUACAAAUUGGGAAAGUUACAUCUGGGGCGUUACAACACUCCACCACUACGAAAGGAUCUCGUCCCGAGAUCUAGGACUGAAAGAACGCCGGGUACUCAGAACGGAGGUGGUCCUCGCGUUCCCAAGUAGCUUCACGGUCGGAAUGGUGUGACCACUUGACUUUGAGAAAUUUGAUUGACUUGUUGCGAGUCUUGCAUUCAGUCUCUUCAAGAAUAGCAACUGGGUGCUCACGAUAGGAAAGAUCUUCUUGGAGCUCAAUGUCCUCGAAGUGAACAGUGCGGUCAGGAGUCUUGAAGCACUUUCGAAGCUGAGAGACAUGAAACACGUCAUGAACAUUUGAAAAGUUUGAAGGAAGCUCGAGUUGAUAGGCGAGGUCGCCUCUCUUGCUAACAAUCUUGAAAGGUCCCACGUAUCUAGGGGCAAGCUUCCCUUUGAUACCGAAGCGAUGAGUACCUUUCAUAGGAGAGACACGGAGGUAAGCAUGAUCUCCGAUCUCGAAAGCCAAAUCACGGUGCUUACUAUCAUAGUAGCUCUUCUGGCGGGAUUGGGCCGCCUUGAGGUUAUAACGAAUGACUUUGCACAUUUCUUCUGCUUUUGUGAUUAAGUCAUUACCCAAAAGAUGACGUUCACUGGUUUCAGACCAGUUGAGAGGGGUACGGCACUUGCUGCCAUACAGAAUUUCAAAUGGGGCCUUGCCCGAACUUGCUUGAAAACUGUUGUUGUAGGAGAAUUCAUCAUAAGGAAGACAAUCCUCCCACUUCAUGCCGAAGGAGAUCACACAAGCCCUGAGCAUAUCUUCAAGAAUCUGGUUGACACGCUCGACUUGACCGCUUGUUUGAGGAUGGAAAGCUGUGCUGAAGCGGAUGUUGGUGCCCAUGGCCUUCUGAAAAGAAUCCCAAAAUUUCGAGGUAAAGAUGCUGCCACGGUCUGAAGAGAUCACUUGAGGAAUACCGUGCAGAGAGACAAUACGAGAGGUAUAGAGUUCCGCCAAUUGAGCUGCAGUGAUCGACUCUUUGAUAGGCAGAAAGUGAGCCACUUUGGUGAGUUUGUCGAUGACAACGAAUAUAGCAUCAUUGCCACGCUUGGACUUUGGAAACCCAGUCACGAAGUCCAUUUCAAUGUGGUCAAACUUCCAUUCUAGAAUGGCAAGAGGUUGGAGGAGACCUGCUGGCCUUUGGUGUUCUGCCUUCACUCUUCUUCAGACAUCACAUUCAUUCACGAAUUGAGCAAUCUCGCGCUUCAUUCGAGUCCACCAAUAAGCUUGCUUAAGGUCCUGAUACAUCUUCGUGCUCCCAGGGUAGAUGGAGAGGAGAGAAUUGUGAGCCUCGUUCAUGAUCACUUUACGAAGGUCACCUUUGGGUACAACAAUACGAUCCUCGAAGAAGAGAGUGUCCUUGUCAUCAAGGCGGUAGCACUUGUACUUGGACUGACUCUUGGCAAUCCCAAUCUUCACUUUUUUCACCAUAGCAUCAAGAAGCUGGGCUUGGCGAAUCUGGUCUUCUAAGGUAGGAGAGACUUGAAGGUUGGCGAGGAAACCUUGAGGAACAACUUGCAGAUUAAGUUUGCAGAAAGCUUCACAAAGCCCGGGUUGAUAAGGCUUGAGAAUCAGACUGUUGCAGUAAGCCUUUCUGCUCAAAGCGUCAGCAAUCACAUUAGCCUUGCCUGGAGUAUACUCAAUACUCGGAUUAUACUCUUGAAUCAUUUCGACCCAUCGAGUUUGCCUGAGGUUGAGAUUAGGCUGAGUGAAGAUGUACUUGAGACUCUUGUGAUCAGUGAAAAUGUCCACUUUUCUUCCCAAUAGAAGAUGUCUCCAAGUCAAAAGAGCAUGCACAACUGCCGCCAACUCGAGAUCAUGAGUGGGGUAGUUCUUCUCAUUAGGCUUCAACUGGCGAGAUGUAUAAGCAACAACUUUCUUCUCUUGCAUCAAAACUGCGCCAAGACCUUGGAGAGAGGCAUCACAAAAGACCUCGUACGGCUUGAAUUCAUCAGGCGGAGUCAGAACUGGAGCAGUGAUCAAUUUCUCUUUCAAAGUGUUGAAAGCAAUAUCACACUCCGGAGACCAAACGUACUUGACGUGCUUCUGGAGAAGAUUUGAGAGAGGCUUCGCGAUCUUAGAAAAGUUUUCAACGAAUCUUCGGCAAUAGCCUGCGAGACCGAGAAAACUGCGGGAGUUGCUUCACAUUCUGAGGAGGUUCCCAAUUCACAAUUGCAGACACCUUCUCAGGAUUCACGGCAAUACCCUUGGCAGAGAUGAUAUGACCAAGAUAAAGAACCUCAUCAAGCCAAAAUUCACACUUGAAGAACUUGGCGUAGAACUGAUGUUCCCUGAGCUUGUCAAGAACCAAACGCAAGUGCUUGGCAUGAUCUUCCUUGUUCUUGGAGAAAACCAGAAUGUCAUCGAGAUAGACCAAAACAAAGUCAUUGGUGUAGGCGUUGAAGAUGAAGUUCAUCAUGCGAGAGAACGUCGGAGGAGCGUUGACGAGGCCAAAAGACAUGACAGUGUAUUCAUAUGAACCAAACCUUGUUCUGAAUGCUGUCUUGGGAAUAUCUACUUCAUGAAUGCGAAUCUGGUGAUAACCCAUACGGAGAUCAAGCUUGGAGAAUACUUGGGCACCUUUGAGUUGUUCGAACAGCUCAUUGAUGUUGGGAAGUGGGUAUUUGUUCUUGAUGGUCUUCUUGUUCACUGGACGGUAAUCAACACAAAGUCGGUCCGUUCCAUCCUUCUUCUUCACAAAAAGAACACCACAACCCCACAGAGAAGAACUAGGCCGGAUGAGACCCAUUCUUUCUUUCUCAUCGAGUUGCUUCUUCAGCUCCUUCAACUCUUCAGGUCCGAGCUUGUAAGGACGUUUGCACACAGGUUCCGUACCAGGCUCAAGAUCAAUAACAAAUUCAACUGGCCGGUGCGGAGGCAUUCCUGGAAGCUCUUCUGGAAAGACGUCUUGAUAUUCGCAAACGACUGGAAUUUGAGAGAUGGCAUCCAAUUCACCCUUCUCAUUGAGAGAAAACAGACGGAUAGUAUUAUCCCGAGCGGCAAAGACAAUAACAUCCUCAAAUGAAUGAGUCAAUUGAAUCUGCCUGGCUGCACAAUCAAGCUGAGCCUUGUGCUUAGAAAGCCAAUCCAUCCCGAGAAUAAGAUCAAUAUCCGAGUCACCGAGAACCGUUGGAGAAGAUAGAAACUUGUAGUCACCCAAAGUGAUAGAAACAUCCGGAACAAUGGAGUUAGCAUGCAUGCGCUUACCGGGAGAGACAACUGCUAAAGGACUAGGCAAAAUUUGCAAAGGCAAACCAUGCUUAGAUGAAAACGGUCUCGAGAUGAAACAAUGCGAUGCACCCGUGUCAAAAAGAACUUUUGCAGGAAUAUCAUUAACAGGAAGGUUACCCAUGAUCACAUCUGACGAGUCCUCUGCCUGAGCUGCAUUCAUCAAAUUGACCUUGGCAUGCUUGGGAUUAUGCUUGACCACAGAUGUACUUGCUGAUCUGACAGGAGGAGGAGGAGGAAGACGCCUCUGGUUGAAACACUUGUUGGCAUAGUGACCCUUCUGUUGGCACUUGUUGCAUGUGACCUCUGAAAGCGGACGGUGAUACGGAGCAGUCGAUCUUGGUGGUUGAGACGGAGUCUUGUUCUGAAAGCCUGGGUUGGGUGGGUGGGAAGAACCACUGCCACCUUUGCUCUUCUGCUGAUACGGCUGACGGAACGGAGGAGGAGGAAGCCAAAACUUCUGCUGCUUGGCCACUUGAGUAGAGGAAGAAGGAGCAACAUCUCUGACUCGCUUCUUGGAAGCAUCACACCUCAACUGAGCAGCCUCUUGCUUCAGUGCCAUGUUGUAGAACUCAUCGUAUCUCAAGGGCUCGAAAAGAACAAGAGCGAGCUGAAUAUCUUCUCUGAGACCACCCCUGAACUGAUAUAUCAUGCUCUUCUCAUCAGGGACGUCCUGCUUGGCAAAGCGGGCGAGCUUCUGGAACAACUUGUUGUAGUCAUAGACAGACAAAGAGCCUUGCUUCAGAUUGCGGAAUUCCUCACGCUUGCUUUCAACCAUGCUCUGCGGAAUAUGAUGAGCUCGGAAAUCUCGACAGAAAUCAUCCCAAGUAAUAACACGUCCACCUCUGGAGUCCUUGUACUGCUGGAACCAUUCUGCAGCUUGAUCUUGGAGUUGGAAGGAAGCGAACUUAACAAAGUCCUCAGGCCUGACGUUACUGCACUCGAAAUGCUUACACAGAUCCACAAGCCAAUCGUCAGCAUCGGUUGCCUCAACACAAUUGCUGAAAGUCUUUGGCCCGUUAGCAAGGAACUGGUUGAGUGUAGCAAAGUGACUCUGAUUGCUGCCUUGAUUCCCUUGACUGCCUUGAUUGCGCUCUUGAAGAAUUUGCAUGAUCAGCUGUGUGUUUGCAUUGGUUGCGGCCAUCACAGCUUGCCAUGCCUCUGGAGGAGGUGGGGGUGGUGGCGGAUCAGGAUUUGGAGUUGUGCGCGUUGGAGGAGCCAUCCUGAAGAGGUUGACCACCAUUAGCACAUUGAUAGAUAAAUAUUGAAGCUGAAUCCAACGGAAUGAAGAUUGCAACAUAUAGUCUUCACAUCCGAACAAAAUGAACGAAUGCAUUCCUCUUGAAAUGGUCACAUAUCCAUAAAUUGAGAAGCCACGUAGAAUUAAGGUAGAGAAAUAAAUCAACAAGGUACGGAUCAAGAACGAAUAAUCGGUAAGAAAUCCCAAUCUCAAACCAAUAUCCGUGGAAGAAGAACUAGAGCUACUAGAAUUCCCACGUAUGAAACUUCCGAACCUUUCCGGUUAUGCAAUCAGGUGUUGGGGAUACAGGGGAAGCAUAAUAUUUCACCCAAACUAGCAAAUCCUACAUCCAGCUGUAUCCAUCCUUCAACACAUAACCAAGAAACCUUCGAAAACCAUCUACCUCAACCUUCGAAAAGCAUCUGUUAUACAAGUUAUGGCGAUACUCCCGAACUCCCGCCCCAGUACUGGGUGGCGUCGAGGUUAUCUCACCAAUGAACUGCAUAAAAGAGAUUUUCGAUGUCAGCGUACUAAACUCAGGUAUUCCAGAACUGCAAUGAUAAAAUUAUGAUGACAACACCUCAGAGCUCAACUCCCCGGGACACUUCCACUAAACCCCUGACAGGAGGCACCAAGUCAAUGUUCUCAUCAUAAAACCAUCGAAACGAUUCCAAGAUACCCGCGUGAUCCUAAAAAAAAUUUAGUGAAAUUUGAGAAGAGAAGAGUCAAAACUCUACGUCAGGAUGCCUUACCAGAGCGAUGAGGAGACUGGGAAGUAAAAAAAGAAUUCCUAAACUCUCCGAUAUAUAAUUCCUAAAAGACUCCUAAGGUCGGGGAAGGCUCUGAUUACCAACUUGUCACACCCUCGAUGCGAAUAUAGCUCCCACGUGUCGAGGCACGACUUAGAGACAUAAUCGCAUUGAAGGCAUAUGUCGCAAGUUAGGCAAUCUUCACAAACAUCCCAUGUAAUGUAAUAAUAAAAGGGGAGAUAACAUAGUUGGCUUACACUCGCCACGUCAAUCAAGUACAUAAAUAACAUUACAUCAGGCAUACACUCAUGGCCCGACUACGGCGCCAAAAUAAAAGAGAACCCAACAUGCGACAUGGUCCCAAUCACCCCCAACUGGGCACCACUACUGAUCGUCGGGAAAAGGAAACAUAGUAUCAUUGAGAGUCUUCGUCGAACUCCCACUUGAGCUCAUACGCGUCUCCUGGAGCGGAAUCAUCAGGCCCUGCAUCUGGUGUAAUAGUAAUCUGUGAGCCACAGGGACUCAGCAAUCUCGCACCCUCGCGAUCAAGACUAUUUAAGCUUAUGGGUAUGGCAAGGUAAAAUAUAAGUGGAGCUGCAGCAAGCGACUAGCAUAUAUGGUGGCUAACUUAUUCGUAAAAGAGAGCGAGAAGAGGAGGCAAAGCACGAGCGAGAAACUAGAGAGCAACCUGCGCAAACAUUACUCCAACACCGUGUCCACUUCCCGGACUCCGCCGAGAAGAGGCCAUCACGUUAACACACUCAGUUGAUUCAUUUUAAUUAAUUAAGGUUCAAGUUAUCUACAACCGGACAUUAACAAAUUCCCAUCUGCCCAUAACCGCGGGCACGGCUUUCAAAAGUUCAAUCCCUGCAGGGGAGUCCCAACUUAGCCCAUGACAAGCUCUCACGGUCAACGAAGGAAUAGACCUCCUCCCAAGACGUUCCGAUCAGAGUCGGUAUCUCGGUAAUUCAAGACACUUCGACAGGUUAAAACAAGACCAACAACACCGCUCGAAUGUGCCGACAAAUCCCGAUAGGAGCUGCACAUAUCUCUUUCUCAGGGCACACUCAGAUUGUCUUGGUAUGGGUAGGCCAGCCCAGAGUUGCCCCUGGUGGCCACCGGCAGCUGACAGGUGGACCAACACUCAGAGGAGCACUGGCCCCGGGGGGUUAAAAUAAGAUGACCCUUGAGUCUGCAGAACCCAAGGGAAAGAAAAGGCUAGGUGGCAAAUGGUAAAACCAAGGUUGGGCAUUGCUAGAAAAGCUUUAAUCAAGGAAAACUAUCAAGGGGUUCCCAUUAUAACCCAACCGCGUAAGGAACGCAAAAAAUCCGGGAACAUAACACCGAUAUGACGGAAACUAGGGCGGCAAGAGUGGAACAAAACACUAGGCGAGAGGCCGAGCCUUCCACCCUUUACCAAGUAUAUAGAUGCAUUAAGAUAACAUGGCAAUAUAGUGAUAUCCCAACAAGUAUAUAAAUGAUGUUCCAAUAAGGAACGGCCUCCAAUCUUCACUUGCAACUAGCAACGCUAUAAGAGGGGCUGAGCAAAGCGGUAACAUAGCCAAACAACGGUUUGCUAGGACAAUGGUGGGUUAGAGGUUUGACAUGGCAAUUUAGGAGGCUUUCAAGCAAGUGGUAGACAUUGUAGCAAUGGCAUAGCAAAAGAGCGAGCAAACUGGCAUAGCAAAGGUAGUAGUGAUUUCGAGGGUAUGAUCAUCUUGCCUGCACAGCUGUCAGAGUUGACUGGAUCCUCAAAAGCAAACUCAACGGGCUCCUCGUUAGAGAACUCGUCUCCCGGCUCUACCCAAACAAGACAAACAAGCAACAAGGAUACAAUCAACCACGUGCAAGAUCAAGCAACACGAUGAAAUGAUGAUAUGCUAUGCGGGAUGCGAUGCGGGAUGCAAAAAUGCAAGAUAUGACAGGAAAAUGCAUGAACCUGGCAUCAACUUGGAAUUCCAAGGGUGCCACUGGAAAGAUGAGAUGAAAUCGCUUGAAAACGAUAUAAAGAACGCCGGAAUCGGAGUUACGGUUUGGAAAUGGCAAGCGAUUCAAAAAUGACACCGGUCUGCGAUUUACAGCAAGUAGGCAUCUAAAUGCAAUGAGAUGAACAUGCUACAGCACCCAAACAUGACAACAAAAUACAUGGCAGGGAAGCACACAAGAUACGUAACAAAAGUCUAGCACUGAGCUACGGCCAAUUCACCCAUUAGGAGGUUCAAACAAGCAUGGCAAAAACGCAAAUGGUAAACAUAUCUCAGACUUGGUGAAAUUAACACUUCUCUGGAAUUUCAGAUCAUAUAGCCCUCUUCGGAGCAACAAAACAACAUGCUACAGGUCCUGAACAUGACAAAGAAAGACAUGGCAUGGAGCUACUCAAAAAGCUUAACAAAAGUCCCUUAGUGACCUUGAGCCAAAAGGGAUCACAAAAUAUACUAGCAAGCACACGAACAUAGCAAAAACAUAAUCAGUUUUCAGACUUAGUGAGAACUGGGACAUGCUGAAACAUAACUCACGAAGGCAUGUUUACAAGCUUGAUGCACUCACCACGGUGCAAGUCAUGGCAAGACAAGCAUACAUACCUUAAGAAGGCACAAAAUACAAGCUAGACAUGGCAAGAACAAUGGCAUGUCAUGCACGGAUCAACUACAACAACAUCGGCAAAAUCGCAAACAAGUUGACGAUCUGCCCAGAUUCACAACGAAGCAAAAGUAGAGCUCGAUUGACUCAAGUUAGGGUGCUCAAUAAUUGCAAACAAAGACAUGGAUGGAUAGAGCACUACAAGAUUAACAAAACUCCCUUACUGAACAUCCUCAAAAGAGGCACGAAUCACUAGGAAACAACAAGAACAUAUGGCAUCAUGAACUAAACAAUCCCAGACUUAGUGAAAACUACUAAGUCCCUGAAAACAGAUUUACUGGGUGCCUCACUUUGCAAGCUUGCACAAGUCACCACACACAUCACAAAAAUGCAUGGGUUGCACCUCUGGAAAUAUAACAAAAUCCUUAACAAAACAUCUAUAGGACUCAUAGGCAUAUCAUGCACACAAUAAUCAUGGCAAAAAUGACAAAAGCCUAAGAUGAACUAGCAGAUCUGACAAUUAACUCACGAAGGCUCCUUCUAAUAGCAUUUCGGGCGUCAAGAUGAACUCAAAUGAAAAUGAUGCAAUGGAAUGAAAUGAUGUACUCAUCGAGGCGAACAUUUUGAUAUACUAUAUGCCCAAAUCGGAGCUACGGAUGCGGAGAUAUCACAGGUCAAAGAUUGCAUAAAAAAUGAUGGGAGAGAUGGAAAGUCAACCCUAGGGUUUUUUUAAGAUCUGGAUCUGGCGCCCGGUACUGUAGCAAUCCGCGCCGAGGUCGCCGGAAAUGGCCGCGGUCGUGGCCGGAGUAGACGAGGGAGGCCGGAGAAGGUGCUGUGGCGAGGGGAGGAAGCCGGGGCGGCGCGGGCCGGCGAUGGCCGCGGCGAGGGGGUCCGGUGGGGGCGAGUCGCGGCGCGGGGCGGUCCGGUGNNNNNNNNNNNNNNNNNNNNNNNNNNNNNNNNNNNNNNNNNNNNNNNNNNNNNNNNNNNNNNNNNNNNNNNNNNNNNNNNNNNNNNNNNNNNNNNNNNNNNNNNNNNNNNNNNNNNNNNNNNNNNNNNNNNNNNNNNNNNNNNNNNNNNNNNNNNNNNNNNNNNNNNNNNNNNNNNNNNNNNNNNNNNNNNNNNNNNNNNNNNNNNNNNNNNNNNNNNNNNNNNNNNNNNNNNNNNNNNNNNNNNNNNNNNNNNNNNNNNNNNNNNNNNNNNNNNNNNNNNNNNNNNNNNNNNNNNNNNNNNNNNNNNNNNNNNNNNNNNNNNNNNNNNNNNNNNNNNNNNNNNNNNNNNNNNNNCGGCGGCGGUGUGUGGCGCCUGCCACGUGGCGAUGCGGGAUUGGCGGCGGCGGAAUCCGGACGGCGGCGCGGAGAGGGACUUUUAGGGUUAGGGGGGAGAGGAUCCGUGAAUUGGAAUACGGGGGUGUAUAUAUAGGCAUAGGAGGAGUUAGGAGAGUCCAAAUGAGGUGCAGUUUUCGGCCACGCGAUCAUGAUCAAACGCUCUAGGACAUGGAGCAGAGUUUGGUGGGUGUUGGGUCAAAUUGGAAGAGUGUUGGGCUGCAACACACACGAGGCCUUUUCGGUCCCUCGGUUAACCGUUGGAGUAUCAAACGAAGUCCAAAUGGGACGAAACUUGACAGGCGGUCUACCGGUAGUAAACUAAGGCCGCUUGACAAGUCUCGGUCCAAUCCGGAAAUGUUUAAUCCCCACACAUGAAAGAAAGCUAGAAAUGACCACCGGAGGAGAACGAAGCGCCGGAAUGCAAAACGGACAACGGGGAAAAUGCUCGAAUGCAUGAGACGAACACGUAUGCAAAUGCAAUUCACAUGAUGACAUGAUAUGAGAUGCAUGACAACGACAACAACACGAAAUACAAAAGACCCGAACCCGAGAAAAUAAAAUAACUUAACGCCGGAAACGGCAAGAGUUGGAGUACAAAUUGGGAAAGUUACAUCCGGGGCGUUACACUUACGUCGUUCUUCAUUGAAGCGACGAAGAAACUGCUUGACCGGCUUAAGCUUAGGAUCCACAUUAAGAGUGUUCUCAGCGAAUUCUCUCGGUACACCCAGCAUGUCAGAAGGUUUCCAUGCAAAUAUGUCCCGAUUCUCAUGGAUGAACUCAAUGAGUGCACUUUUCUAUUUAGGAUCCAUAUUAGCCCCCACUGUAAACUGCUAACAUGAGUCGCCAAGGACAAAGUCAACCUGCUUAGUAUCAUAAGAUGAUUUAAACUUCAACAAAGGGUCUUGCUCAGUGGUGGGAUUCUUCAAAGGGGUCAUAUCUGCUGGGUCAACAUUAUCUUUAUAAAACUUAAGCUCUUCUAUCGCGCAGGCCGACUCAGCAUAAGCAGUAUCUCCUUCUUCACAUUCCAGGGAAAUUUUCUGAUCACCAUGGACCGUGAUAGUACCCUUACACCCUGGCAUCUUAAGCUGUAAAUAAACAUAACAAUGCCGAGCCAUAAACUUGGCAUAAGCCGGACGUCCAAACAAGGCAUGAUAAUGGCUCUUGAUUUUAACCACCUCAAACCAUAGUAUCUCUGCCCUGUAGUCAUGUUCAUCACCAAAGGCCACUUUUAAGGAUAUUUUCCCCACAUGAUGUGCCGACUUACCAGGCACCACACCGUGAAAGACUGUUGAGGAUGGUUUGAGAUCCUUGUCAGUCAAAUUCAUCUGCCGAAACGUGUGAUAAUACAAGAUGUUAAUACUGCUGCCGCCAUCCAUGAGCACCUUAGUGAAUUUAUAACCCCCAACUUGAGGGGCUACCACCAAUGCUAGCUGACCCGGAUUAUCAACCCGGGGCGGGUGAUCCGCCCGACUCCAUGUGAUUGGUUGCUCUGAUCACUGAUGUCUACUACGCAACUUGUUCUUGUAGACUUGUGUUGGGUCUCCAAGCGCAGAGUUUUGUAGGACAGUCGAAAUUUUCUCUCAAGUGUAUGACUUAAGGUUUAUCAAUACGUGGGAGGCGUAGGAUGUAGAUGUUCUCUCUCAAACAACGCUGCAACCAAAUAACAAAAAGUCUCGUGUGUCCCCAACACACCAAAUACAAUGAUAAAUUGUAUAGGUGCACUAGUUCGGCGAAGAGAUGGUGAUACAAGUGUAAGUGUAGUAAUGAUAGUAGAUAUUGAUUUUUGUAAUAAUAACAAUAAAAAAAUAGCAAGGUAGCAAGUAACAAAAGUAAGCACAAACGGUAUUGCAAUGCUUGAAAACAAGGCCUAAAGUCCGUACUUUAGUGCAAUCUCUCAACAAUCUUAUAUAUCUCAAGAGCCUCCACGUUAACCCACAUCAACAAAAUUAGUUUAGCCAUCAGAUAUAAAAUUCGAUGGUCAAGAUCUAUUAAAAUAAGUUGCUUCCUUAAAAAAAAGAAACACUACGUACAUAGAUUGGAAUAAGAUGACACGUUCAAAAAAAGUUUAAGCUGACACGUUCCCAAAGGUGUCCCCCAACACCCACGUCCAAUUUCUGAGAAAAUCUUAAAAAACGCUACCUGUUUUGAAAAAAAAAACACCACGUACAUAGAUAGGAUCAACCUGGACGCUGCUUCUUUUGAAAAAAAAAAACACCACGUCCCAACACCCACGUCCAAUUUUUGAACAAAUACAAAUAUUGUGCGUGACUUCUUCCUUUAAUAUUGUCCAAAUGAGAAGUCCUGAAGUCCCACGUCUCAUGUGCCAAUCUCAUAAAAUGAAAUCCAUGCACGUACAAGAAAGAGACCUCAAGCCUCACGUUUUGGGGAAAGGGGAGGCUUCCUGAUUUUGAAAAAGAAAUUUAUAUGUUGGGGUAGAGGUAGGCCGGACAUGUUGCCGACGUUGUCGAAUUCCUGUCAAUCAUAUCUCUCGAAAAAGUCUCUGGCCGUCGAAGCUGACACUAACCCCUCCCACCCGCUGCUCUUGCAUUCUGACCCCCUUGCUCAUCACGGUCUCGAUCUGUCGGCCCUGCGUACAGGUUCCCCAUGGCGGUGCAUCCACCCAGAACCUCUUCCGCCUCCGUCCUCCCACUGGCGUACAUCACCAACUCGGAUCAGAUUUUUUUUGUGUCUCCGACCAUGGGUGCCUGGUUGCCUGCCCUUCUUUUCCCAAAAGAAAAGCUCGAUCCGUCAACGAAUCCCAGACUCAAUACGAAAUCGAAUUGCCAUGACUUUUGAAAUUCUCGGUCGAAUGUUGUCACCGAGGUAGUGCCUUGGGCUGAAGCCCAGAACUAUACUAUCAUCUAAUAUGUCGUGGACUUCGAUUUUGGGGGAGGGGCGAUCUUGGGCAUACAACCUCACCGACAAGCAUAAGAAGCUUCAAGACCCCUCACGGGGCGGCGCUGGGAUGCGGCAGUUGGGUGUGCAGGCGACAGGAAAGAGAAGUUGGUGCAUCACUGCGGCUUCCACCACCGCAUGGUCUGUCCCUUCGCCUAUAAAUCGCUAACGAAGGAUAGAUAUACCCGGGGAUGCCCAAAUUGACGCAUGCGGCUCUAGGACGUGACUGCUGGAUGCACGAGUGAUGGGGGAGAAGUUGGUACAUCAAUGUAAGAUGGCGGCGCAGGGUAGUGUUGCAGUGAUACACGAGCACGGGCGGUAGAGAGAGGGAGGCGAGCAGGGAUGGGGUGAGGCGGUGAAGAGAGAGGACGGUGGAGAAGGUGUGUAGCUGUGUGUUUGGGCGGCGAGAGGUGUGGCCAUGUUGGAGUCGUUGGGUGCAGGGGCCGACGUUGCAUGCAGGGGUGCUGCUGUCGAGAGAGAAACUGAGGAUGCUGCUCUUGCAUACGUUGCUGUUGCUGCGUGUUGUCUCGGGAGAGCAGAGAGAGAAGUAGAAAGUGAGAGGGUGUGCUUCUGAUUAUAUUUGGAUUGUCGUAGCAGUUUAUAAUUUAUACAUGGUUGAUUGCUUAAUGCUACUGCUGAUUAUUGAUUGUUAGAUUUUGUUUAAUAUAACUGCUCUUUGCUAGAGAGAACAGAGAGGUGUCCAUACAGUAUUCCCAUCGUUUAAUGCCCCUAGAUGUGAAUGCUGCUGCUGAAAAUGUGAUUGGUUGUGUUGUUUCGUAUUGUUAUAUAAAAAAUGUAUUUUUUUUUUGUUUUAUGAUAGUUUCACAUUGUAGUUUACUGAAAAUGCAUAGGGUAUUACAAUGAUGAACAUAUGAAUUUGAUAGUUAAAUAAUAUUAUUAAAUAUAGAAUGUUAAAAUAUAGGGGUUGAGAUUUUGGAGUGCUACUGGUGUUAAGCAAAUUUUAGGGAAAAUAUUUUUAAGGAAGUCCCCUAGAUAGAAAAUUAGGGGUGAGAUUUUAGGAAAAAUGUUGGACUUGCUCCUGUCCCACCUCAACCAUACCCGUGUGACAUGCUCAACAUCCAUGUAUGUCCGCUCUGACAUCGGCAAGGAGUUAGAGAGGGUGCGGGGAGGAAGACAGAGCGUGGGAAAGUGGAGAGAGGGAGAUAUGGGGAGGGGCGGAAGAACGAGAUAGAGAGAGGUUUACAUGACAAUUUUUAAAAAGUUUUAUAAACAUUCCCUCGCACGGUUCAAUGGCAAGUGUGUCGUGCGUUGGCUCAGUUGUCGCUUUAGAUUGAUCAAGUUCGACACAUUGCGAUCAGGUGCACACUAGGACCAUCGUCGAGAAGGGCGUGAAAGAGGAUAAGCAUUGCCAUAGAUUUCGUGACGUGUUGAAAUAGACGACGUCGACCUGUAGGGACUUGAACCUUGUUUACUGGGCUAGAGAUGUGUGUGUUUUCUCACGUUGCAAAAUAUUUGUGUUGUUUAAUCAUUAGUGAAGUACGGCCCGCAUGUCGAACAAUGCAUACAUACCUCAUUGUAGAAUAUAUUUUGAAAGACAUGGUUGCUUGUUGAUCAGCUCGGAGGUCCAAAUGGUUGGUAGGCUCAUCAAGGAGCAGCAAUGUUGGCUGCAUGAAGAGAGCACGGGCAAGCGAGAUGCGCAUCCUCCAGCCACCACUGAAGGACUUUGUGGACCUUGCCUGCAUCGCCUGAUCAAACCCCAGCCCCGCGAGGAUUUUGGACGCACCCGCGCGUGCAGCAUCAGAGUCGCAUAGAUUUAGUUUCUCAUAUACCUCGGCAAGCUUGUCGUUGUCAUCGGGGUCGUUAGAGGCCUCAAGCUUUGCCUGCUCAGACCGGAGCGCCGUGAGCUCCUCAUUGGCUGCAACCACCACCUCGGUUGCCGAGCGGUCAUCACCAACAAUCUGCUGCUCCACAAGCAGGACAUCAAUGUUCUUGGGCACAGGCACCUGCCGCCAAGAGAAGAGAGCAGCUUCAGGAGGGUAGAUUUGCCCAUGCCAUUGGGCCCCACGAGCCCGUAGCGGCGACCAUGCGAGAUCCGGAGGGAGGCGCCCUUGAGCAGCUCCUUCCCUCGCGCAGAGACAGAGAAGUUGUCGAGCACGGUGUCCUUGAUGUUUCCUUCGGCUGCAUCGCCCUCAGCGGCGGAUCCGGGGACGCGCGCUCCUAUGACGACGGAGAUGGCGUCCCGGUCGUCGCGGAGCGCCUCCCGCUUGGCAGCCUCGGCGACGGCCGCCGCCAUCAUCUCUCGCUUUUCCUUCUUCUUCGCGUCCUUGUCCGAGGGCCCGAGGGCGUUGAGGUCGACGGUGGCGCGAGCCGGCUUGAACUGGAAGACUUCGUAGAAAAAAAAUCAAUGUAGUUGAUCAUAACCUCUUCGACGAAAUCUUAUGCGACGACAAAAUCGGAAACAGACCCACACUAAUGUCCACCCAUUCUCUCGCUUUGGCCUAUUGACUUGACUAUAGGAUUGUCCAACAGAGAGGACAAUAUGACGUUGUCACCUUUUGCAUCUACACACACUCCCUUCUACAAGCAACCAUUAUUUCCUUCUUAACGAACUUCGCGAUAAUCCCUGGGACAAACAAUCUCCAAAAGGCAUAUGAGUCGGCAAAUCUUUUAAAAUGGACCCUGAUAAGUGUCACAUGUGUAGCACGAACACAUGGCAACUCCGCACAUUUUUCAUGGCCAGUUUAAUAAUACGAGGAUGGCAACUUUAAUUGUCAAGCAUAACAACUUUCUUUUUGAACGGUAAGUUUUAGUUUUCUUUUCUUUUUUCUUUUCGGGUGACAACAAAAGCGUGAGGGCCGGAGUGCUUUGUGCUACACGUGUGGCACAUAUCAUUUGGGUAUAAAAAAUAUUAGGUUUAUGUUCUAAAAAUGAAAUAAAAUAUCAGAGCACGGAACUUGCUUUGUAACACAUGGCACACAAGUUGGUUUCUUUCCUUGGUUUAUUUUCUUCCUUGACUUAAAGCCAAUGUGAUCCUGCCGUCGUUUUGUUUCUAAAUUUAUUUUUUCUGAAAAACUGGCGAGCCCAAGAGCAAUCCCUUCUCAACCGCGUGGGGCGCUAAAACCUUUUUAUAGCGUGGAAAUAGGAAAACAAAUGCGCGCGGCAGGGCGCUGGCUCCAGCGACUGCUUCAAAAUAUGGCGCGCAUGAGCAGCUUCAGCAGGCGCGCUAACUUACAGCGCACGCAAGCAGCCGGCGCUUGCGAAUAAGAUUUUACAUGUCCAUUUUGACAAUAUGAAGAUGUUUCAAACAUUAAACAAAUGUGCAAAAUAAAGACAUAGUAUAGUUCAAUUGCACGGCACAUCAAUCAUUUGGGAGCUUCGAGAGGGGGGCACGUGGCUUCACGGCGGGUGCCAGUGCGACGCCACCCGCCGAGGUCGUCCGUGGCGUCAUGAAAAGGUCGCACGCGAGAACGGUGUUUGUAGGAGCACCGUCGGAGGCGAAGAUAAAACUCCCCGGGCUAGGGUUUGCGCCGCCGGCGACGGUGGUGGAGGGGUCACGGGUGUAGGGAGGGGGGAUGUCAGUGCGGCCGUCCAUCAGACGAAUUUGCCGCCGGUGGCGUGGGGCGCAGCGAAGGCGGGGCGGCCGGAGAGGGUGGCGGCAGUGCGGCGCUGGCGCUCGAGUGUGCAGCGCACAGGAGCGGGUGCACGAAAUAAGUGGCGCGUGAUGUCAUUUCGCUCCGUGUGCUGAACCAAUUAUACUGCACGUGUAUUUUAAUGAAAAAGCUUCCGCCCCGCUUUAUAUAUAAAACACACAGCCAAACUGAUACAAGGUGAUAAGGAGAACCUCUUACAAAGCAGAUCAAAGGAAAAUACAAGAAACUAAAAGAGAUCACACCCUACCACAAAGCCACCUAGACUACCAACAAGGACGGAGACUCACCGCCAAGGGAAACCAUCGGACAUCGUUUCGCCACUCACUCCAAGUUUCCGCCGAAGGGGGCCCCCCUGCCCUCCUGCUCCGGACGGUGGAGCCCGAACCUGUCUGCAGAAAACACGGGACGCGAGAGGAACCAACAAGGACCCUUCCCCCCUCAUCNNNNNNNNNNNNNNNNNNNNNNNNNNNNNNNNNNNNNNNNNNNNNNNNNNNNNNNNNNNNNNNNNNNNNNNNNNNNNNNNNNNNNNNNNNNNNNNNNNNNNNNNNNNNNNNNNNNNNNNNNNNNNNNNNNNNNNNNNNNNNNNNNNNNNNNNNNNNNNNNNNNNNNNNNNNNNNNNNNNNNNNNNNNNNNNNNNNNNNNNNNNNNNNNNNNNNNNNNNNNNNNNNNNNNNNNNNNNNNNNNNNNNNNNNNNNNNNNNNNNNNNNNNNNNNNNNNNNNNNNNNNNNNNNNNNNNNNNNNNNNNNNNNNNNNNNNNNNNNNNNNNNNNNNNNNNNNNNNNNNNNNNNNNNNNNNNNNNNNNNNNNNNNNNNNNNNNNNNNNNNNNNNNNNNNNNNNNNNNNNNNNNNNNNNACCCUAGGCGCUGCCGACCCUUGGCAUUGGUGACGAUGAUGCUCGUGGGCAUCACAUCCUUCUUGGGGGCGUCGUUGAGGGUCCUCCCACCGAGCCAGGGCUUCGGGUGAAAACCCUUGACCGGUCAUUCGGUCUCGACGGCGGCGGCACGGUGUGUCGUCUCCCUCUUGAGGGUGUUGCCGUGCAGUCCAGCUUACUUCUAGUGCAUCAUGUUGUCAUUGGCUAACGUGCUAGAUCCUGUCUUGGAGCUACCUCGACUCUAGCGUAGGCGGAUUUACUUACCUCCUAUCUUUUACCCCACGCGUAUUUUGCGCGUCUGCUGGAGCGUCUGGAACGACUGCGCGCGCAAAAAAAAAUUUAAUUUUUCCAGCGCGGCGCUAAUAUCACGUGCCUGAUGGAGAUGCUCUAAGCGUGAGGUGUUUUCCCACUAAAAUUUUCAUCUUUACACCCGCAAAAAAAAAAACUCAUCUUUACCCCCAAAACCCCUGCUAUAAAUCUCCCUCUUGUGUGAGAAGUACUCCUGUAUAAGUCACCCUCGCUACCCCACUGAACCCACCACCCAUCCGUCGGUGAGAAAGAACCCACCAAAUUCCCACGGGAUUCUCCUGGAGAGCGCCAGCGCCAUGGAGUCGUCACGCGGCACCAUCAUCCCCGGCACGCCGCCGCUGCCCUCCUCCUUAACCGACGUCAACGGCCAGGAGGGCAGGCGGACCAGGACCAGCGGCGGCGUGAGGUGGCACGCUUGGGCCGCCGUGCUGGCCGUGGUGGCGCUCGUCGUCGCCGCCGUGGUCUUUGGGGCCAGCAGGGUCCACCCGGACGCGGUGGCGUCCUCCUCCGUACGGGCUAUGGCAGAACACGGCGUGUCGGAGAAGACGUCCGGGGCAUACUCCGCCAGCGGCGGCUUCCCGUGGAGCAGCGCGAUGCUGCAGUGGCAGCGCACCGGCUUCCAUUUCCAGCCGGACAAGAACUACAUGAACGGUACGUACUGACCGAGUUCAUCCGUGCGAUUAGAUUUUCAGAUUCAGAUUCCGUUUAAUUUUCUCCGACGUGGUUUGAUCCAGAAACUGACCUCCCUGCCUUAUUUGCUUCCUGUUUGCUCGCCGGCGGUGGCAUUCUCCGGCGACAUCCAUCCGUGCAGAUCCCAACGGUUAGUAUUACACUAUUACUACGCUCCACCUAACGAAUCCUCUCAAUCGGGUAUUCCUAUUCAGAAGUUUUGUGACCUGUGCGGGAUAUAAUUGCACCACCACGAACAGUAUUUUUUUUAAAGUUGAAAAAUCAACAAAUUCUGAAUUUUUUUAUGAACGUUGAUAAAUUUUUACCUCCGCAACAAUUUCGUGGUGCAUUUUCUUUUGUCAGGCCUCUAUAAAUGUCAUUUCAUCAUGAAAAUUUUCACAUAGGUAAAACAUUCAUCGAUGUUUAUUACAAAAAAAAUCAGUUUUUUGUUGUUCUUUUUAUUUUUUGGAUCCUAAUGUUCACCCGGGUGCAUAUAACCUCGCGAUUAGUAGAGCACUUUCUCUGAAAUGCAUUGUCCACUGCAGGUCCGGUGUACUAUAGAGGAUGGUACCAUUUGUUCUACCAACACAACCCCGGAGGCACUGGGUGGGGCAACAUCUCAUGGGGGCACGCCGUGUCGCGGGACAUGGUCCACUGGCGCCACCUACCGCUCGCCAUGGUGCCUGACCACUGGUAUGAUAUCGAGGGCGUCUGCACCGGAUCCAUCACCAUACUCCCUGAUGGCAGGGUCAUCGUGUUCUACACUGGGUACACCGAGACGUUUGCGCAAGUGACCUGCCUCGCGGAGGCCGCCGACCCGAGCGACCCCCUCCUCCGCGAGUGGGUGAAGCACCCCGCCAACCCCGUGGUGUACCCGCCCCCUGGCAUCGGCAUGAAGGACUACCGUGACCCAACCACGGCGUGGUUCGACAACUCCGACAACACGUGGCGCAUCAUCAUUGGCUCCAAGAAUGACACGGACCACUCCGGCAUCGUCUUCACGUACAAGACCAAGGACUUCGUCAGCUACGAGCUGAUACCGGGAUACUUGUACCGCGGCCCCGCCGGCACCGGCAUGUACGAGUGCAUUGACAUGUUUGCCGUUGGUGGUGGCCGCAAGGCCAGCGACAUGUACAAUUCGACGGCCAAGGACGUGUUGUACGUGCUCAAGGAGAGCAGCGACGACGACCGGCGCGACUAUUACGCGCUCGGGAGGUUCGACGCAGCGGCCAACACAUGGACGCCGAUCAACACCGAGCGGGAACUCGGGGUCUCGCUGCGGUACGACUAUGGCAGGUACGACGCGUCCAAGUCCUUCUACGACCCCGUGAAGAAUCGGCGGAUCGUCUGGGGGUACGUCGUCGAGACCGACUCCUCGAGCGCCGACGCCGCCAAGGGGUGGGCCAACCUCCAGGUAACCAUCAUCGUCAUCAACAUGAGUGUUUUACCUUACACUUAUCAACAUCGGUCAUCAUUGCUACUCUUAGACUUAACUAGAUUGAAUUAUUGAACCAAACUGGAUUAAUGUUGUGUGUUGUGCGUGCAGUCGAUUCCGAGAACCGUGGAGCUUGACGAGAAGACCCGGACGAACCUCAUCCAAUGGCCAGUGGAGGAGCUCGAUACCCUCCGCAUCAACACCACCGAUCUCAGCGGCAUCACUGUCGGUGCCGGAUCCUUCGUCUCCCUCCCCCUCCACCAGACCUCCCAACUUGACAUCGAGGCAUCCUUCCGCAUCAACACCUCCGCCAUUGAGGCCCUCAAUGACGUCGAUGUCGGCUACAACUGCACCAUGACAAGCGGCGCUGCCACCCACGGCGCACUUGGCCCCUUCGGCAUUCUCGUCCUCGCCAACGUCGCCCUGACAGAACAGACGGCGGUGUACUUUUAUGUGUCCAAGGGCCUCGACGGCGGUCUUCGGACCCAUUUCUGCCACGAUGAGUUGCGGUCAACACAUGCCACCGAUGUGGCGAAGGAGGUGGUGGGUAGCACGGUGCCGGUGCUCGACGGCGAGGAUUUUUCCGUUAGAGUGCUCGUGGACCACUCCAUCGUGCAAAGCUUCGUGAUGGGCGGGAGGUUGACGGUGACGUCGAGGGCCUACCCGACGGAGGCCAUUUACGCAGCGGUGGUCUACCUGUUCAACAAUGCCACCAGCGCCAGCGUCACAGCGGAGAAGCUCGUCGUGCACGACAUGGACUCGUCGUACAACAAGAUAUUCACGGACGACGACUUGCUAGUCCUCGAUUAGACUGAUCACCUACAACAAGUUAUGGAGUUUUUGCUCGGUCGGUGGCUUCCUUAUCUCUUGGACAGAUAGCGGUGGAGUACCAGCUACUCUACGUAUCAUCUUGAUUUAUGUUCCUUGUUCUAGUUUUGGUUUUACUAAGAUGAAUUAGAUGAUGUUGGUCACAUGUAAAUCAAUUACGGGUAAAUUAAAAGGACAUGGAUGCCUGCCACCAAAUAUAAGUGACUACUUCGAGAGUUCAAGUUCAAGUUCUCUCAUUUCUUAUUUAUUUAUAUGCAACCUUUGUAUUUCGUAUUUUUAGGGAAAGCAAACAUUGUGUAUCUAUACCAAUAUAAAAAGACCUAAAAAGAAAGAUCCAACAAAUCCCAGCCGUCAAAUCAAGUCAAUCCAAUGACUCAGGCUGCUAUAAUAGUGAGCGCUCAACAUGUUUAGUGUGCAAUUAAUAUCAUACCAAAUAUCCAAACCAAUGUUAAUCAUUAUUAAUACACAAAUAAUAUCCUACCUAAUAUUUACGUGUAUCUAUCUACACUAAUAUAAAAAGACCCAACGGGGCAGAUCCAACAAAUCCGGUAGUCAAGUCAGGUCAAUCCAACGACUCAGGCUGCUAUAAUGGUGAGCGCUCAACAUGUUUAGUGUGCAGUUAAUAUCAUACCAAAUAUCAACACCAAUGCUAAUCACAUAAUUAAUACGUGAAUAAUAGCCUACCUAAUAUUUACGUGUAAUUAAUAUAUUACCUUAUAUCAACAUGUAUUGCACGUACACAUUUACUAGUUAAAUAUGUCCUGAUGCGUACACAUUUACUAGUUAAAUUUGUCCUGAUGCGUACACAUUUACUAGUUAAAUUUGUCCUGGUGUUUCCAUGUAGAGUAAAAUCGGGAUUCUACAAGCCUGUCUUUUGAACGUUUAUAGAUAGAAAUACGAGCAUGGGAGCACCAGAAUGUAUCCGUUGCCGCAUCAUAACAAAUAAAAAAUAAAAAUCCAUGUGACAAAAUCUACCGACAACCACUGAAAAGGUACUGAAGACACCCUUUUACGUACCUGAUGUAAUCAAAGUACAGUUGGGUGGCUCCCAUAACUUAAUAUCUUACCUCGUGAAUUCCGAAAAGAAAAUACUUAAGAAAUGAAUUUUUUGUGGACGCGCAUUAUCUUCACAGGGAGCAAAUUGCAAAAAAACACACCACAUUUUAAGUUCAUGUUUAGAUUUGCCACCACAUUUAUUUGGGCGCCCCAAAAAUCAAUCGGUUUCCUUGCUAAUUUUCUGAAUAAACACCGAUGGUUCAUUUGCGGCGAAUUAAUUCAAUUUCUGACAUACCGGGCCCAUUGAUCAGGUCCACAUGACACUAAAUGGUCAACACUGUUUGUUUUCACUAUUAAAACAAAUCACCAUGCAUCUAUUAUGUUCCACCUCCUGUCGCUUAUGGCCGACGCCGCCCCUCUCUUCCGCGCCACCCCGCAUCCUCUCUCCCGUCGACCCCUACACCUUCCUCCAUCUCUCCUCCCUCCCGGUGCGGGCAAGAUCAACAACACUGCACCCAGUCACACGCCGCCCCACACUAGAUCGGGUGGAUCCGUGACGCAGCUCCUCCCCCUGUCAUGCCUCGACGAGCUCCAUCCCCACCUCUGGCGUGCGACGAGCCUGAUAAAUGGAAUGACACAGGACGAGCAACCGGAGCACCACGCGGAUCGGAGUCUACGCAUGAGAAACACGAGCAUGUCCUCGUUAGCACGCGUCGUCAACGCCGCGUGCCACCAGCAUGGACACGGCAUGCCGCCGACACCGGAACCCAUGACCAUGUCGAAGAAGCUCGCCAGCCACGCCAUGGGGUUCCCAAUGGCCACGGCUCGGCCAUAGCGCACACCGCCGUAGCCGGCUCACGCCACCGCGUCGGCCUUCUCUAGCCAGGGAAUAUUGCGCCAUCGGCCGCCUCGCCUCCUCCUUCUUCUGGUGUUGACCUCGGCAACCCAGUUGAUCUGCAGACCAUCACCUCUGCGCCCUCUCAUCCAUCCCCGUGCAUGCAUGCGAGGUGUUUGUUUGAAUGCCCCCAAGGACGAGAAUAAGGUCUGAGAGAGAUGACAAUGCUGACAGGUGAGCCCUCCGUUUAACUUAAUGGUCGACAAGCGGUGUUGACCAUUUAGUGCCAUGUGGACCAGAUCAGUGGGUCUGGGUAUGUCAGAAAUUGAAUUAAUUUGUCCCAAAUCGAUCAUCAGUGUUUAUUGAAAAAAUUAGCAAGAAAAUUGAUAGAUUUUUUGGACACCCAAGAAAUGUGGUGGCAAAUCCAAACAAGAACUUGAAAUGUGGUUUUUUUUUUGGAAUUUACUCUUUCACAUGUCAAUUUGUGUAUGAAGAGUGUGGUCACUUGAUGCCAUAAUAUCGAGGUCAAGCUACAGAUACCCCUGUCGUCCACGGAGCCAUCGUCCAGGGAAGGUCUCCAGCUCAAUCAUGAAGAUGCAGAUGUCUUCGCUACUAAUACCAAUGCAGUAGACAAGAAAAUCAACCGGCCGUCUUAUAUUAUAUUUCAUGUAUACCAGUAUAAAAAGACCUGAACAGGCAGAUCCAACAAAUUCCGGCUGUGAAAUCAGGUUAAUCCAGCGACUUAGGCUGCUAUAAUGGUGAGCGCUCAACAUGUUUAGGGCACAGUUACUAUCGUACAAAAUAUAAAAACCAAUGCUAAUCACAUAAUUAAAACGUAAAUAAUAUCCUGCCUAAUAUUUACGUGUAUCUAUACCAAUAUAAAAAGACCCAAAGGGGCAUAUUCAACAAAUCCUGAUGGUCAAACCAGGUCAAUCAAAUGACUCAGGCUACUAUAAUGGUGAGCCCUCCACAUGUUCAGUGUGCAGUUAAUAUCAUACCAAAUAUCAACACGAAUGCUAAUUAGAUAAUUAAUACGCAAAUAAUAUUCUAUCUAAGAUUACGUGUAAUAAAUAUAUUACCUAAUAUCAACGUGCAUUGCAAGUACGCAUUUACUAGUUUUAGAAGGGAAACACAUUGGGAAUCUAUCCUGGUGUUUCCAUAUAGAGUAAAAUUGGGAUUCUAGAAGCAUGUCUUUUGAACGUUCAUAAAUAGAAAUGUGAGCAUGGGAGCACCUGAAUGUAUCCUUUGUCGCAUCAUAACAGAUAAAAAUAAAAAUCUGUGGGACAAAAUCUACCGGCAACCAUCGAAAAGGUACUGCCGACACCCUUUUAGGUACCUAACGUAAUCAAAGUACAGUUGCGUGUCUCCCAUAACUAAAUGUCUUACCUCGUGUAUUCCGAAAAGAAAAUACUUAACAAAUGAAUUUUUAGUGGACGCGCAUUGUCUUCACAGGGACCAAAUUGCAAAAAACUGCCACAUUUUAAGUUCAUGUUUAGAUUUGCAACCACAUUUCUUGGGCGCCCCAAGAACCAAUCGAUUUCCUUGCUAAUUUUCUCAAUAAACACCGAUGAUUCAUUUGGGGUGAAUUAAUUCAAUUUCUGACAUACCGGACCCACUUAUCAGGUCCACAGGACACUAUUUGGUCAACACAGUUUGUUUUGAUUGUUAAAACAAAACACCAUGCAUCCAUUAUGCUCCACCUCCUCUCGCUUAUGGCCGGCACCGCCCCUCUCCCCCGCGCCACCCCGUAUCCUCUCUCCCGUCGACCCCUCCACCUUCCUCCAUCUCUCCUCCCUCCCGGUGCGGGCGAGAUCAGUAGCACGGCAUCCCGUCACGCGCCGUCCCACACUGGAUCGGGUGGAUCCGUGACGCGGCUCCUCCCCCUGUCAUGCCUCGCCGAGCUCCAUCCUCACCUCUGGCGUGCGACGAGCCUGAUAAAUGGGACAAUGCGGGACGAGCGACCGGAGCACCACGCAGAGGCUACGCAUGAGGAACACGAGCACGUCCUCGUCGGAGCCCGUCGUCGGCGCUGCGCGCCACCUGCAUGGACACGGCAUGCCGUUGACACCGGAGCCCAUGACCACGUCGACGAAGCUCGCCAGCCACGCCAUGGGGUUCCCGAUGGCCACGGCUCGGCCAUAGUGCACACUGCAAUAGCUGGCUCACGCCAGGGAAGAUUGCGCCACCGGCCGCCUCGCCUCUUACUUCUUUUGGUGUCGACCUCGGCAGCCCAGUUGAUCUACAGACCAUCACCUAUGCGCCCUCUCAUCCAUCCCUACGCAUGCACGCGAGGUGUUUAUUGGAAUGCCCCCAAGGAGGAUAAGAAGGUUUGAGAGAGAUGACGAUGCUGAUAGGUGGGCCCUUCGUUUAACUUAGCGUUCAACAAGCGGUGUUGACCAUUUAGUGCCAUGUGGUCCUGACCAGUGGGUCUGGUAUGUCAUAAAUUGAAUUAAUUUGUCCCAAAUCAAUCUUCAGUGUUUAUUAAGAAAAUUAGCAAGAAAAUCGGUAGAUUUUUGAGACACCCAAGAAAUGCGGUGGCAAAUCCAAACAAGAACUUGAAAUGUGGUUGUAUUUUGCAAGUGGUCACUUGAUGCCAUAAUACCGAGGUCAGGCUACAGAUACCCCUGUCGUCCAUGGAGCCAUCGUCCAGGGAGGGUCUCCAGCUCAAUCAUGCAUACGCAGAUGUCCCCGCUACCAAUACCAAUGCAGUAGACAAGCAAAUCAUGCGGCCGUCUUAUAUUAUAUUCCAUAUAUAUAUAUACCAAUAUAAAAAGACCAAAGGGGAAGAUCCGACAAAUCCAGGUCGUCAAAUUAUGUCAAUUCAAUGACUCAGGCUGCUAUAACGGUGAGCGCUUAACAUGUUUAGUAUGCAGUUAAUAUCAUACCAAAUAUCAACACCAAUGUUAAUCACAUAAUUAAUACGCAAAUAAUAUCCUACCUAAUAUUUAUGUGUAUCUAUAACAAUAUAAAAAGACCCGAAGCGGCAGAUCUAACAAAUCCCGGUCGUCAAAUCAGGUUAAUCCAACGACUCGGGCUGCUAUAAUGAUGAGCGCUCAACAUGUUUUAGUGUGCAGUUAAUAUCAUAUCAAAUGUCAACACCAAUGCUAAUCACAUAAUUAAUAUGGAAAUAAUAUCCUACCUAAUAUUUACGUGUAAUUAAUAUAUUACCUAAUAUCAGCGUGCAAUGCACGUACACAUUCGGUUUGGAGGAUUUCCGUAGGAAAACAUAGGAACAAAGAUUCCGGAGGAAAAUUUCCUAUAUAUGCAUUCGGUUUGUAGGAAAUGCGUACAGGAAUUUCGUAGGAACGCUACCCAUUUCAUGUGUUUUGGGAGGAAACUACACAUCCACUCAAAGCUCAUUUUGCGCGUAGGAACGAGGCAAGUCAAUUCCUUAGGAUGGCAAUUGCCAUCCUAUCGAAUUUCUAUACUACUCCUAAUUCCUACGUUUUGAUUUCCUCCAAACCUAAUAUUUACGUGUAAUUAAUGUAUUAUCUAAUAUCAACGUGCAUUGCACCUACACAUUUACUAGUUUUUGAAGGGAAACACAUUGGGAAUCUACACUGGUGUUUCCAUGUAGAGUAAAAUCGGGAUGCUAGAAGCAUGUCUUUUGAACGUUCAUAGAUAGAAAUGCGAGCAUGGAAGCACAUGAAUGUAUCCGUUGCCGCAUCAUAACAAAUAAAAAUAAAAAUCCGUGUGACAAAAUCUACCGGCAACCACUGAAAAGGUACUGCAGAGACCCUUUUACGUACUUGACAUAAUCAAAGUACAGUUGCGUGGCUCCCAUAACUAAAUGUCUUACCUCGUGAAUUCAGAAAAGAAAAUACUUAACAAAUGGUUUUUUUGUGGACGCGCAUUGUCUUCACAGGUAGCAAAUUGCAAAAAACCAUCACAUUUUAAGUUCAUGUUUAGAUUUGCCACCACAUUUCUUGGGCGCCCCAAGAAUCAAUUGAUUUCCUUGCUAAUUUUCUCAAUAAACACCGAUGAUUCAUUUGGGGCGAAUUAAUUCAAUUUCUGACAUACCAGGCCCACUGAUCAGGUCCACAUCUAUCUAUGCCUAUACUAAUUACAGACUCUCAAGAAAUUCUUACGUUAAUCAGUAAUUAGGAGCCGUUAAUCUGGUGAGGCCGAGUUAUUACGGUUCAGAUUAACCCGUGUAACUUUUGGCUGAAAAUAGCUUAAUUCGGCCAAAAAAAAUAGAAGGCCCACAGUCCUUUGAUCUCACGGUUGUAGAAAUAGAAUCGGCCCAUAGAGCUUUCAUCUUACGGUUGUACAAAUAGAGUCCAUGUUUUAUUUUACCAAAAACAAUUGCUACAAAGUCCAUCCUCAUGCAAGUUUAUCAAAAAAACAUCCUCAUGCCCGAUGAAAUUGUAUCCAUGCGAUCUGUGAAAAGUAAAAAAUAAUAAUCAACCAGGCCGGGCUAGUGGAUCACCAACACCGUUAGAAAUCAUCACGAGGUCACUAUUACUAAACAACUCAUGUUGGCUUCGUACCCCAACUUGCAUCCGUCUUGGCAAUAGCAACCAAGAGGUAAACCAUCAGCUGCAAUGGAUAAAUAUGCCAGUUGCAUUGAUCUUUCCCACAUGUAUAUACUCACCACAGUUUAACUAAGAGGGGAAUUUCAGUCGUACAUGCUUUAGUCAGGCUCAUCUGAGGGCACCCUGAAAAUCUAGCUAAAAGGAAACCCAGUGCUCACUUGCUACUAAAGAACAUGACUACCAGUGAAGUGAAGUGGGCAAAGACUCAAACUGUGGUGAUCCGGCAGUUUCUGAAAAUUGUUUACCGAGUUUUCUUGCAAAGGAUGGUCUCUGUUUUUGUUCUACUCCUUUCGCUGGACUAGCAGUGUUGCUGUAAGUUGAUCCAUAUAAUGUUGUUCUAUGUGUUUCAUUCUCAAUGAAAAAUGCAUGGAAGCGGGCAUGAUGGUCUUUUGAUCAAAACAAAGUUACCCUCAUGAGUUCAUUAAGUGGCAUUAUUGUAUAGCAAUCCAGUUAAUUCAGUAUAAUUGUAUCCGAAUGCACAUCCAUAAUUGCUGUAGUAGAAUGUAGUUGGUAGUCAGUUUGUGGAAUCUUGCACCACAGCCCAUAUGUAUGUGUUCUAUAUACUCUUCCAAUGAAGAAAUUCCGAUCAUAUAUCCUUCAAAUAGGCACACACACAUCAGUAUAUAUAAACCACACAUUCAGUGAGAUUUAAUUUUGUUUCAUAUGCAUGAGCUUCCACUUCUUUUCUCUUGGUGUGCUAUUCGUUAUCCUUCUUAGCAUAACUAAAGUUUUGUCCCAUUGUGAGGGCAGAUAAAAAUUCAUGCUAUGAUUCUGACUGUUAGUUGCUAUCUAAAGCUCCUUGCAUCAGGAGAACAUUCAGUUUGGUGGGUUAUGUUCUUCAGUUAUAUACAUAUUUCCCCUUCUCCAUUUAAUUUUUUUCAUGGGGCUUCUUGGAGACAACAAUUGGGUUCUCUUGGUGUUUAUAUGAUUGAAUUUUGACCACCUAGCCUCUAAUGCCGCUGCUUCUUGCGGUUGUUCUGGGAAAACGGCCUCUCGCAGUGCAUCAUGCUGCUCCGUGGAACGCGAUGCUAUGCAUCCCAAUGGUCUCUUUUCAUCGCGCCGACUGUGAGCCUCCACAACAUCGAUUUUCAUCCACUACAUAAUUAAUGAGUGCUCUUCUUGAAUCCCCAUGGCAGUUUUUCCAUUUAGGCAGGUAAGCAACAUUGCCUCUUGAAUUUGAAUCUAGCGCCAAAUAUAGGUGUGAUUUUUAUUUUUUGCCUAUUUGUUGCUUCAAAGAGGAGUGUGCAAAGUAGUGACGAUAGGCUAUUUGAUAUCGCAUUAGGAAAACUACAUUCAAACUGAGCUCCUAAGAGUUUUUUUAAUCAUAUAAGUUACACUUAUACUCAGGUAGUUAAUUCUAAUGUUGAUCUGUAAAAGCCUAUAGCACAUGGGCAUCAUCAGUACAUUAUCUAGUUGUUGUUCCAAACAAAAUUGAAACAUACACAUUUUGUUUUCUACGAUUUUCCAGCCAGAUUAAUGCAUGAUUCCCAACCACACAUUUUCCUUGACAUUACUGUGUGACCCCGUGAAUAGUUGAAUGUAUAUAAUGUAAUAGUUAAAAUAUAGUAUAGCAUUUUACAAAAUUAAUGGUCUUAGUUCUUGCUGCCAAUUUACAAAAGGUCUCAUCUUACUAACAUUCUAAUGAUCAACUUCAGUACUACAAUUUUUCAUUGUACUUCCUUUGCCAUAGGUUGUCCAGCCAUUUAAAUGUAUUUUUAUUAUUUGGCAUGUAUGUGAUUCAGAAUUAUAAACCUUCAAAUGUCAUAAAUGAUGUUUGUGUGUAUCUCAGUUGUUUAUUACAUGACAGAUUUUCCAAAAGGUUCUAAUUUUUUCCCACUAUUUUGAAUCCUUUAAAAAGAUCUUGCACUACUGUUGAUGCCUAUCGAUAUCAAUACCAUUUCUUUCUUACAGUGAAAAGAAUGUUAGACAUUGCAAUUAUUUGCAUCUUUGAAGGUACAUCCAUGCUUCUUUUGUAACUAAUUAACUCUUGGGACAUUGAACAUAAUUGGAAAUUUAAGUUGUAUUGAUUGUUCUACUACAUGGGUGGACCAGUAUAGUUAUUCCUUAUUGUUGCAAGAUACUGACGAGCUUCAUCAAAUAGUUUUUAUGUCAGUUCAGACUUAAAAACAAUGUCUGAGUAAUUUCCAGUUAUGGUGAUCGAGUAUUGGUUUCUAAUUUUGGGUUUCCAGAGUUUCAAAAAGUCGGGUACGUAGUACUUGAAUUCACAUGCAUGCACCAACUAUUUUUUGGCUUUUACUCUUAUCAAAGGCAUUUUCUGAAAUAAAUCUUCCACUAUAAUUCAUUUUCAUUGUAGUUUUCCUAUGAAAACUAAAACAAUGUUCAUAUUUUAUGUUUCAUGGAUCUGUAGCUCUAAAUUAUAAACCUAUUGAAUUACCUUACAAGGAAAGUAUGUUGCUAUCACCAUGAUGCGUGACCUACAUUUACAAAUAGACAAUGUCAACACUAUUGUGACAUGUUUUCAUUUUUCCAACAUAUAUUAAUCACCAAGUUACUUCUACUCAACAUCGCUAUCCUUGAAAAAAUAUACAUAUGAAUAGAAGUAUGAAGGUUUACAUGUACCCCUGCAAGAAAUAAUCCUUUGUGUAACAACAACUUAGUUUUCCAAAUCGUAAUUGUGCGGCAGAUUUGGCUCAAAAUUGUUAUAUAUGUACUCAAAUAUUAUUAAUGAUUUGUGACACAACCACUAGCCCAUGCAGGUGCACGGGUUGACGGCUAGUGACACUAAAUAGUCCCCUCCCUGGCCGUCGAGCGAGGCUAGUGAAAGCAGAGUCAGUCAUGAUGUGGCAGACAGCAUGGUGACGGGUGAGCUCACGGCCACUACAAGAAAUAUGUCAACUUAUGACCUUCUGUCAGUGACCCUCGAAGAAUUAGUCAUAAAUUUAUGACCAUUUCAGACCAAUUGGUCAAAAGCUGUUCGGGGGGCUCCAAACCCUAAACCAUUGCGACCAUUUUGGUCAGAAAGGUCGUAAUUUCCUCACACGAAAAGGUCAUAAAGCAAACAUCGCUAGUCCGCUGCCUUAUUUCUAGUUGUUAAUGACCAAUAUAGAUGGUCAUAGCCUUGUAAAUUGUGGUGGGUUGCUAUGACUAGGCGCCACCUCAUCAGUGUUGCCUAUGUGUAAUGUCCAUGUGGCAGUUUUUGCCCUAGGUUGUGAAGCAACCUAUAUUUCUAUCAUUCCCAAAAUUCUUAAAAAAAUCUCAUAAAUUCUUUGGGUCAUAUCUUCGUCAAAUAUGUAAAACCUUCCUUGCCUAGUUCAAAAAUAAUUCAAAAAUAUUCAUUUUCCUAUUCUGUUCAGAACAACAGUUUGUGAAGGAAGUACCACUUUGGCAUGUCCAAAUAGUAUCCAUUUUCUACAGUGCUUUCCUAUGCCCAAAUAAACAUCCUCCACCAAAUGCCAGCUCAAUCUAUUCAUUAUUUUGAGCCGAGCUUCAACAUACGUAUUUAUGUCCAGUGUGGUAGUUUGCAAAGCAAGUACCACCUAGGCUCCUCCUUUUGAGCUGAAAAUUUGUGAAGACGGUCUUCUUAGUAACUGAUCAUCUUCAGCCAAAACUCACGCCCAUUAGCCAUGUACAUUUCCUGUACUGCUAAUCAAACACUUGGCUGCUAAUUCAUGUUUGAGCACCAAUCGGUCUCCUCAUGAGAAUCUUAUGUUGUAAUUUUCUUCUUAGCAUCUACCUGGGGAGUGCCCAACCCACUAGACAUGUCUAGGCCACCCGGAACACAUGGCAACGCCACGGUCACGCGGUGACCACGCGGCGGGCAUGCGAGUUUACGCGCUCUAGAGAUGGGGCCCUCGGCCACCGCCCAAACCUCGACGUAUCGCCACCAAACCAUGUACUUAUGUACCUAGAAAUGAUUUUUGGAAAAAAUAAAUAGCAAACUAUGAGGCAGAUGCAGUUCAAAUUUGACCUGCUUCCAGCUGAAUCGGUGGAAAUUUGUCUUUUUCACGAGAGGUGGAUCAAAACUUUUUACACCCAACCAUUUUGUCAAUUGUGCAUUAAAUAUGUCCUAGUAUUUUACAAAAUUGAUUUGGUCCAAUUUUGCAACAAUUAUUUGAUAGUUCCUUCACAAAAAAACCUCCUUUCGGGCACUCGGAAAAUGAAAAAUGGUUUUUUCGUCCAAAGAAAAUGAAAACUUCCUUAGGCAACAUUGUUUGCCAUUCCAAUAUGCACCCUUGUGCACAAUAUGAGAUCAUUUGAACAAAUUAUGCCACGAAUGUGGCCAUAAAAUUGAUCAUUUGGCUUGAAAGCCAUGAAUCUUCAGAGAUGAUAGCUCAUUUCUGAGAACACUUUUUUAAAAUAAUUACCGUAUUACAAGUUUGUUAUUUUUCUUGGGAACUUGGCCACAUAUAAUGACACAAUGCAAAGGUUUCCCAAUUUUUUGAUUUUUUUGAAUUUUUUAUGCCCGUUUCAAAAUGCGGUCAAAACGGCGGGCUUGACCGUUCCUAGCUAGUGGUUGGAUCUUGGAAAACUUUUGGUGUUUCUCUGAUUAAAUAGAUACUUAUGUACCUAGAAAUGAUUUUUGUAAAAAAUAAAUAGCAAACUAUGAGGCAGCUGCAGUUCAAAUUUGACCCGCUUCCAGCUGAAUCGGUGGAAAUUUGUCUUUUUCACGAGAGGUGGAUCAAAACUUUUUACACCCAACCAUUUUGUCAAUUGUGCAUUAAAUAUGUCCUAGUAUUUUAGAAAAUUGAUUUGGUCCAAUUUUGCAACAAUUAUUUGGUAGUUCCUUCACAAAAAAAACCUCCUUUCGGGCACUCGGAAAAUGAAAAAUGGUUUUUUCGUCCAAAGAAAAUGAAAACUUCCUUAGGCAACAUUGUUUGCCAUUCCAAUAUGCACCCUUGUGCACAAUAUGAGAUCAUUUGAACAAACUAUGCCACGAAUGUGGCCAUAAAAUUGAUCAUUUGGCUUGAAAGCCAUGAAUCUUCAAAGAUGAUAGCUCAUUUCUGAGAACACUUUUUAAAACUAAUUACCGUAUUACAAGUUUGUUAUUUUUCUUGGGAACUUGGCCACAUAUAAUGACACAAUGCGAAGGUUUCCCAAUUUUUUGAUUUUUUUUGAAUUUUUUAUGCCCGUUUCAAAAUGUGGUCAAAACGGCGGGCUUGACCGUUCCUAGCUAGUGGUUGGAUCUUGGAAAACUUUUGGUGUUUCUAUGAUUAAAUAGAUACUUAUGUACCUAGAAAUGAUUUUUGUAAAAAAUAAAUAGCAAACUAUGAGGCAGCUGCAGUUCAAAUUUGACCCGCUUCCACCUGAAUCGGCGGAAAUUUGUCUUUUUCACGAGAGGUGGAUCAAAACUUUUUACACCCAACCAUUUUGUCAAUUGUGCAUUAAAUAUGUCCUAGUAUUUUAGAAAAUUGAUUUGGUCCAAUUUUGCAACAAUUAUUUGGUAGUUCCUUCACAAAAAAACCUCCUUUCGGGCACUCGGAAAAUGAAAAAUGGUUUUUUCGUCCAAAGAAAAUGAAAACUUCCUUAGGCAACAUUGUUUGCCAUUCCAAUAUGCACCCUUGUGCACAAUAUGAGAUCAUUUGAACAAACUAUGCCACGAAUGUGGCCAUAAAAUUGAUCAUUUGGCUUGAAAGCCAUGAAUCUUCAAAGAUGAUAGCUCAUUUCUGAGAACACUUUUUAAAAAUAAUUGCCGUAUUACAAGUUUGUUAUUUUUCUUGGGAACUUGGCCACAUAUAAUGACACAAUGCGAAGGUUUCCCAAUUUUUUUGAUUUUUUUUGAAUUUUUUAUGCCCGUUUCAAAAUGUGGUCAAAACGGCGGGCUUGACCGUUCCUAGCUAGUGGUUGGAUCUUGGAAAACUUUUGGUGUUUCUAUGAUUAAAUAGAUACUUAUGUACCUAGAAAUGAUUUUUUGUAAAAAAUAAAUAGCAAACUAUGAGGCAGCUGCAGUUCAAAUUUGACCCGCUUCCAGCUGAAUCGGCGGAAAUUUGUCUUUUUCACGAGAGGUGGAUCAAAACUUUUUACACCCAACCAUUUUGUCAAUUGUGCAUUAAAUAUAUCCUAGUAUUUUACAAAAUUGAUUUGGUCCAAUUUUGCAACAAUUAUUUGGUAGUUCCUUCACAAAAAAACCUCCUUUCGGGCACUCGGAAAAUGAAAAAUGGUUUUUUCGUCCAAAGAAAAUGAAAACUUCCUUAGGCAACAUUGUUUGCCAUUCCAAUAUGCACCCUUGUGCACAAUAUGAGAUCAUUUGAACAAACUAUGCCACGAAUAUGGCCAUAAGAUUGAUCAUUUGGCUUGAAAGCCAUGAAUCUUCAGAGAUGAUAGCUCAUUUCUGAGAACACUUUUUUAAAAUAAUUGCCGUAUUACAAGUUUGCUAUUUUUCUUGGGAACUUGGCCACAUAUAAUGACACAAUGUGAAGGUUUCCCAAUUUUUUGAUUUUUUUUGAAUUUUUUAUGCCCGUUUCAAAAUGCGGUCAAAACGGCGGGCUUGACCGCUCCUAGCUAGUGGUUGAAUCUUGGAAAACUUUUGGUGUUUCUAUGAUUAAAUAGAUACUUAUGUACCUAGAAAUGAUUUUUGUAAAAAAUAAAUAGCAAACUAUGAGGCAGCUGCAAUUCAAAUUUGACCCGCUUCCAGCUGAAUCGGCGGAAAUUUGUCUUUUUCACGAGAGGUGGAUCAAAACUUUUUACACCCAACCAUUUUGUCAAUUGUGCAUUAAAUAUGUCCUAGUAUUUUAGAAAAUUGAUUUGGUCCAAUUUUGCAACAAUUAUUUGGUAGUUCCUUCACAAAAAAACCUCCUUUCGGGCACUCGGAAAAUGAAAAAUGGUUUUUUCGUCCAAAGAAAAUGAAAACUUUUGACAACCAAUUAUUUUGUCAAUUGAACAUUAAAUAUGGCCUAAUAUAUUAUAAAAAUGAUCUGGUCCCAUUUUGCAAUAAAUAUAUGGUAGGUCAUUUAAAAAAACUCAAUUUACGCACUCGAAAAAUAGAAAAUGAAUUUUUUGACCAAUUUAGAUGGUCAUAACGUCGUACUGUAUUCUGAUUAGUCCGUGGACGCAUCACGCGGAUCAUGCAUCGAACACCGUUGGAUGAUCGUGGAUCCAACGGCAGUCAUCAGCCCUUCCACACCAUCCCCGAAACCCUAGCUCUGCCCUGUUGUAAUUUUACAUCCACCCCCCGCCUCCUUUCUUUCCCUCGCUCUCUUCUCCUCCUCUCCCCUUCCAGAUCCGCCCUCGCCGCCACCUCCUCCUCCCCGUCCCCGGCCCCUCCCGAUCCACAUCCUCCCCGUCCUCUCCCACCCACCACCGACCUCGUCGUCCUCCUCACCGACGCCGACCUCGUCCCUCCCCCCUACCCUAGCGCCGUGCACUCCCCGCCAGCCCCUCUUCAAUCACACCAACCCCAUACACACGGAUCCGGCUCUCCGACCUCGAUUUCACUUCCCAUCCCCCUUCCCCACGCUCCUCUCGAGCUCCAGAUCCCCGGCCGCGACGACCCCUUCCUCAGCUUCCUCCGGGAACCCUAUCCCCUCAGAUCCGCCCGCCGCCACGUCAUGGUCGAGUUCUACGCGCUCUGGUGUGGCCACUGCCGCGCGCUCGCGCCUCACUGCAGGGGAUCGACGUCGCGCUGGCCAAGGUGGACGCCAUCGAGGACCACGACCUGGCGCAGGCGCACAACGUGCAGGGCUACCCCACCCUCCUCUUCUUCAUCGACGGCGUGCCCAGGGACUACUCCGGCGAGAGGACCAAGUGAGGAUCUCUGCAGAUCCCCAAUUCCCUCCCUGCUCCGUCUCCACGGCUGUUAAGAAUGAAUUUUUGCUUUGCUGCAGGGACGUCAUCGUGGCUUGGGUCGGCAAGAAGCUGGGCCCUACUCUGCAGAACCUCACCGCAGUCGACGAGGCCGAGAAGGUCGUCACCGGUGACGACGUGGCCGUGCUCGCCUACCUCCACCACCUCUCGGUACGCUACGGAAUGCGCCUUCUCCAGUGGUAGCAACGUCAACCAACCCACCCAAAUUGCUUCAAUUGCAACCCAUGUUACUCAGUUAGCUGGAUGAGCUUCGUAUGCUAGUAGUGACUGGAUGAGCUUCGUAUGCUAGUAGUUAUUUUGCUGUCUGCUCUCUUGACAUUGUGUGUUGUGUUGGGAAUAAAAUAUCCCACUAAUCGUUGCCAUGUUUUGAUAAACUCUCGGUGAAUCAACUGACAAACACCUGCUUGAGAAAAACUAGACAAAACUACUAGUUCAGUUAACCUUGAUAUAAUUAAGCUGGUGGAAGAAUUGAACUGAGAAUUAAUGUUUGGGUUUCAGUUUUAAGGAAGGUAAUUUUUUUGAAACCAUCCUCUAAUCUUUGCUUGUUUUUACAGUUUGGUGCUACAGUUUAAACCAUCACCUAAUCUGUGCCUUAUCUAGAAAUUUUGGCAUGAAAUUAAAUCUGGCUGCUUGUUUACAUUCAAAGUCCAUAUAUAUGAUGCUGAAAUAAAUGAACACCAUAUAUAGAGAACUAGUACUAAUUUAUGUUCUGAACAUGCAUGGUUUGAAAUGUCUAAAUCAAAGUCAUCUUGUAUUGUUUCUGGUUGAUUUUGUUGUGCUGACUGCUCACAAAAAAUAUAUAUCUUUCAGACUCGAUACAUAAAGGACCGCAAGAGAUUAUAUGGCAGGAUACUGGACAAUAACCGUGUCAAGUCCUCCAUUCAAGCAAAGUCCAAGGAUCGGUCUGAGAUGGAGUAGUUUGUCCUGCCUGUGCAAUGUUCUUUCCAGCAUCUCAGCUGUGUACUCUAAUUACUGGAGUAUUCUGUAGAUUCUUUUCAAUUAAACUACUCCAGAGAUGAGUCUUUUCCAUUAACUAAAUCUAAAUGAAACAUUAGAUGAAACUUGCCAGAGAUUAUUUAAAUAUUGCAGUAACUAUUUGACACACAUAUUGUCAUGCAUCAAUAGUAGCAUUAGUUGAAACUUUUAUAGUAGGACUUGCUGUUAUAGUGGGACUUAUCUCUGUAAUUUCGCCAAACUUCAUGUCACCAUGCGAAUAAUGUUUUUGCUCAAAAUUCUUUUCUGUUUGUGUGGUGCUAAACUGCCAAUAGAAGACGAGAAUUCUUGUUGAACAACGCUACAAUUGCAUUGUUGUAUGUUAUUUAGGGUUGUCCUAGUUGCAUAAGACCUGGAGUAAGAACAGGUCCAGUACUAAUUUUGUGUCUGUGUGCAUGUACAUGUGCACUUGGGCCUUCUAUAUACACAUAAUUCAGAGCAUCUUUUACUGUGCAUUUUGUUUCUUUGCUCAGUACAGAAUGUAUUGCAAGUGUUGUUCAUUAUUUUUUCCUUUUGUCUAAAUAUAUCACAAAAAGUUAUGUAUGGAGUAGUGAUUGUCUAAUGUCCUCUUAGAUUACCAAAUGGAUGAAGCGAAAUCUUGUGUGACCCCGUAGCGUAGCACGGGCAUCCUACUAGUUGGUAUGAUAAGUAUGUGUUAGGUUUGUCCAGUCCAUCAAUGUUGGUAAAUGUGUUGUGGUCUGUGAAUGUGUAUAGAUUCUUUUAAAUUUUGUUGGCUGUUGCAACACUUGGAUUAUUUAUUAAUAUAACCCAGCAGCGAUGCUUCCAUUUUAAGACAUGUACUAGUGUGCUAAAACUACUACUGUACCUGCUUCUUCUUAGCCUGAGUAGUACAUCAGGCUUGUAUUAACUUGUGUUAAUUGUAUUAACUUGUAGCCUAGUCACUGCAGUCAUCUUGUGCUUUUAUCUUCUCUGUGAUGUCAUAUGCCUUUGAGUCUACUUAUUGAAAACCUUAUGCUCAUAUAUCUUUUUAGUCCCUCUAUUUCCAUAAAUGUGACACUGUUUUGUUUCUAAAUACUUGACACAUACAAGUUUGAGGGCAUUAUCCUAAACGCCUGCUAUGAUUGAUCCAUCUCCUCUACUUUGUUACUUGUGCUUAAUUGAGAUGUUACUCAAGGGUAGUGUUUGUGCCGGCAUAUAUAAAUGAUAUGGUCGCUUACUUUAAUAUGUGUGUUGACUCAAAACUGUCAAAAUAUCUAGAAAGAGAGUGAACUCACUUCACAGAUUCUUUCAAUCUUCAAUGGUUAUGGUUUUUGCAUUAUAGAUUCCUAAUCUCGGCUGAUUCUAGAUUCUUCCAAUUGCUAGCUAGCUCCAAAAGCAAAUCGUCUUCAUUUGGAAGAUGCAACAUUCUAUCAGAAUCCAUUCUCCUGCUCUUUUUCUUGUACUGUAUGUCAUCCAUUGUUCAAACCUAUUGGCAAGUUCUUGUAGUGUGUCGUUCUGUUCAGAAGUGCAUUUUUAUUUUAGGAUUUGCUUCAUGUGUGGUACUGGAUGGCUGAGUAUUAAAACAAUUUGGUUACUAUCAAAAGCACUAUAAUUCUCUGGAAUUAAACUUUGACAAGCAUGCAUAUAUGUGUUCGUUUUUUUGGAUUACGUGAUGGCAUUCUACGAUUCUAUUUAACAACUUCCGUAUUAUCUUCUUAUUUCUCUUGUCCUUGUGCAGCAGGAUUUGAUUCGGUACAAUGGGUUCAUCGUGCCAGGCUCCUCUUUUCUGCUGCUUGCAUGCAACGGUGGUGGCGGUGGUGCUGUUUGGCAUUGGCUACAAAAACACCCAAGGUGAGAUCCUUUCCUUCCUCUGCUCCCCACCUCUGUGGUUGGUCUGAGCUUGUCGUGGUCAUGGAGCCAUGACUAUGGUGGUCGCUCUGCGUUCAUGUCCAUUGUGCCAUGUGUAUGCCUUCUACAUCAAGUUAGCAUCCUUCUGCACAAAAUUUUGUAUGUGUUAUUGGUCUGUAGAGAAAAUGCUUUGUGUCACAUGCUCAACACACUUUGAACUAUAUACCUGGUUCAGUUUUAGAGAAUGCUCCUGGUUGUUUAACACACUUACUGAACUAAUCAGCCUAUUGACUAACUACCAUCAGUAUCCACCAAACGGUUGUGGAAAUAACUUUUGCUGGUAAUCCUUUGUUUUAAACAAGUACUAAUGUUUUGGUAGGACAAGAAGUUUCAAAUUCUUAUGCUGGUUUAUGUUCUCUUUUUAGGUUAUGAGAAGAUAUGCUGCUGGAAAGAUGCUCUUAGCAAACUGGAAGGGUUGCAACCAAAUCCAAUUGACAACAUGGUAGUGGUCUCUGAAUAUCUAAGCUAGUGAUCAUCUUUUCAGCGAUUCCUUUUCUGUUUGGCCUUCUCGUAGGUAGUGUACAUUAGUUGUCUGUUGGAGUUGUGAUGGCAGUAUAUCUUCUUUGUUGCUUCGCUGUUGUUUGAUAUAGAUGGCAUUCUUUUAGUUGCUAUUGCUUAUGUAUAGAUAAUCUGAUGAAGAUGUACAUAUGAUAUAUGAUUGUACGGCGAAACAAAUAUUGCUUUGAUAGCAAAAUAAAAAAACUCAUCUAUUUCUUUGUUGUACAGUCCUAUGAAUUAGCGGGCUGAAAAUAUUGAUGGGUUGGAAGAGGCUUUGGCCCAAACAAUGCUGGACAAAGAUGGAACAAAAAAAGUCUCAAAAAUAGAAAAUGGACCACAAAAAGGCUGAGGCCCAGAAAAUGGAAAAGGCUUAGAAAACAAAAAACGCCAUGUUGGGCUAGGCCCAUGUAGCUAGCGAAAAUUAACUGAAAAAAACAUAAAAUGGGCUGAAUUAAUGGGCUCGGCCCAUGUAAAACCCCCAAUUGGACCGGGCUGAUUUUAACCACAUCAGAUUUUGCCACGUCGCAAUUUUGCCACGUCAGAUUGCCACGUCGGAUCCGACAUGGCCUGGGGAGAGAGUUAGCGACCAAAACAGAAGGUCAUAGGAUCAACGACCUUUUGUUAAAGGUCGCUAUAGUCAGUUUACGACUGCCAGCUUUUGACCUUCUGUUUUUGGUCACAAAAAGGUCGUAAAUGGAAAUUUGUGACCUUUUAGUGACCAAUAGUGGUGGUCACAAGUUGACAUAUUUCUUGUAGUGGGCGUCCGUCGAUCCCAUCCCAUGGCUGGCUUCUCCCCUGUACUGUGGCAGCAUUAUCAGUGAUAGAGUUUACCUUGUUGUCUAGGUAUUCAUCAUGUUUAUCUCGUCGCAUUAGUUUCGUUCAUGCAUGUAGUUAAGUUGAAGGCUUGAGGCUGCGGCAGUGAGCGUGCUCGUAGAAGUGUGGAGACGAGUACACAUGCAAGCUAAUAGUGCCUAGCUAGUUAGUUGUGGUUGUUAGCAACAUGCGCGUACAGCUCCGUGGAGUAAGAGUGGCCAAGUCCGGUGGCAGAUCAGCGUGGAGCUAGAAGCGGACGCACUCAGUUUUUUUUUUUUGAGGAUGCGGACGCAAUCAGUUGAGGCGUGCGUCAAGUGUGCCGUUGUGGGCAAGCUCAAGUCUGUUGCAAACUUGGAUUUGACUCAAGUCUGUACAUGCAGAAAUAAUCGGAUCAAGCAGCUGGCUUGGCCGUCGCGUCUGCAUGCAACGUAGUCGGGUUAGUGGGUGCGUGUGUGUUGUAUAGGUCUGGUACUUAAACACAUGUACUUAGUUCUAUUUGUGCGAGAAAGAACAAGAGAAAAGGCAGAAGUGUGUUGCCACAAAACUCUGUGUUCUUGUGUCCAGUGUGUGCUCGUGUGAGUGUGUCCUCUUCAACCUCCAGCUCGUGCUCGUGUGUGUAUUCUUCCUUCUUCCUCCUCGGGCUGCUCCAACAAUCAGUGCAGAUUCUGUGUGGAUCUCCCAGCCGGCAAUACUGUUGCACUGCUGCCAUGGCCGUCGAUCACCGUGUGCUGUUGUCGGCAACGACGGCCCACACGCGUGCGUGCUUUCCAUGGCUCGACUUCUCCAUCGUGUUCACUGAUUGUCUUUACAGUUUUUACCGGGCUGGAUAUCUUCCACCCAUGUUUGCUGUUGCACUAUUGCUGUUGCUUCACUGGAGUGGAGGACCGGGAUCUCGCCAGUUGAUUCGGUUCCGGGUGACUGGUGGCGGUCGACAUGCAUCGAUGGGUACAUGCAUGUCUGCCUUUUCGCCAGCAUGUUUCCAUGUUUCCCAUCACGGUCAUGUGAUGAUGCCAUGAUGGUGCAUCGUUUUCAUGGCCAGCUACUGUCGUGAGAGUCCCAAAAAGUUUUGUUUGUGUGUGAGCCAUAAGGCUAGCCGUAAUAUGAGUAUUAUAGGUAGUAUCAUGCAUGUCAACUAGGUAAAUUUGAUGAGGUGGCAUAUAAUUAAAUAAAAAAAAGAGGGUUGAGUAUCAUAUCAUGAUACCGUAUUAUAUUAAAUGUUGUGCUACUAUAUGUCAUGCAUGCUAAUAAAUAAAGUCAUCUAUGAUACCACGGAUGUAUCACUGAUAAUGCUGCCACAGUACAUCCGUAGUGCAUAGUUGGGGCAGGUCCAAGAUUCACCACCUCAUGCUGCAAAAUAUAGAAUACAUGUGGUUGCCGCAAAACGCCCAACCAGCAUCCAAAAUUAGAUCAGGAGGGCCAAGUGUUGUUAAAGCAUAUUGGGGACGGCCAAAGCAUAAAAUAAUAGAUUUUUAGCAAGAUUUUUUUACUAAUCAUGCACUGUUCAUCAGUAAAUUAGCUGCAAAUUACUAAUGUUAGGGGGGAAGGGUCCCUACUGGUCCCCGCUGUCUCUGCCACUGGCCCGCGCGCGGUCCCCAACCCGCUCGCGCUAGUCGCUACCGAAUCCUGGCCCGCGCGCGGUCCCCAACCCGCUCGCGCUAGUCGCUACCGAAUCCAGCCACUGCCGCCGGAUCCACCACUUCUCAAUCUCAAAAUGAUGUGCCGACUCAGCCUCUCAGAGGUGCUUAUAGAGGUAGGCGUGCAUUCGUGGGUUCAUAUGGUCGAAUGUAAGUGUGUAUGUAUGAGCAUACAUUUUUUUCUUUCAUUUAUUUUCUUCUUUUUGUUAUUAUAGAUUUUUUUAUUUUGACAUAUUGUAAUACAUAUAUUUCUAAAUUUAAUUAACUUCAAUUUUUAUAAUCAUUCAAUGCGCAUUUAAGAACAUUAAUGAAAUGUAAUAUAUUUAUUCACAUACUUUUAAAAACUAUUCACAAAAUUCAAAAUCAUUCACAUGUUUAGAAAAUUGUUCAUGACAUUUGAUAAAAUCGUUUGUGAAAAAUAUAAAAUUGUGUUCAUGUGAUUCAUAAUAACUGUUAUGAAAUGUAAAGGUAAUUUGACAAAUUUUGAAAAAAAUGUUCGUGACACAUAAAAAACCUUCACCGUGUAUUAAAAAAUCGUAUUCAUACAGUUUUCCCAACUAUUUAAUAAAAUAAUCAACAUGUAUUAAAAAUGUUCAACAUGCACUAAAACAAUGUUCAAUAUGUAUAUGUAGAAUGUAACAUAUCUUUAUCUUUAUCUUUACCUACUAAUAAAGCACGCAUUGCUUCCGUCGGGUUCACCGUCGCGGCAUUUUUAUGAAAAAGACAUAUUCAAGGUGGUACUAAUUUUUGCUUCGAUAAUUUUCGGUUUCAUCCGCUCCCACGUCUACAUCGCCCCGUACGUCCUAAAUUGGCUUUGUCCAGCCUGCAAACGAAGCGGCCCAUAUGUUCUUUGGCGAUGCACGCCUUCCAGCCCGCAUCAGGCACCUAGCUCGCUUUCUUCCAUCACAUGCAUUGAGACUCUUUCUUCCAUCAAAUAAUCCCACCUCACUACUUUACAUCUGACCUCACCAGUUCAUAUACGUACGCCCUAGAAAAUCAACAAGCGGCCUCCAAAAUCAAGAAGGAAGCAAAUCAAAAAGGAAAUGAAGGAAUUAAUUACUGUGCAUAUACAUACACACCCUUGAGAAUCAACAAGUGGCCCUUCAAAUUGGGAAGGGAAUGAAUGGAAUGAAGCAGCAUCCGGGAAUUAGGAAGGGAACGAACCCUUGAAAUCCGGAAUGUAAUGAAGCGGCCUCGAAAAUUAAAAAGGGAACGAAGAAAUCACCCCAAAGAACGGGGCCAAACAAAGAACAACUCAGAUUUGACACCCCACCGUGAGCUUGACCUUGAGCGUCGCCGUGCUCCUGGAAACACCGACGGGCUAUCGGCAACGCCCUGCAGAUUCAUAUCGGCUCUCUUCCGUGUACCAAAUCCGGCCGCAACGGAGCGUCAUGGCACCAGAAGAAUUUAAACUGUACAAUAUAGAUUCAGAUUGUGAGGUUAGUGGUCACAGUGCAUGCAUCGUAUUUUUUUUACACAAUACAGAUGCAGGCACUCAUGGAUAUGCAUAUACAUUCACUCAUAUGAAUGUACAUACACCUUAUCCCCAUGAGCACCUCCAAAAGGCUGAGCCGACACAUCGUUUUGAGAUUGAUGAAAUCACCAAAGACGUCUUCGUAGUCGACCGGAACAUCUUCUCCCACUAAAUGCACAUCGUCGAAAGUCCUGUAAUAAAUCCAGAAGGCAAGCUGGGGAUACCAUGGACACAUAUAAUCUUUUGUUGCAACACAUGUGCUGAUUGUGGGCGCUGCAUGAUAGAGUGUGUUUGGCUCUUUAACUAAACGUAAUUGUGAACUACUACAUGAUAGCGCAUUAGAGUAUUUAACCUGGAUUUCGUGGAAGAUGCACUCCAACAUUUUUCUAAAAUAUGUACGACGAGCACACCAUCGUUUUUUCUAAAAUAUAUAGCUUGAGGUUGUAUAUCAUAAAUGCUCCUUACCACCGAAGCUUGACAUAAAAUGCAUGCGAGGGAGUAUAACAUAAGUGUGAAGUAUAAUACAUGCAUUCCCUCCUUUUAGGUUUGUUGGCCUUAUCUCACUAUCUUUUUUGUGUUUUAGUCCUAUUUUCAUUUCUCUUUUUCACCUAUUUAGAUUUUAAGGUGCAUUAAUUUGUUGCAUGCAAAGGUUAAAAGAAAACUUAUAAAUGUAUGUGACCAUUUUUACUCAUUCCAUGGCCAUGAAUGCAUGCAUCACAUUUUAUGGAGAUCUGUAUUUUUAUUGACAUCGGGAUGCACCUCCCUACCUUUGAGGAUAUUGUCUUGCCACGUUGAUGCAAGCAUUAGUGGACGCAUCACACCCGUUGCAACGCAUGGGCAUAUGUGCUAGUAUUUAUAAAAAUCAAAAUAUGUUGAAAAAUGUUCAGUGUUAUCUGAAAAAUGAUUGACAUGCAUUCAAAAAAUGUUAAAUGUGUGUCUGAAAAAUGUUUUAAAAUGUAUUAAAAAACUAGUGUAUUAACAAAUUGUUCAUACACAAAAAAAGCUCACCAUGCAUUAAAAAUGGUAAUGUAAUGUAAAACAAUUGUCCACGUAGUUUUUAGAAAAAAUGAUAUCUAUUACCUAAUAUUAAAGGACGGACGCUUUCAUAGUUCUCCAUACGUCAUCCCCUUUUUAUCCGUUUAUUUACUAGAUUUACGGCUGAGAUUUAAUUAGAUCCGCAUAACUGUAAGUUGACAAAAUUUACACCAUAUAUGCCACCUAUAAGUGAAAAACGAUUAUUAUUAUUUUCAAACGUCGCCCGUUGCCUACGAGGCUACGACUAAUUUCUGAUCGCUACUUCCCGUAAAAAGAAAAACAAGUUCUGAUCGCUACAAGCUAAAAAAAAUUCUGAUCUGUAGCCCGUCCUCUGGUCAGCGCAACCUCCCCCGUCCAUGCGCGCUCCCCCUCCAACACCAACAAGACCACAUCGCCAAUCUAAAAAAACACGACCACAGCUCCUCUCACCCCGACUUCGGCGACGCUCUGAAAAUAGAGGGCGGGUUUGCUACUGCUCUCUUUCUCCUCCUUGCCUCCGUCCUCCUCCCGGCAGAACCUCGCCUCCGGCCUCCUCCCGGUAAAACCAUACCCCGCUGGCGCUCGUCGCCCGACUCGGAUCAGAAAGUCUCUGAUGUGUCCUGCUUGAGCACGCCAUCAAGGGGUGCCGGACACGGACUCCACUUGAACCACCCUCGUUUUGCCACAUAGAAAGACCUUGAACCUCUACAUAAGUAUUCAAUCUGGUAGUCGUUCAAUCUACUUUGCUCGAACGCUCUCCAGGGCUGAUGCAACAGGGCAGCCGUUGUCACUCGAGUCGAGGCUCCAGGCCGGCCGCUGUCACUUGAGUGCAGGGGGUCUUUGGUCUCCACCGUUUGAAUCCAGGCCCGCCAACCCGGCUGCUUCUAGACCGAGCAGGCCAGCACCAAGCCGAUAGGGCAAUAGACCCACGAAGUGGUAAUAUUUUUCAAUAUCCUAAGAUAAUCCCUCCUCUGUAAUUUGUAUCAGUGAUUCAGUGUAUGUUUUAUGUGUCCUGUGAUAACGUAAUAGAGAAUUGGAGAAUAUAAAUUAAAGAAUGGGAUUGCUCGAUGCUCUGCUGGCGUUGCUUCCUGGCGCAUUGAUUUCUUUGUACAAUUGUGACUUUAUGUGCAACUGUUGGUAGCUUGUGUGCUUUUGUACCUGUGUACUAUAUUAUUCAGAUGCCAAAGCUAAAUGCAGUUAUUUACCACAUUAUUGUGUGUUUGUACGCUGGAGGCGUAGGCACAUAUAUUUCUUUAUGAAAUUGUGACUGUGUGCCGCUGUUGUGUGCUUUUGUAGCUGCGUAGCAUAUUAUUCACAUGCCAAGUUAAAUGCAAUUCUAUUGUUAGAUUAACAAGACUACGUUCUACAUGAUCAGAGAAUGAGUAACCUUGAAGUAGCAUGCCUGUUUGCAGCACUUUUUUAAUUAUUUACUGCUAUUGACUUUAUUCAGCCCUGACAAUUUAGAGGAAGAAGUAAUUUCAUUUUUUUCAUGUACCUUCAGGAAGAUUUUAAGGGAGCCCUUUGAUGACUACGAAAUUUAGGAGUGUAGUAUGCAAGUUUAGAGAGGGACAUAUCAAGUUUACUAUGAACAAAAACCUGAAGGUUUUGACAAACAGCACACUUGAGGUUCUUGUUUAAUUGGAGUGAAGUUCCAAACCGCCUUUCCUUGCGCUGUGCUCAGAGCAUAGAAUUUUAUUCUGUUAAUUCAUUGAUCAUCACAGGAUUAAAACUGGCUCUACAGGAAAUUACUAAUUCUCUGUACUGCAUUUCAAAGUUAUAAUAGAAGGAGACAUGAGCUGUGAUAGUGUGGAAAAAUUACACUAUUUGAAGGUCUAUUUUAUGCACAAUCUCCGCCAAGAGACCGAGGUGUCGGCCUGCAAAACAGAGCCCACCUCCGCCAUGGUCUUGAACCUAGCUUGAUUCUCAUCCAUGCCAAGAUGUACCUAUUGCACUACUGUCCUACUCCUUGGACCUUAACCACCGUCUUGUUCAACCAUGGUGAUCAGUGCUGGGCGAAGGACUACGUCAAGGGUGCGGUGGCCAAUCGAGCCGCUAGACGGCGAGGCAAUGCAGAGGGCAUGUUCACCGGUGCCAUGGAUAAGCUAGACAAUUAAAGACCUCCAGGGGUCUCCAGAAAGUACUCCUGGUCUGCGGUCGCCGCCACAGCCAGUCUGCUCGCCACGCGGCGCUACAUAGCGCUCCUGUUGUUGUUCCUGGAAUUUCGGCACUCGGCCAUGGCCACGAUGGCCUCGGUUGCUGCCCACCGCGUGGCCUUGACCAACUGGCACAAAGGUAGCCCCGGCGACACCUACCGCGCGACAUACAGGUCCUCCUAGCUAGCGGCGACGGCAUCGCGAAAUUCAAUUUUCAAAAAUUCAGACAAUUUUAGACCAUAACAGGUCUAUAGAUUUGGUCCAGCCGCCCGACCCCACGCAGCUUAAUUUCAUAGAACCGAGACGUCUCUGUCGAUAUAAACUAAUAGGAGGACAGUACCGACACAACGAACCUGAAUUCCGAGCUAACACCUCUCAAAGACCCUCCCAUCCAUUGAAUCGUCAAGUUCUCCAUGAAUUCAUGUCAUUUUUGUUCCCUGUCACACACGGCGAGCAUCUCGCCAAUUCAUCGGCAUGUCAUAUUUGGCAUCAAUUUUUCAAUCACGUACUAAUUGUUGUCAAAACUUAGCUUGGUAUUGUGUCCGGUGCUCCUAAUCUCGCUUGAAUCACUGUCAAAAGUAGGAGAGCAAUCAGUUUGCCAAAACAUCAAUGAUCUCUUUGUCUAAAUAACUGGAUCAUGUCUUAACUUGGAUUCGGAAGCAUGCAUGGUUAAAAAACAAAAUCUGCAUCAUGCACUUGAUUUCGUGGAAAUUAUUACUGGCCGCCUAAAUUUGAAGUUCAUAUUUAAAAUUUGGCAUCAACUCAUUGGACGUCAUGGAGGCCGUGCUGCAACCAAGAAAAGGUCUGCAAUGCAUGUGUAUUAAAGUCAUCUUUGGAAGGACAAAAUUUCGAAGUAAAUUACCGUAGCAUGAAGCGUUGCGAUGUCAUUAAGCUUAGCAAAUGUUAUUCAAUUGACCUGAUAUAACUAGGGUAAUGUUCUUUCCGCAUUCUUUAAAGAAAUAAAACCGCUUUGGUGUGGUACGUGCAAAUCUGUUUAUUAUGUUUUCUUCUGUAUCAAAGAAAAGAAAAUUGAGUUGCACUUUAAGCUUUGUAUAGGUCAGACGUGCAAGCAGGGUUAGAAGAAAUUUCGUAAUCACUAACGGGCAUUUAGCGACUUACUAAUUAAACAUCAAUUUCUUAUUUGUCUACAUAUAUGUACGAUACUCAUGAUUUAGUCUCUCAAGUCUCAAUAAUAUAUCAACUGAUGAACAUAAUGGCUCCUUACAUAUUUAAAUUAACUGUGAAGGUAAUUUGCAUGUUUAAAUUAACCAAUUCUUUACAAUGACAAUGAGCAUGUCCUUUAUGAGCAGUGCUAUGUGAAUAUAGCUCUUUUCUUGUUUAACACUGUCGAUAAAAUACAUUACAUGACUUAUGCUGCCAGGAAAGCCUCAGUGAUAGAGGAAGAGAGGGAAAAUAUCUCAGUGAUAGCGGAAGAGAGAGAGAGAGAGAGAGAAUAUCUCAGUGAUGCAGCAAAAUAUGGUCUUGAGCCUAUGGGCUAGGAAAGUGUGGCAUUUUUUUUCUCCCGGUGCAACGCACGGGCAUGUUUGCUAGUCUAAAUAAACUUUACUGCCCUUGAAUAUCAUUGGUUCUGAUAACCAAACCGUGUCAUCAAAGAUACCAUCUUAGUGUGUAGAAACAAUCGGCUUUUUGACAAACAAAACUACAGAAUUGCUAUUUUUUGCGGCAAACAGAAUAUUUUUAUCUCGCCUGAUUUGUAAAUUAAGCUGCAUGGACAUACUGGAAAACAAUUUAUUUUUGCAGAAUUGCAGAAAGUUCUAUGAAAUCACGGGUGUCUUGGUCAUAGUGUUCAACAUGGGUUACUGCAUAUUUUGGUUCUCAGUCCACAUAACCAUGUCCACGUGCAACAAAUUUUGAUUUAAUCAAAUAAUUGUAUGACAUACUUUUUGUAAGAUUUUUGCUCCCUCCAUCUGUGGAUGGCAAGCUAUGCCCACUGCAAGUCAAAUUGUUGUAUUUCGGAAUCCCUGCCAUCUGUAUCUAAUCACAUAUUUAUGAUACUUGCACAUUUUUUGCUAGUUAGUAGAACUACAAUUUGGUCGCUCUAGUUUAAUGAUGGACUAAAAGUCACAGAUACCAUUGGUCAUUCUCUGCAGGUCCUGUUAAGUUAAUCCAUUGCUGUCUUUCUGAGUCUUCAUUUAAGUUUAUUGUCCUUGAAUAUGCUUGGUUCAGAUAACCAGACUGUGUAACCAAAGAAGCUGUGUAGUCCGCACCUAGUGUUUUUUGCUCACAAACAUUGGCCUUCGUGAUAAACUGAAGCACAGAAGUACCUGUUUUGCAUCAGUGAAAUAAUAAGGUGCAUGGACAAGCUGGAAAACAAUUUGUUUUUGCAGAAUUGUAAGGGAAAAUUUAUGAAACCAUGGUGUCGUGGGGACGGUGACUACUUUUUUUUCUUAUCCAAAAUGACAAUUCAUUGGUAGUGUUCAACGUUGGUGCAGCUUGGUCACUUGUUAAUGUUAUUUUGCGUUGAGCACUGGGUGCUUGCUUUUGAAGACAUAAUGGGUGAAGGGAUAGUCAACAAUAUCUUGUUGAUGAUCUUUCAAACUGGGUCUAUGACCUGCUUUAUAGGCUAGCAUUUCCUCCAUGUGGUUCUUGUCAAGUGUCG
rnacentral:lncRNA from 1 species